GAACAUUGCUGGGUUUUAAAUCACAAUGGGCCACAGGAAUUGUCUGACCAUGAUGGAGGUAUUCUAAUGCAGCUGCCACAUCAAUCAUAAUGUUCAACCUAUGCAACAUAUCAAGAAAAUAGUUAUGAGAAUACAACCACUUCUCGAGGCUUCCAUUGGGCAUGAACUCAAGCACCAAGGCUUUAAAGUCAACAUUGCAGCAACUACUAAUGAUUUUGACUAAAUUUCGGUGGCGAAUGUUGCGCAAGACCUCACACUCAACGUCAAAGCUCUUGAAUGAUCCUUCUACCUCCAAAUUAAAGACUUUUAUGGCAAUGUUCAAUCCAUCUGAAAGAGCACCUUGGUAUACCGAGCCAAAACUCCCCACACCAAGUAGUUUGCUUUCACAAAAACCAUUUGUCGCUUGAUAAAGCUCUUGGUAUGAAAUUCUUCUCCAUUUUGCUAAACCAAUCGAAUUUUCUAGAUCAUUUUUUUGCUUUGAAUGCUUUCUUCGGCUUUGGAAGAAAAAGACUAUUAAGGCUAGAAUUAAUAGCGUUGCGCUAAUUGGCAAUAGGAUACAUUCCAUAAGCUUAGUAGCUUUCCUUGAAUGUUUAGCAGAAUUAUGUGUGCAUGGUGGGAGUUGCAGUUGAGGUGCACCACAUAGCGCUUCAUUCCCCAUAAAUGAUUGAAUCGAGCAAUUGGCAAAGGGUCCUUCGUUAGGAAUUUCUCCAUGCAGUCUAUUGAAUGAGACAUUCAAAUACUCAAGGUGCAAGAGUUUUUGCAAGGACUUUGGAAUAAUUCCAGAGAAAUUAUUCCUUGAUAGAUCCAAGAAUUGCAAUUCUAUCAACCCACCAAAUAACUCAGGUAUAGAUCCGUACAAUCUGUUACCGGAUAAGGAAAGAUAAGUUAGGUCUUUAAGAUCUCUAAUGCUGCUCGGAAUUUCACUUGAUAAUUGAUUUUCGGAAAAAUCAAUAAUUGUAACAACCUUCCACUUUCCAAAGUCAAUUGGGAGAGCCCCGCCAAGAAAAUUGGAAGACAAAUUUAGUUGCAAGAUAUCUAUAAGCCUUGUGAAGGUUGAGGGUAUUGAGUUUGCAAACUUAUUGGAGUCCAAAUAUAGAUGCCUAAGAGAAACGAGAUCACCCAAGCAUUCUGGUAUUGGUCCAGCCAAUUUGUUACCUGUGAGAUGCAAGAAACCCAAACUCUUCUGACAGCAUAACUCAGAUGGAAUGGAUCCUUCUAAGUUAUUGUCUUCAAGAAAGAAACCUUGCAACUUUUCUAAUCUUCCAAUUGUGGUGGGAAUAGGUCCAAUCAGUUCAUUGUUAGCUAUGUUCAACCUGAUCAAGUUGAUUAGUUUGCCAAUCUCUACAGGAAUAUUGCCUCCAAUGUUGCAGUCCGAGGCAUCGAAUGUUUGUAGAGAAAUAGAGAGAUUUCCUAUAGAGAUAGGAAGUUCACCAUGAAUCAAUGGAUUAUUACUAAAUGCCAAGACUCUCAAGUCUUUGCAAUAUGCUAAAGAUGUGAGAAAGCUCAAUUUUGGGGAUGAAGGUGUGCGAGCCAAAUUAUUAAACUGUAGGUUGAGAAAUUGUAGAUCUCUUAGAUUUCCGAGGUCAUCGGGAAUAUAUCCAGAAAAUGAAUUAGCUGACAAGUCAAGCUCUAUUAGCUUAGAUGCAUUAGAGAUGGAGGUAGAGAUUGUUCCAUUUAUCUCAUUGGAACCAAGUAGAAGCUGUUCAAGUUUUGGAAGCCAAAGUCCUGUGCUCCAUGGAAGACAACCUGAGAGAUGGUUUACAUCAAGUGCAAUGGUCCUCAUAGUUGAGCUAUUAAAGAUUCGAGGAGGGAUAUGUCCAGAGAUAUUGUUAGAUUCCAAAUUCAACCUUUCCAAUUUUGGUAUGUUGCCUAUCUCAAGUGGUAUUUUACCUGCCACAAGGAGUCAUUUGGAUUUGUUCUGGUGAUCCAGAAGUAAAUAACAAAAUUUAUCAUAAAAGUUGUACGCACAUUUGUAUUUUUAUAUUUUAUAUUAUAAAUAUAUAUAACAAAGAGUGAAACAAGUAAAUUACUUCCAAAAGUGUUAAGUUACUAAUCUAUUGUGGAAUUCAACCUGCAUAAUGAAAUUGUUCCAUUAAUUAUUUUCAAAUUUAGCAGAAAAUUAUAUGGUCAAUUUGUUUGUCAAACGGAACAAUCAAAAUUAUAAAACAAAGUUUAGAAUUUAGAUAAUACAAGGUAAUAUAAUCUUACAGGCUAAUUUAUUAUUUUUCUUUCAAUUUAUAUAAUAUAAUGAAAACAUAUUAGAAAAGUUGAAAAAAAAACAGAACAUAGAUAAGUAGAUAGUAUAUUUCAAUUUAUAUAAUAUAAUGAAAACAUAUUACUAUAUUUGCAUUUUGAGAAACAAUUUGUUAUAAUUAUUGGUUGAUGCAAUAUAAUCAUAGGCAAAUUUGCUAAAUUUAAGGGUAUUUUCAUCUUAGUUUGUCCAUUUGUGUGUCCAAGAGAAAAAGGAGGCAUGGGACUGUGGAAGAAAGGGAGGGACGACGGAUAGGGCGGAGGAAUGGGGGAAGGGGGGUUGACAAGUCAGCGAAAGAAAGGCAGGAGCCGAGGAGAGAGAGAGAGGAGGAGUCAUACCAGUUUAGACAAGUUUAUUUAAAUAAUGUAUGAGUAGUGGAAAACCAGUCUUGACGAACAUCAAUCUUAUACUUUACAUCUAAAAGAAGAAGGAUAAAAUUUAAAUAAACUAAAAUGUAAUCAUAGUGAAUUUAAUAGAAGAAGUAAAAGACUUACGAGAUUGCAAAAUGUGUCAUUAUUAAAAGAAAAAACCAAUAAAAAAAAUGGAUUAGAAAUAUGUUAAAAAUGCGUCACAAUAAUAUUUAUUUGGAUUUGUUAAUAACAAAAUAACAAAAUUAAUGAUAAAACUUUUACACACAUUUCUAUUUUUAUAUUUUAUACUAUAGAUAUAUAUAUAACAAAGAGUCAAACAAUUAGUAUUUGUAAAUAAUAUUAUUCAAAUAUUUACAACAGUUGCAGCUAUGUAGAAACUAAACAUACAUGAGAGAAAAUAUAACUUAUUACCUGUCAAUUUAUUAGCGGGAAUAUCAAUCUCUAUCAGAAGUGUUAGGUUACCAAGCUGUUGUGGAAUUUCACCUGCAUAAUGAAAUUGAGCCCUUAAUUAUUUUCGAAUUGAACAACCACUUGUUUGUCAAAUGGAUCAAAAUUAUCAAAGAAAGUUUAGAACUUAGAUAAUACAAAGCAAUAUAAUCUUGCACAUUGCAGUUAAUUUAUUAUCUUUCUUUUCAAUUUAUAUAAAAGAAAAAGGAUAAAAUAUACAUAAACUUAAAAGUGAUCACAAUGAAUUUAAUAGAAGAAGUAAUAAAGAAUUGAAAGAAUUACUAGAUUGCAAAAAUGUGAUUGCGUUAAAAAAACCAACCCAAUAACAAAAGAAACUAAAAUAUUGUAGGCCCAAAAAGAGAAAAAAAGAAAAAGGCUUUUGUUAUUGUGAGAAAGAAAGGGUUAGAAAUAUGUUAAAAAUGCAUCCCAAUAUUUAUUUUUCUUUUACCUUUGAGGUUGUUCUCUGCAAGAUAUAGAAAUUUGAGCAUAGUCAAAUUUCCUAUUUCUUUCGGUAUAAUUCCCUCGAAAUGAUUAUAAGAUAAGGAUAAAUCUUUUAACUCUUGACACUUGAAUAAACUCAUUGGGAUUGGACCAGCAAGGUGGUUAAAACUCAAGUCCAGCCCUUGUAAUCUAGGUAAACGAUCAAACAUAUCUGAUGAGAUAUCACCAGUGAGGUUAUUAAAUGUAAAAUCAACCACUUCCAAGGAAGACAUGUUGAGUCGAAUGGAAGGUAUGGAACCAAUGAGCUGGUUGUUUCUGAGAAAAAUCUUUAGCAAUGAAGAUAUGCUGAAGACCGAAGAAGGUAUAAAACCUGAAAUCUGAUUAUUAUGUAAAUAUAAAAAUCUCAACCUAGAAAGAUUUCCGAUCUCCAGGGGGAUAUGUCCUUGCAGAUUGUUGUUAUACAAGCUCAAUAACUCUAGUUUUGACAAAGAGCACAAAGAAGAUGGGAUAACUCCCACGAAGUUAUUACCGCCCAAACUCAAGUUUUGAAGUUUAGAAAAGGAACCAAACCAAGAUGGGAUUUCUCCGUUGAAAUUGUUGUUACUCAAUAGUAGAGAUUUCAGCCGGCGCAAAUUAGCCAACUCGAUGGGCAAUGAACCAUGAAAACUGUUGUUUCCAGUGUCAAGGAAAGCAACGAAAGACAGAUUUCCCAUGUCUGGUGGUAUGGUUCCAGAGAGAUUCAUGCCAAAUAGAUCCAAAGCAAUGACUCUGUGGUGUCGAGAUCCGCAAGUGACACCAACCCAAUUGCAAAUAGAGGUAGCAGUUGACCAGUUCGUAGCCAGAAGAUCAUUGUUGACGCGGGUUUUUAGUGCAAGAAGAGCCAACUGGUCUGUGCUGAUGUUGGUUGUUGAUUUCAUAGCGAAUGAAACCCCAAAAUUAGGCAGCAACACCACCACCAUAAGAGCCAGAAUGAGCCAAGUGUUUCCCAUGAAGUUAAGUAGAAGUGGAACUUGUGAAUUAUAUGUGGGAAAGAUGAUGUUUCUUUUUCAAUAUAUAUAGAAAAUGUCAAAACUGUGAUUGGACUUAUAUCUUUUUUUUAAAAAGCAAUUUUAUUAGCCGCAUUAACCAUAUUGCCAUUCCAAGUCUCCUCCAAUUAGGAGACUUUCCAUGAUAUCAAGACAUGGUUAGGACAAACAAAUGUACAAUUACAAAAACUACCCCGCUCCUGCCGCUACCAGCUGUAAAAAACAUGAAGCUCAUCAAUCCUAUCAAGACCAAAAUCCAUCGACUCACUACCUCAAAAGCAAAAAGAGAGGCAUAAUCAGGUUCACUAAGCUAGAAAGUCCCUUUUGCACCCAAAAAAGAACAUAACACAGGAGGCCAUUCGACAAACCGUGGGAACCACCCCCAACAGAUCAUGCACACCGUCAAAGGCCAAAAAACAAAAACCAUAAUUCAACCAGCACGGUCGCGUCAAGCAAAUACGGGAGCAGGAAACCCCGUCUCAACAGCUCCAACCCACAGACCAGACAACAAGCACGGGCAGAAACAGAACCUUGUAACCAGGACACCUCAACUUCCAGCCUAAAGAAUAUCUAUUUCUUAUUCAUUUUCGUUGACAUAUCUAAAGGCCAAAAAAAGGUAUUUUUAUUUAUAAAAUUUAUUACAAUAUAAAUUUAAUUUUUUUAUGCAUACGGUACACUAUUACAUAAGCAAAAGUAACUCUCUUCUUCUUCAUAAAUCUCAUCUUACCCUCAAACCACAAUUGAAACUUGGGAUUUCAAGUUAAAAUUGUAUAUUUUAAUAACCGAGGUAUCGGUUCAAAUAGCAAGUAGGAAAUUCUUUCUUAGCUCUUUAACAGUAAUUCUGCCCUGCAUUUGUAGGAAAACAACAGAAUGAACUCUUUUACUAUCUUGUGAGUAUAAGAGCUUUCAGUAAGUAUUGGCCCCUUGGACUAAUAAGCACCAAAGACACCAGUUUAUUCGAUUAAAUGCCCAAAAAAAAAAGGUUAUCUUACAAGGCAAAGCCAAUCACAAGGUUUUUUUUUUAAUUUUUUUUCAAUCAGAGUAGGAAAUGACAGAAUCCUAAGUGAGUGUUUGACCUAGUUUAUAGAAGUGAUUUUCUACUGCAUAAGCUGAAACAAUAUGUUUGGUUGUCAAAAUUUUAGAAUUUCGAGUUAAUGUGUGAAGUUCAUUUGGUGUUUUAGAUGAAAUUAUUAAUCAAAAUUUUUUUAAUAGUUUUGAUCAAUCGAAUCAAAACUGCUUCAAAAAUAUUCACGUAUAGUAACAACUAUUUAAUGAAAUUUUUUAUAUUUUUACUUUAUUCUUGAAUAAUUCAUAAAAUUAAGAUAUUAGGAAACAAAUGCUCAAGUGUAAAUUUCCUCAAAAUUUCUAAAAGAAUAUACACGUAGAUAAUAAAUAAGUCAAAAUGGUACUUAUGAAAUAAAACAUAACAUAUUUUUAUUAUUAAUGAUUAUGUCUCUCAAAAGAAAGACACAAAAUUGAAAAAUUAUUCACACUUUGAGGAGCACUAAUGGUGUAGCUGAUCAGUUGGUUAAAGAUGGCUUAUAAAGGGAAAACGAUUUGUUAAACAUCAUUUUGUAAGCUUGAUGUUUAUUUGAGUUAUGAUUGUGGUUUUUUAAUGGUUUACUAUAACUGAGUUCCCACAUUUAUUUUCUCAUAUAAACAAAUAUCUAUUUUCUCUCAUGUCUCACAUCUUAUUAAUUCUUAACUAUUUAUAUUGUAUCUCAUUAAAAAUAUAUAAAAGUCAAGAUGAUUAAUAAAAUGACAUAUUUUCUUACUUCCCUAAUAUUAUGCACCUAAUAAAUCUCUAUUUUUUAUCACUUUCCAAUUUCCACAAUAUUAUUAAUUCUCAAUUAUUUCUCCUAUUUCCAAUCAACGUAAUAAAUAAUUCAUAAAAUGACAUAUUUUCUCACUUCCCUAAUAUUAUGUACCUAAUAAAUCUAUAUUUUUAUCACUUCUCAAUUCCCACAAUAUUAUUAAUUCUCAAUUAUUUCUUCUAUUUUCAAUCAACGUAAUAUGUAUUUAAUGAUCUCCAACUAAUGGUAAAAUUGUUUUCUUAAUUUCAAUGAAAUAAAAGACCUCAUUUGAAUAUUUAGACGCUUUAGGCUUUUUAGGUUUUUUUUCUUAAUUGAGGAAAGGGGGAUUCGAACCUUGCUUUCUAGGCAAGGGAUCAUGCACCAAGCAAUGAGCCAAAUACUCAGGUGCAUUUUUUAGGCUUUUAAGGUUAUUGAGCCACCCCUGGCAUUUCUAACAAUACUUUGCAACUAAUAUGUGACAAUCUUUCAGAUUGCAAAAUAUGUUUUAUGUUGUCCCCAUAUUAUGCUGUGGGUUCUAUUUUCAGUAUAUGCUUGACCACAGACAAUGACUUUUUAAGAAUUUAGUGGGUAGCUAGCUAAAGAGGAUGAUUGAUGAAUGGUGCAAAUAUGGUUGUUGACUUGGCUUCUAUGGUAGAGUAUUUUGCUUGGGUAUUAUUAUAAGUGAUGGUACAGUUGACUCCAUAUGUUUUUUAUGAUAACAAAAUAUUCUCAUUCAUUGAUGUCUAAUUACUUUAUUUAAGUGUGUGAACCCUUUAUAUAUUUGUUUUUUGGAAGCAAGUCAAGAAGCUUGCUUAAUUACAAGAUGAGUUAAUCAGUUAAAGAAGCAAAGAAGAAAAGGCUUAGUGAAGACAAAAUGUUGUUAACUGAUUAACGUGGAGCCUUAACCAAUUAAGGCAAAAGCUAGGAACUAUACAAAAGCAAGACAAUAAAACCUUAAUUAGUUACCACAAGGUUUAACUGAUUAAGAAGGUGCUAGAAGCUAAAAACAAAGGCAUGCUAAUCAGUUAAAGAAUUGGGAUAAUCAGUUAGAGCACAAGACUUAGUACCUUCAACGCCAAAAUUCAAAGUUGAAAGAAGAUUGACUAUAGAAGGGAGCCAAAAUGAAAAAGUUCAAAUUUCGAAGAUUUUCUAAUUGAUUAAAGCUGAUUUUAAUCUGUUAAGGUUGAAGGAAGUGAAGCCUCAACUAGUUAAGGGAAGAGCUAACCAAUUAAAGGAAGACUGUUGUGUAGAGGAAAAUGAAAACAGAAAGUUUGUAAUCAGUUAGAGUUUCCUCUAAUCGAUAAACACAAUGUACAUAACUACAAGACAGUGCAAGGCAGAGAAGCUAUAAUUUGUUAGAACUGCUUGUAACCAAUUAACGAAACACUGUCUGCCUAUUUGAAAAGAGCCGCUAGAAGAUAAAAUAACGGCUAUUAACGGCUAAAAAUUAUCUCUAACAGCCAGAAUCAAUCUUCUAAGUAUUUAAAGGCUCUCUAACAAUCAAAAAUUAUAUAGAGAAGCUACCAAGAGUGAUUUUGAACUUAAAACAUACAAAAACCUUCUUUUAACACUUGUAUUCCACUCAUAUCUUUGUGAAAGUGUUUGUGUUGAAGCUUUUACAACUUAAAUCAGUAAGGUGCUCAUUUGCACCUCCUUUUAUCUUCUAUUUCUUGUUUACUUAGAUUGUGAGAGAUACUCUAAGGGGUAGUCUAAGUUAGGAUAAGCUUAAGAUUUGUUGUAAAAGGGUUGAAGCUAGGGUUAGAAGCUAAUCUUGUAAAAGCUUGUUGGAAGCUAUUAAUUUCACUGGUUUUUUAAUGAAGUUUGGCUGAAAAUCUAUAAUUAGGAAUAUCAAGGUAGUGGAUGUAGGUCAGGUGGACCAAACCACUAUAAAUAUUGUGUUUUAUCCACUUCUCUUAUCUCUCUUUACUUAAUGUUUGCUAACUACAACAAGUUUUCAAACCAUUCAUCUUAAAUCUUCCAAAUGGAUUUUAAAUUUCAAAAAACUACCAUAAAAAAUAUUUUUAAAUACUAUUCACCCCUCUCUGACACUCCUUUUAGGACCAACAAGUACUGUUUGGGAAAAUGGAUGAUUAUUGAGGCUUUUGUGGUUUUUCAUCAUUGGUUUUUGGUGGUCGGUUACUUUGUUUCCAUUUCUUAUGACGAAAGUCUAAUGGUUAAUAUUCUGGUUCAUAGCAUGUUAAUUAAUGGCUUUGUUUUUGUAAUAGGAUUACCCCUGCUUCAUUUUAAUAAUAUUAAAUAAUUUUAAAAAAAUAAUUAUGUAUGAAUAAAUUAAAGCAACAAAUCCACUAUAAUUCCAAACCCAUAGAAUGGAAAACUGCCAACUAGUCAAGCAUAGCGAGAUCAAGUCUUUGAUAAAUGACUUGAUUUAGACUUUGUCGACCACUUCAUCCGAAAUUCCAGAAGUAAGUCUUCGUUAAUCACUUCAUCCAAAAUACUCAAAAACAAAGGCAAGUCUUCGUCCACCACUUCAUCCAAAAUUCUCAAAAAACCAAAAGCAAGUCUUCAGCAUCCACUUCAUUCAAAUUUCAGAAAACAAAAGAAAGUCUUUGUCAAUCAUAUCCCCAAAAAAAAAAUUUUAAAAAUGCCAAAUAGUAUAUUUCUAAUGCUUUGAUUCUGCAUCAGAUCAUAAAAUGGUCUUGACUUGGGUCUCCUUCCCACUAUAAUUCUUCUCACAAGUCUGUCAAAAUGAGUAAGUGCACCCGUCAAGCAUGACAUCAAAAGCCUCCUAUAAGGAUAUGUCUAAUUGGGGUCAAAUCUUUCUUAGUUAUUACUCUAAAAUGGAUAUAAGAUCUGCAUGUUUACAACAAGAAUUUCGAAUACUAAUUGGCAAGACGUGCCAGUUGACCCAGUUUGAUUCUAUUCUAGACUUGACUACUACUUGAUCCUAACAAACGUGUCGGAACUUGUGAAAGGAAAACUUUUGAAUUAUAUGUGGAAAUGACGAUGGUUUUCAAUAUAUAUAUAUUGAAAUUGUCAAAAUUGUGUUAGGAUCUAUUUCCACAUGCACCCUUCGACAGUGAAAGAAAAUUUACCACUUGGCAUAUUGGAGAGAAUUCUUAAAGAGCAAUUAAUGUUAUCAUUUCUUAUUCAUUUUUAUUGACAUAUCUAAAGGCCAAGAAAAAGUAUUUUUAUUUAUAAAAUUUAUUACAAUAUCAAUUUAAUUACAAAAUGAGUUAAUCAGUUAAAGAAGCGAAGAAGAAAAGGCUUAGUGAAAACAAAAUGUUGUUAACUGAUUAACGUGGAGCCUUAACCAAUUAAGACAAAGCUGGGAGCCAUACAAAAAGCAAGACAGCAAAACCUUAAUUAGUUAGCAUAAGGCUUAACUAGUUAAGAAGGUGCUGGAAGCUAAAAACAAAGGCAUGCUAAUUGGUUAAGGAAUUGGGAUAAUCAGUUAGAGCACAAGACCUUAGUACCUUCAAGCACCAAAAUCCAAAGUUGAAAAAAGGUUGACCAUUGAAGGGGGCCAAAAUGGAGAAGUUCAAAAUUCGAAGAUUUCUAAUUGAUUAAAGCUGAUUUUAAUCCGUUAAGGUUGAAGGAAGUGAAGACUUAACCAAUUAAGGGAAGGGCUAACCAAUUAAAGGAAGACUACUGUGUAGAGGAAAAUGAAAACAGAAAGUUUGUAGUUGGUUAGAGUUUCCUCUAAUCGAUUAACACAGUGUACAUAGCUACAAGACAAUGUAAGGUAAAAAAGUUGUCAUCAAUUAGAGUUGCCUGUAACCAGUUAACGGAACACUGUCUAUUUAUCUGAAAAGAGCCACUAGAAGACGGUUAGUAAUGGCUAGAAAUUAUCUCUAACAGCUAGAAUCAAUCUUCUAAGCAUUUAAAGGUUCUCUAACAGUCAAAAAUCAUAUAGAGAAGCUACCAAAAGUGAUUUUGAGCUUAAAACAUCUAAAAACCUUUUUUUAACACUUGUAUUCCGCUCCAAUUUUUAUGAAAGUGUUUCAGCUGAAGCUUGUACAACUUAAAUCAGUAAGGUGAUCAUUUGUACCUCCUUUAAUCUUCUAUUUCUUGUUUACUUUGGGUGUAUGAGAUACUCUAAGGGGUAGUCUAAGUUAGGGUAAGCUUAGGACUUAUUGUAAAAUGGUUGGAGCUUGGGUUAGAAGUUCACCUUGUAAAAGCUAGCUGGAAGUUGUUAAUUCUACUGGUUUUAGUGAAGUUGGAUUAAAAAUCCUUGAUUGGGAAGAUCAAGGCAGUGGAUGUAGAUCAGGUAGACCAAAUCACUAUAAAUAUUAUAUUUUGUCUACUUCUUUAAACCUCUCUUUACUUGGUGUUUGCUAAUUAUAACAAGUUUUCAAACCAUCCAUCUUAAAUCUUCCAAAUGGAUUUUAAAUUUCAAAAGCUACUCUCAAAAAUAUUUUUAAGUGUUAUUCACCCCUUUUCAACACUCCUUUUGGAACCAACAGGUACUAUUUGGGAAAAUGGAUAAUUAUUGAGGCAUUUGUGGCUUUUCAUCAUUGGUUUUUGGUGGUGGGUUAUUUCUUCCAUUUCUUAUGAUGAAAGUCUAAUGGUUAAUAUGCCGGUUCAUAGCAUAUUAAUUAUUGAUUUCAUUUAUGUAAUGUGUUUAACCCUGCUUCAUUUUAAUAAUAUUGAAUACUUUUAAAAAAAAAUCAUUAUGUAUGAAUAAAUUAAAGCAAGAAAUCCACUAUAAGUCCAAUUCCAUAGAAUGGAAAACGGCCAACUAGUCAAGCAUAGUGAGAUUAAGUCCUUGAGCAAUGACUUGAUUUAGACUUUGUCGACCACUUCAUCCUAAAUUCCAAAAGGAAGUCUUCGUUAACCACUUCAUCCAAAAUUCUCAAAAACAAAGGCAAGUCUUGGUCCACCACUUCAUCCAAAAUUCUCGAAAAACCAAAAGCAAGUCUUCAUCAUCCACUUCAUCCAAAUUCCAGAAAACAAAAGAAAGUCUUUGUCAAUAAGGGAAAAUAGGUAGUAGAUGUCAGAAUAAUUUUUUUACUUUUAAAAAAUUCCAAAUAGUAUAUUUCUAAUGCUUUGAUUCUGCAUCAGAUCAUAAAAUGGUCUUGACUUGGGUCUCCUUCCCACUAUAUUUCUUGACACAAGUUUGUCAAAAUGAGUAAGUGCACCCGUCAAGCAUGACAUCAAAAGCCUCCUUUAAGGAUAUGUCUGAUUGGGGUCAAAUCUUUCUUAGUUAUUACUCUAAAAUGCAUAUAAGAUCUCUAAGUUUGCAACAAGAAUUUCUAAUACUAAUUUGCAAGACGUGCCAGUUGUCCCAGUUUGAUUCUAAGACUUGACUACUACUUGACCGUAACAAACGUGUAGGAACUUGUGAAAGGAAAACUUUUGAAUUUUAUAUCGAAAGGAUGAUGUUUCUUUUUCUAUAUAUAUAUAUAUAUAUAUAGUAGUUUGUCAAAAUUGUGAUAGGACCUUUUUCCACAUGCACCCUUCCACAGUGAAAGAAAAUUUACCACUUGUUGGAGAGAAUUCUUAAAGAGCAAUGUUACCAUUCUUAUUCAUUUUUAUUGACAUAUCUAAAGGCCAAAAAAAAGUAUUUUUCUUUAUAAAAUUUAUUACAAUAUCAAUUUAAAUUUUUUAUACAUGUACUACACAAUUACAUAAGGAGAAGCAACUCCAAUUUAAAAUCAAAUAUUGUAUAAAGAUGGUUUGUAUAAAAGGUGGGUUUUUCUGAUCUGUUGUAAGCUUCCUCAUACGUGGCAACAUUACUGAUUUUAGGAUAUUAUGCAAUACAAAGGUAUAACAUCUUGAAAUCAGGAUUUUACAUAUUUCCUUCAUUAAUAAACCAUCUCCAUAAUUUUUUUUAAAAUGUUGGCAAAAAAACAAGAACAAGGAAUCCUAAGUGAGUGUUUGACAUAGUUUAUAAAAGUGAUUUUCUAUUGAAAAAGCAGAAACAAUAUGUUUAUUUGGUUGUCAAGAUUUUAAAAUUUUUGGUUUAAAUGGAAAGUUCAUUUGGUGUUUUAGACGAAAUUAUGAAUCAAAAAUGUUUUUCAUAUUUUUGGUCAAUUAAAUUAAUACUUCUUCAACGAUAUUAAUGUAUAGUAACAAAUAUUUAAUGAAAUUUUUUAUAAUUCUACCUUACUAUUCAAUAAUUCAUAAAAUUAAUAUAUCAGGAAACAAAUGCUCAAGUGUAAAUUUCAUUGAAAUUUCUUCAAAAAUAUACACGUAGGUCAUAAAUAUCUCAAAAUAGUAUUUAUGAAAUUAAACAUAGCAUUUUUUUUUAUGUAUGAUAUAAAUUAAAGCAGGAAAUCUAGUAUAAGUCCAAAACCAUAGAAUGGAAAACUGCCAACUAAUCAAGCAUCGUGAGCUCAAGUCUUUGUGAAAUGACUUAAUUUAGACUUGUCAAACACUUCAUACAAAAUUCCACAAAAACAAAAGCAAGUCUUGGUCAUCCACUUUAUCCAAAUUCUAGAAAACAAAAGAAAAUUUUUGUCAACCAUCUCCCCAACAAAUUUUUGUCAACCAUCUCCCCAACAAAAUUUACUUUAACUAAACGUUAUACACAUAUUUAACGUAAUUCUUCUGAAAAAAAAAAUUACAAGCUCUUUGAGUAGGUGUUUAUAUUUUUCUGUCUUCCUAGACAUACUCUUAGAUUCCUUUGUUUAAUAUAUUGAUUAAUAAUGGAUAUCAAGUUUAUGAUGACAAUAUUCCUUUUCAUGUAUAUGAAUAAUAUUCCUUUUACUAGUUCACUGCCAGAAUUGAACUAAAAGGAGAAUGAAUUUGUCCUUUUGGCCCUUUAAGGAAAAAGAACUGAAUAAUACAUGUUCUUGAUUUAUUGCAAACUACGAUUUGAAUCAGGUAGCCAGUAAUUAACAACCACUAGUGAGGCCUAAUCACAUAUUAAGCAACAUUAAUAAUCAAUUGGAGGUAUUAAUUAUGCCAGUGAUUGCUACGUACAUCAUCAACACUGAAUUUCAGUGUAGGCAAUCUUCCAUAAGAAAUUCCUAGGUCCUCUCAAUCUUUCUGAUCUAGUUUCUCCCAAAGACAGGAUGUGUUGGUCAAAAUCAUUGAUGAAGCUUCCUUUACAAAUUACAAUAACAUCGAGGAAAAUAAUUAGUAGAUGUCAGGAUAUUUUUUUUCUUUAAAAACAUGCCAAAUAGUAUACUUCUAAUGCUUUGGUUCUGCAUCAGAUCAUAAAAUGAUCUUGACUUGGGCCUCGUUCCCACUAUAAUUCUUCUCACAACUUUGUCAAAAUGAGUAAGUGCACCCGUCAAGCAUGACAUCAAAAGCCUCCUCUAAGGAUAUGUCUAAUUGGGAUCAAAUCUUUCAUAGUUACUACUCUAAAACGGAUAUCAGAUUUGUAAUUUUACAAUAAGAAUUUCGAACACUAAUUUGCAAGACGUGCCAGUUAACUUAUUAAUUUACAAUGAUAAUAUAACUUCAAUGUGAGGCCGAACAAAAAAAAAUAAAAGGAACAAAUAGAACUUUAAGUUAUCUUUUUUAAUAUAAGCCUAACAAUAUGGAAAAACAAACUAUAUUAUCAAUUGCAUUCAAUUAAUAUUAAUUAUGUGAGGAUGAAUUUGCUAAUUUGAUAAACUAAUUAGAAUUUAAAAGUGCAAAUAAUAAGAAAUAUAUAUACCUCUAUAAAUUUCAAAUCAAUAAUUUAUCUUCAAAUGUUUAUUUAAAUUAUAAUUACAAUUAAUAUUACUUUUAGUAGUUUAUUUAAAUUCAAAUGUAAAUCAAACUAAAAGAAAUUAGAUUCCUAAUUAAUUGAAUUAACCUAUCUCAAAGAAGGCAAACCUUUCUACUUUUCAUGUCGGUAACCUUCCAACAAAUAUUGGAUAACUAAUUAGAGCAUGACCCCAACAUUUUUAAACUUAAUUAUUCAUUAGACAUGGUCUUACUGGAUUCUCUCUUUGUUCUUGGCUGUUUUAAAUGACUAGUUUAGGACUUUGGUCUUUGAAUUAUGAUUAAACAAAUGCUCCUGAAUAUCAAGGCAUCACUGUACAUAACAUCUUCAUCAAUUCAUAAGAUAUGUCCUAGUGCAUCUAGAUGGUUAAUCCUAUUAUUGCUCAUGCUAUUUUACACUUCUAUAUAUAUAUAUAUAUAAUGUUGUUAAAAAAAUGAAUGUACUUACCCAUUAAGGAUUUAUCAAUCAUUUUUUUAAUAUAUAUAUUUAUCUACACACACAUUGAAUAAUUGAUAGUUAAAAUACUAUAUAUUUGAAAAACCGUUUUUUCAUUUAAUGCACUAUAUAUCAAAUUCAAGAAGGAACAACAUAUUAGUUACAAAUCUUUCUUAUAAAUAUUACCUUAAUAUAAAUAUAUAUAUAUAUUUGAUUNUAUAUUUUGGGAUAAAAAAGGAAACUUAUUUGAAAAUUGAGAAAAUAGCAGAGUGUUAGGGAAAUGUCGAUAUCCAAAAUAGUUACUAAUAUUUUCUUUUAAAAUUACUAAAAAAAACUCACUUAGUGUGCACUAUAUAUUCUAGAAAAAAAAAAUUCAUCUUUAUUUUUGGUUUUAUUUGAAGUUGGAAAUUGAACCUAACUCUUUGAAUAGAAGAUGCAUGUUCUUACUAUUGAAUAUAAAAACUCAGCUGUAAAAGGUUUUUAUUCAUGUGUUUGGACAGGUGAUAAUCACAAUUCACAUGGGUCAACACUAACAAGGUAACAUGUAUCCUUAUUAAUGAAUAUGGAUGGAAAAUAUCAUAAACUAAAAACUAGAGUUUUAAUGUACAUGAUUAUCUAAUGUUAACAAUAAUACAAUCCUAGUGAAUUAAAUGUAUAGUAGAGUCUAUCAGAAUUAAUGUGAAAUUAUAUAAAAUCACAUUUUCAAGAUGCACCAGAUUCAAUGUUACUAUCAAAUCUUUGACUUGAAACAAGCAUUGAAAUGGGUAAUUCUGUAAGAUGAAUUUGGAAAUUAGAUGUGGUUGAAAGAUAUGAAAAGUGGAUUACUAGAGGCCUAUAUGUAUACCAUAUUUUCAAGUCAAAGCUUUUUUUAAGUAUGUUUUUAUUGGCAAAGAAGAAAAACAAGUUUUUAACGAUCACAUAUAGAAAAGUCUAGAAGAUAUUUUAUUUUAGUAAUUAAAAUUUCAAAUUUUAGUUUGAAAAUUUCGUGAUAGAAAUAUGAAAGAUUUAUUAGUUUCGAAUCCAUUUAUCUUCUUCUUUUAUAUGAGUAAUGAUUUGAUCAUGAAUUAUAGAUCUCGCAUAUAAAUGAAUUCAGAUACAUAUGAGAAGUAAUGGACCGAAAAAUUAAUUGUUAAUUUUUUAUAGUUCUUUUAUAAUUGUUAAUAUCUAUUGUCACAUGCAUUGCACAUGAAUACUUGUUUUCAAAUAUAUUUUUAAAUUGUUACAAAUUAGAUAAAUCUUAAUAAUAUUAAUAAUAAAAAGAUUUAAAAUAAUAACUUUAAAAUAUUAUAAAUAAAUAUAAUCAUUUUCAUUGAUCAAAAAGUUGUUCUAACAUUCGUACUUUAUACAUAUUAUAAGCAUCUACCAAAAGGUGGUGGUUUUUGUAUACUUUUUAUCAAGUAAUGAGAUCAUUUCAAUGCCUUGAUAUACAUAUAUGUAUAUACAUACAUAUAUGUACAUAAAUAUAUGUAUGUAUAUAUGUACAUAUAUACAUACAUUUAUAUAUGUAUGUCAUAACGUGUGGGUUCAAGAACCCGAUCGCUAGACGUGGUUAACUUAGGGAGUCGCUACCAAUAUUUUUUUACCUAGAUGCGAUUAGCCACCUAUUAAAUUUGUUUUAUUCGACGGAGUUCUAAAUCGACUUUAGAUCCUUCUAAAGAAUAACAAACUGGUCUACGUUUUUUAUUUAGAAUUCGGUUCGAGAGUACAGUUACGCACAGGAAAAGAUUAACACCCCUAUGACGCCAAUUCCACGAACGGUACCAUUUAAUCAUAUAUUAUUAUAACCCAUUAAUUUUAUUAUUAUGUUUUCUUAAUUUUUUUUAUUUAACUUAUCUUUUAUUCUAUUAAUAAAUUAAAAUAUUCUAUUUGAUUUUACGAGUUUAACGUACACGUAAUGCAAUUGUAAAAUGCAUGGUAUAAAAUCGAGAUAAUGUCAAACGAAAACCUUUUUAUGAGUGCACUUUUUGAAUCCACCUAUCAUGCUGGUGAGAUCCAGGAGUAUCCUCUCACUUAGGAAAAUAUCUGAGAAACUCGCCUUCGCAAAUUACCUGGGUAAAUCCUAUAAUCAGGAUAGUCAUUUGCAAGUAAAAACAAUAUUUUUAUGAAUGUAAAUUCUAAUACGGACAAAGCUUUUUAUUAAAGAUAUUUCUCCGAACCCUCCCAUCAUACUGGUGAGACUCGGAGGCAUCCUUUCACCUAGGAAUUUUUCUGAAGGAACUUGCCUUCGCAAACUCUUUCAAAAAGUUCCACCAUCGGGGCUUGGAUUCAUGUACAUCAUACAUCUAUAUGCCAUGACACUUAACAAUGCAAUAAUGAUGUGUAAUAUGCUUUUAAAUUUCAAUAUUUGUUUCUUAAUCUUCCUACAACUCCUUUGAUAUUUCUUUGAAAUUCUUUUUAUUGUUCUUCUUUGUAUGUAUAUAUCUCAUGGAUAAUAUAUGUUAUAUUUAUUAUUUAUUAUUUUAUUUUUUUCAUUAAAGUAUUUAUAUAUUGUUGCUCUAUGAAUUUUCCUUUUUACCUAAAUACUAUUUCUUUUUAAACCAAAAAUCUCAUUUCAUAAUUGUUAUUUAUGUGUAUAUAUUUUUUAUAAAUCAAUUACGUUUCUACUUUUUAUUAACCUAACCUAUUUUCUUUUUGACUAGCUAUUUUUUUAAUCUUUUCUCAUCAAUCUAUUUUAUAUUUGCCUUUCAUAUUUUAGUUGUAUUGGCUAUUGUGAAUUUACCAUCAUUGAGAGUUUUAUUAUUUUAUUAUUAUUUAUUCAUUACCUUCAUUAUUUCUUUACUUCUUUUGUUUUAUAUUUUUGUUUGAUUAGUAAUUAACUUAAUACAUUUUUCAUUCACUUAGAAUUGUAAAUAUCAAGAUUUAGAAUUAAAACCUUCCUAUUAUACUGGUGGGAUCUUAAUCGAAAUCUCUUACUUAGAAAAAUUCAUCUAAUGUUGCAACUUCAUGCACUCCAAAUAACUAUUUCAUCAGUGGUUAUUCUAAUAAUAAUGUAACUUUUUUUUACCAUCAUGUUCACUAUCAUUCACUAACUUUGAAACCAUUAUAUUUUAUUUAAUAUACACUCCAAAAUUUAGAGAAAUGAGGGAUAUCCUUGCACAUAUAUUUCUUUAAUUUUACUAAACCAUAUAUCUAUUUUAUUUUUUCAUUGUUGUUGACAAUAUUAAUACUAAUUUUAUCAUUUUUCUUGUUUAAAUAUUUUUUCUAAAAAAAAUACUAAUCAACAAUAUUAAAAAUACAAACACAUAAAAGAAUUAAGAAAUAAAAAAAAAACCCAUACAAAAUAAGUGUAAGUGACCCAACACAUAAGUCCUAAAUAACAAAACACAAACGGAACACAUACCUUUUGAUCUAUCAAAGCCCAAAUUCAAUUGUAUCUUGUCAAUAAUGUGAGAUCAUAGGCUAAGCUCCCAAGGACAAAGACAAGGGCUUGUUUCAGGGUUGUUUCUCCAAGCCUAACUAGAAUCAUGGGCUUGCCUUAAAGGCUUUACAAACUGAGCUUAAAGGAAAGGGAGACGGGCUUAGUCUGCUUCAAGUCCUAAAGGCACCACUUGGUGCUGCAGCUUAAAGAAACAAAAGUAAAAAAGGAAAGAAAAUUUGAAAGCAAUGCCGUUUCAAUCUCCUCCAAAGCCCAACUAGAACACCGGUUUCUCCAAAUUUUUGGACAAUCAGAAGCCUUCAAGUUCAAAAAAAAUCCACUGAAAAUGAUUUCAAGUUUCCGAUUGCCCGAGGAGCAUUCAAUGCUCUGUAUAUUGUUGACAAUGGAGGCCAAGCGUGCUUCUAGCUUUUUUUUUCUUUUUAAAUUUUGGUUUAAUUUAUUUAUUAAUCAUUAUUAAGAAAGGUGUCUNGCUUUUUUUUUCUUUUUAAAUUUUGGUUUAAUUUAUUUAUUAAUCAUUAUUAAGAAAGGUGUCUACAAUAUAUAAUAUAUAUAUAUAUAUAUAUAUAUAUUAAUAUAUAUUAUAAACAUCUACCAGCCAACUACAAAUUCACUGAAUGAACUACUCAAAAUGCUGUUUUUCUGGAUUGAUCCUUUCAUAGCGUCACCAAUUACAAGAAUUAAGCAAUGUUAUGUGCUCAAAGUAAAAUCAUUGCCUUGUAUGUGUGUGUAUAUACAUGUACACAUGUACAUACAAUCAUGUCUAUAUGCAUAUAUCUUAUACACACACAUAAAUACAUCCAUUAGAACAAGGUUUGACCUAAAGAUCCCUACCUAAUUAUUCAAUACUAUCCUACCACUUGAGCUAAACUUGAGUGGCACCAUUCCAGGAGUUCUCUUUUUACUUUCCUUUGAUUCCCUUUGAUAGCCCCAAAUAAUUCACAAAUGGCUCAAAAGGACAAAUACUCUCCUGCCCUCAAGCUGCUUCAUCAUGUUUUAACUCCCACCACUCACCAAGGAGAACUGCAAGCUCCUGAACCAGUAGGACAUCUAUGUACCCUUUCACCCGAAUUUAAAGGAAAGACAAACUCACUCUGUUAUAUGAGACAGGGAGUAUCAUAUACAUUCCAACUAAACCAAGACAGACUGCUUCAUUUGUGCCGUUUCAUGCCCUUAUAUAUGCAGAAGGAAAAGGUCAAAUCAAGCUUAUGAUGAUUGCUUGCUCACCACCCUCCCUCCUAAUAUGCAGGGAUGAUUUGAGCACAACACAUGCCAUAGAAGACAGAUGUAACUGCCAAUAUGAGAUCAUGCCUCAACCACAAAGAUUGACAUUAAAGUACAACUAUUCAACCUCUAGCACACUGGAUAAUCAGGAGACUUGGUCCAGUUCUCAUCUGCCAGACCUGUGCAUGAUGUGGUCAAGUAAAGAUGUUCAGAUACUCAACCACUCAUUAAAAAAUGGAUGUAUAACUUCCAUAUCAAGUACAAAACAGUAAAAAUUACAGGUUUUUUUUUUUGGCUAAAUGUGAGCUCUACUAAAUGAAGUUCUAAGAGCUGCACAAUGAAAACCAUCUAGAGAAGUACUAUAGUUUUCACUCUCCAACAACACAACUUAGUCUACAACAGCAAAGCCGAAAAUCUGUCAAAUGUAUAUCCUGAAUAGAGGAAAAAUUAGUUACAUUGAAUCCACGUAUGAAAGGAUUAAAUUAAGAUGUUUGCUUAUGGAGUGAACAUAGUUUAGGAUAAUCUGUCAAUCCGUUCACACAAUUAGAGUAAUAAGUCAAUUCAUGCCCACUAUUAUUUUCACUACAAUUCUAUAAUAAUUCAAUCCCAACUAUCUUUAGUGUAACAGUCCACUUGUAUGUAGCGCCUAUGCACCCCAUAAGCAAGGAUGAUUAGAUGAUAUGGACUCACUACUAAAUAGUAAUGCAUCGUUAUCAUUGUGACGAUAAAUGUUGAACAAAUGACUUCAUCUCGGGCAAAUGAUUGAGGCUUCUCUUCUGACUUCCUGUUUGACGUUUGUUCACUCUGCCAUAUCAUUUUAGAGAAAGAACCACUUGUGGAACAUGUUGCAGACACAACUUUUGACAAAAUAGCUCCUACCAAGGAACGGUUCCUAUCUUCUGAGAGUCUUGAACAUAAUUAAACAAAAGUUUAUCAAUAACGCAGCAAAAGAAAAGAAAACGAGAAGCUACCCAUGAAAGAAUCCGUUCUUGUAAUGAAAGAUAAAUCAUAUUAUAUUUCAAAAUGCAAUGAGACUAACCUGAAAGCUGAGAUCAAAGCAUCAUCUCCAAUGGUGACUGCACAUUAGUAACGUUGACUUGACUGCCCAACAAUAAAAAAAGCAGCUGAAUUCAAAUACCAGAAUAACUUCAGAAAGCUGCACGAUAGUAAUGUUGCAGGCACAACUUUUGACAAAAUACCUCCUACGAAGGAAUGUGUUUCCAUAACUGGUAAUCUACCAUAAGAGUUUCCUAUAUCCUCUAAAUCUUUCUUUGGUUUCUGAUCCCAAAAACGAGAAUGUGUUUCUUGAAAUGACCUUUGAAGCGUACUCGACAUUACUCAUUUAAGUUAGUUAUCUAAGUUGGUCAAACACGUACACAAAUCUAAUGCUUUGCUUCUGCAUGAGAUAAACAGGCAAGGCUCUUGCCAUGUUUCAAAAUAACUAUUACACAUUUAAGCAGGGAACUCACCUGAAUAUCAGACACAUCAAAACGUGCAAUCACGCCAGGUAUGACAACACAAACCUCCUCUGAGGAUAAAUCUUGUGUCAUAUCUUUCUUACUUCCACAGACUCUUAAGUUUACAACGUGUCUUGGAUAUACCAUCUAAAAUCAAAAAUUAAACUAAUAAGUUCACCAUUCGAAUAACGAUUUAUCUCUAACUUAUUUCAACUUAAUAACUUUAGAUCCAACUGAUGUUAACAUAAGAAGACUUCAUUCGGCUCAUCAGUUAAAAAACACAUUCAACCUAUAAGUUUACAUGAAAAUCUACAAAACACACCAAAUUAUGUUCAUUUCACUUUGCACUUUCUAAAACUGUAUCAUCCAUUGAAGGUAAAAUUAAAAAACUGAACACAUAAAUAAAUCCAGCAUUCAAUAAAUACAUCAAGCUAAGCAAACGAAAAAAGCAAUCAUUUUUGAAGAAUGAAAAAUGAAGAUGUAACUUAUUUAGAUAAUGAAAUGCAUAAUUCUACUUUUAUAUGAGGUAACUAAUUAUUCCAGUCAUUGUUCAUUUAAUCAAUUACAUAAUUUUGCUUCAAAGUAAACUUUCAAGCAAUAGCAAUAACAACCAAACCAAACUCAAAACACAUAAAAAGAAAAAUUACCUGUCUAUGAAUCAAAUCACCACGCAAAGAGUAAACCAAGAUAAAAGGAAAGUGGUGCUGGCGUUGGCGAUGAGGAUAAGAGAUCGGUUAGCGAUGGCGAGACAAUGAGCAUCGAGAGCACAGAGGAGAGAGGUGCUGGCGUUGGGGGCAGCGCCGAACUCGGACAAGUCUUCGUAGGCGAUGCAGCCGAGAUCCGUCAAGUGACGAUGGCUCUGUUUCGACAUUGCGUCGGGCUUCCGGGUUUCUUUUUUCUGUGUCUCUUGUCUCUUUGGCAACUGACAUUACGGAUUGGAAAGGAAAGAAUUUUGUAUAUGAAAGGAAAGCGGUGACUGUGGGAUCCACGUGUAUGGUUGGGAAGAAAAUUCAGAAAAUUAAUUAAAAAUUAAAAUGAAUGCAUUGGAACGUUUUUAUUUUAUUUAAAGUCUUCCAAAUUACAACAUUUUCAAUACAAAUCCUAAAUUCAUCAGGAAAAAAAUAUAUAUAUAUCUUCUUCAAAACUUGUCUAUUCCACAUAAACUUCAAAUAAAUGCUGCUGAACAUGAAUAGCAAAUUAUCCACUAAGAACACCUGGAAUUGUUCAAACCACUACCAUGGAAAAGCCAGAUGCUAGAGAAACAGGGUCCAUUGGAUUCGGUUCGUAAGCUACCUUGACAAAUAGAAAAAAAAAAACAAAGGAAAAAUCAAUUAUAGAUUACAAAAGCAACGAAAGCUUUGUUGUAAUUCUACUUUGGUAAAAAAACUCACCUAUGCAUGAUGUGGAUGUAGUGCUAGUUUCUUCUUCCUCUGUUUCUGCUAAUCCACUUUGUAACAUUGUUUUGCCAAUCUCUCUCAACCAUUCUGAUAAACCACCAUGGUCUUGCUGUUGUGAACACAAUGUAUCCCAUGCUCAAUCCUAACACCACUCCACAUCCGUAGCCCAUCAUUACAACUUUCCAAAUAAAGGCUAUUUCAGAACCUUCAUCUUCCUUAGGCAUUGGUACCGGUGGUUUUGGUUCCUCAUCAUUGCCGCAUUGCUUUGACAGGUGGAGGCCACACAAUCCCAAGUUACCACUAUAAGAAUCACUCUCAAAAGUAUCAAAUUGAUUCCCACCGGGAAUUGGUCCGGUAAGAGCAUUUUGUGAAAGAUUUAACACUGCAAGGAAUGUCAGCUUCGUCAAUUGGGAAGGAAUUCUGCCACCGAGCUUGUUUGAUGAGAGAUCUAACGAUUCAAGUGCUACCAUCUUUCCAAAAGAUGUUGGGAUAGGACCAAUUAAAUGGUUGUUAGAGAAGUUGAGCGCUUGGAGCGAAAUAAGUUCUCCGAGUUCCUUAGGAAUUUGUCCAUAGAAUAAAUUGCUCGAAAAGUCUAUAGACAUGAAAAUGUCUAAGGUUCGUGCUAACUCCAUCUCCAAUCUUUUCAUUGUUACAUUCACAGAAACAUUCAUAGAAAUUUGCUGAUAGACACUUACAUAUACUUUUCCACCUUUGGCUAUGCAAUCCUGAUAGCAGUAUUUAGAACUUUUUUGAAGGGGACCAUCAGUGUCACCUGUAACGUCAAUAUACCCCCGUGAGCUUGAACCCUGAUAAUGCAUAUACCCCAGUGAGCUUGGAUUCUGAUGUCUCUUUUGAGGUUCAUCUUUCAUUGCUCUCAAAUUUUGGAAGAAUUUUGUUGGCAAGGGGCCAGUGAGCUCAUUAUGAGAGAGAUCAAUUAUUUGCAACGAGGAGAAGUUAGACGAAGCUAUGGAAUUGGGCAUGGGACCAUACAAUCUAUUAUUUCGCAAAAGAAGAACUUGUAGCUCAGGAAGUGAAGCUAACCAAUGGGGAAAGGUAUCAGUAAACUUGUUGUUCCUUAAAUUCAAAACUUUCAAAGAACUACAAUUAGCCAAAGAUUGCGGCAAUAAUCCUUCCAAUUGGUUGUCAUUAAGGAGAAGAUAUCUCAACUGAUCAUUUGUAAAAGAAUCAGGGACUUUGCCAUAAAAAUUAUUCAUCUCCAAAUUCAAGAACUUGAGAUAAAUGCUGAAAUUUCCAAUAUAAUUUGGAAUGGUUCCAUUCAAGUUAUUUCUAGACAAGUCAAGAAACACAAGUGAACUUUGAUCGCGAAUCAAAAGAUUUGACAGAAUUGGCCCUUGAAGCAAGUUGGAUCGAAGGUCAAGAACUCGAAGAUUCUUUCCUGGAAAUUGCUCCAAAGUGGUCAAAGAGUUAUUAGAAAGGUGCAACUCGAGCAAGCUUUCCCACCCUUCUGCUUCCCAUUUGGAAAUUCCACCACAAAUCUUGUUAUAGGAAAGAUCUAAAAUCUCCAAAUUUGAUUUUUGAAAGAAACUUGGGAAUUGUCUUAUGCUACAAAAAGAGAAUGACACAGUAGCAAGCUGGGGGAAGGAAUAGUUUGCAUCAUUACCGCCUGUGCUUAAUGAUAGUAAACUAUUAUUAGAAAGAUAAAGAUGGGAAAGAUUUUCGAGUUUUGCAAGCAUAUUUGACUUGAUGACACCACUCAAGUUGUUUGAUGAAAGAUCAAGUUUUUCAAGGUUCACAAGAUCAAAAAAAAAACUGGGUAUUGGACCAUGAAUGUCAUUAGAACUCAAAUCAAUGUUUCGGACAGAAUUAGGCUUCUGAAUUUGGUCGAUUGGGCCGGUGAGUUUAUUAUGGCUGAGAUCUAAAUCUUGCAACGAUGGCAAAGUAAACAGCCAAGAUGGUACUCCACCACUUAUUAGGUUAUUAGAUAACCAAAAUCCUUCUAGCAAUUGAAGCUCACUAACAUGAUUUGGCAGUGGACCUUCUAAUUGAUUAUGUGACAAAUUUAGUAGGGUAAGUUGUGUGAGGUUGAACAUAGUUGUUGGAAGUUGACCACUAAAAUUGCAAGAAUCAAAUUUCAAAGUAGUUAAUCUGUUAAGGUUUUCAAAAGCAUCUGGAAUCUGUCCUUCAAAAUCAUUUUCAGAAAAAUCUAAAAAGACAACUUGAGUGAGAUUUCGAAAUGAUGCAGGAAUUGAGCUAGAGAAUCCAGAACGAGAGAGAUUAAGAUGGGUCAAACUCACUAACUUAUUAAAUAACUCUGAAGAGAUAGAGCCAUCGAAAUUGUUGUGAGCAAGGUUGAGUUGUUGUAGUCCUUGAAAGUGGAAGAGGCUGCUGUCUUCAAGAAGAGAGCCAUGAAGGUUGUUGGAACUGAGAUUGAGCCAUUGAAGUCUUUGAAGGUGGAAGAGGCUGCUGUUCGCAGGGAGAGUGCCGUUAAGGCAACUGUUACUAAGGUCGAUGCCAAUGACAUGACCCGUCACCGUGUGGCAAAAGACUCCAUCCCAUGAACAGCAAUCCGUGCUUUCAUUCCAAGAAUUUGUCCUUGGGCAAUCAUCACAAUAAUGAUCCAAAGAAAUGGUGUUUUUGAAUUCAAGCAAGGCAGCUCUCUGUUCUGGGAGGCAUAAAUGAGCCGAAUCAAGAAAAGAGGAAGAGAAACUCAAUAAACAAUGGACCUGGAAAUGCAAGAACGCUAAAAGCAGGAAAAGGAUUGGAUACAACAUCCUAACUACCUUUCCUAUGUUUUCUCGAGAAAAAGGAAGUUACGAAACAAGGGUAGUCGAAAAAGGGCAAGCUAAGGGGGUGGAACUGAAAAUGAGUUGUGGUUGAGGUUGAGGGACAUUAAUUAUAAAUGAAGUACCUGAGAAGUGGAGACAUCUCUUUUUCAAGUCUUUGCAAAAUGUUUAUAUUAAUGAAUUUCCAGUCAAGUCUUGUCAACUUGAAAAUUUAUGUCUGGAAUCAAAAUUAAAUUAACGGAAUAAAAAGGAAAAGUGUAUGUACCGAGUGUGACAGGAUGGCACUAAACAAUAUUAAAAGAAACUUCAAGAUGAUAGAAAGGAGAGGAAUCGGUAAAUUGCUGGAAAAGUGUACACGCAUAUUUUUCUCAUCAUUCCAUUGCAUUUUCAAGUUCAAAAGCACCUACUAAAAGUUAGAGUAGCAUUAUUUUUCCUUAUAUUUUGUUUUUACUAUUUAACUCACCUGCUAAAAAAUUUAUCAAUUUUUGAUAAGUCAAUUUAUUUGUAAACACAAUGCUCAAAAUUGAAUCAAUUUAUGAUACUUCGAUAAAUAGUACAAAACAAACGACAAGUAAGAAUUAUACAAAAAGAAUAUUGAAUAUUGUUUUGAAAACAAUCCAAAAGAUUGUGACAUGAACUUUGAAACAAAAAGAUUAAUAAAAUUGAUCAUAUAAGUGACAAUUCAACUGUGAAAACUAUCAAGUCAAAAGGAAGAUGGAAAACAAUUCAUUUCUCCUUAGUUCUCUUAUAAUUAUUAGUAUUUAUUAUCAUGUGUGUUGUACAUAAAAUUCUUUAAGUUUCAUGAUGUGGAAGAUGAGAUUUUUUUCUUAAUUGGCAUAUAAACACUGAAUUUUAAUAAUCUUGUAAUACAAUCUAAUGAAAAAAACUAGAAAAUAUGGGAUUCUUUUUGGUUUUUUAACAAAAAAAUUAUGAUAUUUUUGUUGGUCUUAUAUUCCAAAAAAAAUUUAUUAACAGCAAAAAGAAAAGUAUAUUGAAAGAAUGAAAUUUGAAAAGCCAAAAGAAUAACAAAAAGAAGCAUUAUAGGCUCAAUAUAUUUUUUAUCCUUAAUAACAGCUUAAGGGUAAUAAAAUAAAGAAGAGAGGUAGAUUUAAAAAGAUUAAAUUAUGUAAUUAAUUUUUAUAUUUUAUAAAAAAUAUGAAUUUAGCUUUUAUAUAAUAAUUUGUGAAAAAUGUGGAUUUAGGGAUGGUGAGAGAGAGCAUUUUUUGUUUGGCUUGUGAAUACAAAAUUAGACUUCUAACUAGUAAACUAUCACUUGCAAUGAUGAUAAACUACAAGUCUACGAAUAAACUAGAACGGACUUAGCUUCUUCUUCUUUUUCUUUAAAGGCAGAGAGGAUUUAACUUAAUUGUAAACAAGUAUCAUAUUUGUCAAAGAAGUUAUGAUUACAGGUCUUUAUGAAAAGGAUUUCGAGGGCACGCAGACAAACAGGACAUGUCCUGAAAGCAGCUAAAAGGGUAAAAUAAGUGUGUAGUUGAGGAUUUUCGCCAAUCUUUUUUGUUAAUUGGUUGUUAAUUGUUUUUCCCUGAUCUUUGUAGUUAAUCUCAUUUGAUUUAGGACUAAGAUGUUUGUCUCCCUCUAUUCGAUUGUUAACAUUUUUUGUCUCCUAAUUUUUUUUUAAUCUCAUUUAAUUUAAGGUUAAGGUAUUUGAGAUUAAAAUUUGAUGGAUUUUUGUCCAUUGAUAUCCACAACAUUUUUGCCACAUCAGCAAGUGCACAUCAACAUUUUCACCAUAUCAACAAGUGCCAUGUUAGCAAAAUGCAUGUUAUCUGUUCAAUCAAUGCCAUGUCAACACAUAAUCAACACCAUUUACAUUUUUUUUAUAAAAUAUAGAGACUAAUUCUAAAAUUUAAUUAUUUAAAAAUUAUUUUUAUAUAUAUCAUCACUGAAAAUUUUUAAACCUGUAAGCAGAGUUAGAAAGUUACCAUGUAUCACAUAUUAAAUUAAUAGACAAAUUAAUAUAAUAAAUAAAUAAAUACAUGAAAAUAUUCUAAUUUUUUUUUGUUAAAUUUAAGAACUCAACAGGGGAUGAUAUGUAGUCCAAAAAAGAUAGUCUUUGUUUACAUUGUCAUGCUUUAUACACAGUUAGUCUUCGGCAACUUUCCCAGCAAUUACUGAUUGCUUCAAAUGUGGGAUAUGCUUUUGCUUUUCUUUGGUCUUAAUUAAUUAAUUUACUUCGAAUUCCCAUUACAUGCUUAGCUUUUGUUUGAUCUUUAAUUAAUAUAUUUACCAGGACUCUUCAGCUGAUAUGACUUCUCUUUUCUAGGUGUUGGGUGUUAAAACAAUGAAAGGGACCUCCUUCCCACGAAUUGGGUCCUAAUAAAUCAAGCUUUUUUACUAUCGCAAAUAAUUAUUUAAGGCUUUGUUUUCCUAAUAAUUUAAUGGUUUCGAACAAACCAAGACCAAGUCAUGACUCUCUUUCAAAGUAAAUCUUAAAAUGUUUCUGUAGACAUAAUUCCUGAGCAUAUAAUUUCUUAAGCAUGCUACUUGAAUUGCUAGUUUCUUCAUCCUCCAUUACUAUUAUAGGUGAUUAUAUAGGUGCAUUCCAUGUAUAAUUUUAUGUGUUUGAGAAAGUACUUCUAGGAAAAAAAUAGUAAUGAGAACAAAAACAAAUAAUUUUUUUCCUUUUCUCCCUCAAGAGCAAUUUUUCUUUUAAAAGUGAUUUUUUUUAAAAAAAAAUGAUUUUAUUAACAAUAAAACCAAUAUGCCAUCCGACGUCUCUACACGAUUGCUAAAGACUUCUGUUAGCAUAUAAUUCUAACUUCUGCGUCAUCAAGACUUAUGAGAUCUUCUCAUGUAAAUCCUUACAAUUGAUAUUAUAGCAGCAUAAAACCAUGGAGGACCAAUUAGGAAUUCAGUGGAAAAGUGAUGACAGCAAUAAAUAAUUUUAUCAUCUAUGGCAAGGUUGUUAAAUGUAACCUUUAUCAAGUUUAAAGGAUUUAUAUAUAUAUAUAAUUAAAGGAAGGGAAAUUCGAAUCUUACUCUUUAGGUAAGAGAUCAUGCAUCAAUUAAUAAGUCAAUGUUUAAAUGUUUUAUUAAGUCUAAAAUUAUUUUUAAUAAAUUCAUACAUUUGAUUCAUUGAUUGACACAAUUAAAUCAAAUUUCUUUUUUUUCAAAUAAAAUAAAAUAAAAAUAUAAAACGAAUAAAAUAGUUUUUUGUCAUAUAGAAACGCAUCAAUGGCUGUCCAGUUCACAUUUUAGAAAGCCAUUUUGAUGGGAGGUGGGGGUGCAACUUCAAUUGUCCUUUCCAAGAAAGCACCAGCAACAUCACAAGAUAUGAACUAGUAAUUACACAGCUUCUUAAUGUUCCAUAACUGGUAUUCUAUUUUUUUUUCCUUCUGGCUAUUCCAAAACGGAAUCUGUUGCUUGAAAUUACUGUUGAAGCAUACUGUUACUGUAGGAUACCAGAUGAGGGAAAAAUUAUAGUCAUAAUUUAAUUUUAUAUUUUUUUAUAUUUAAAAAAAAAAAUUACAAAAUUUUAAUUUUUUUGAAGUAAAAAAUUAUGCACCAACUAAUGAAUUAAAUGUUCAAGUGCGAUUUUGCAAUGCUUUGCUCUUACGUCAUAUCAUAAUUAACACUAUCUGCAUUCAUGUCUCGUUCCAAUUUCACCAUCUUGAUUUUUUUUAUUUUUUUUUCAAGAAAAAGAGAGAUAACUUAAAAGUAAGAAUCUAUGUCAAAAGCAAAACGUGUGUGACGGGAUGGUACUUUUUUUUUUAUGAAAAGUGUUGAUUUUAUUGAGCCAGCGUUCAACCUGCCACUUCAAGUCUUUAGUCUUGAUUGACUAAAGACUCUUGGUGGCAUAAAAGUUGUUUUAGCUGGAUAAAAGCCUGUACACUUGUGAACAUAAAGAGAUCUACCCAAAGGAAAAUUGGCAUGACAUUCCCUGAACAGAAUCCAGCCCUGAAAACAAAAGCAUCCUAAAAUCAACCCGAUUCCAGACAGCAAGACCCUCCCAGUGGUUACAAAAGAGCACUCCCACCGCAGAGAUCCCCCUCGGAGGAUGCCGAUCAUCUCAACGCAAGCAAGAAGUCCCAAAGAAGUGAUCAAAAAAGGACAUGUGAGAAAACCACACCAAACUUAACAAUAUUAAAGGAAAAGCUUCAAGAUGAUAGAACGGAGAGGAAUCUAGAAAUUGCUGGAAAAUUUUAUAAGCAUGUUUUUCUCAUCCUUGCAUUGCAUUUUCAAGUUAAAAAGCACCUACUAAAAGUUAGACUAGCAUUAUUUUUCUUUGUAUUUUUUUUGCUAUUUAACUCACUUGAUAAAAAAAUUAAAUAAUUUAAAAAUAAGAUUUAUCAAUUUAUGAUAAAUCAAUAUAUUCAUAAAUACAAAUAUUCAAUAUUAAAUCAAUUUAUGAUUCUUUUGUCAUUGAUAUAAAACAAAUGAAAAGUAAAAAUAAUACAAAAACAAAAUUGAAUAUUGUUUUGAAAACAAUACAAAAGACGGUAAUGUGAACUUUGAAACAAAAAAAGUAAUAAAAUUGAACAUAUAAGUGACAAAGAGAUGAUAAUUGAAAUAAACAUUUAAUUUUUGUUCCUUUUUAUUAACAAAAAAUUAAACUAAACUUCAUGUUUUAGUUGUAUAACUUUUAAAAUAGAUUAAACAUAAAAAAUCAGAUAGUUGAAUUGAAAAUUUUCCUAAAAUGCCCCGUUUGUUGGAGUUUCUGAUUUUACUUCUAAAAUUAAUCCAUAAUUUUCUGUUCAAUUUUUUUAACAGAAAAAUGCAGCUAUGAAAUCAUUUUUGUAUGUAGUUGAGGUAAUUAAAAAAUUAAAAAUUUAUUGAAUAAAGGAACUUCUUAUUAUAGAUUGCAACAAAUUCAGGUCAUCUUCAGAACAACUUUAAGAAAUUGGAAUGAUUAUUAUUAUUAUUAUUAUUAUUAUUACAAUUAAAGUGAGGGCCAGAGGGAGCUUUUUCUGUUUGUUUUUUUCCAAGAAAAAGAGAGAAAGCUCAAAAAGGAAGAAAUUCAUUUCACAUGCAAGAAGCCGUGUGUGACAAAACUAAAACCACUUUCACACACAAUCAAACUGCAUUUGCAUUUUCACCUUAAAACCACUUUGCUAAAACUUGAAAAGGAAAAGCAUGAAAGCGUCUUCACUCUUUCAAACAGUUUUUUCUCAAAAGAUUGGGCCUGCUACUCUUCACUCAACAAACUUAAUUCAGUCUUGCAUGGAUCCUUAGCUGCAAAAUUAAACAAAAUGACAAGAAGAGGCUAUGAAAUUAAAAGAAUAUAUACAAGAAAUACAGUAAAGAAUAUAUAUUAUUAUAUAUGUUUAAUGGCUUAUGAAUAUGAUAAUAUAGAUUCCUCGAUCAUCAUUUAUGCAUUUAAAUUAUUUAAUUAUUUAUAUUAUUUUAAUGUUUCAAUGUUAACAUUUUUAUUUAUAAUCACUAUUUAAAUUUGAUUGAGGAGUUUUAAAUUUUUUAUAUAAUGUAUAGAAUAAAGAUUCAAUUUGUAUAUACCUAUUUAAGUAUAUUAAAUUGUGGUUCUUGCCCUCAAAAUUAGAGAUCAAGAUUCUUAUUUCAAAUUAUUAUAAUGAAAGUAUGUACUACUACUUUUUCCAUUUAAUUUUUAAUUUAGAAUAUCUAAAUUAAACAAAAGGUUAACAUUAUUUUGAGUUGUUUGUAUUUUUUCCCUUUUCAUUUCUUUAUUAUUUUUUCAUUCAGUAUUUUUUUUUCUUAAUUGGCAUAUAAACACUGAAUUUUAAUAAUCUUGUAAUACAAUCUAAUGAAAAAAAUUAGAAAAUAUGAGAUUCCUUUUGGUUUUUUUACAAAGAAAAUAUGAUAUGUUUGUUGGUCAUAUAUUCAAAAAAAAUUAUUAACAGCAAAAAAAAAUGUACAUUGAAAGAAUGAAAUUUGAAAAGAAAAAGAAUAACAAAAGAAGCAUUAUAGGCUCAGUAUAUUUGUUAUCCUUAAUAAAGCCUUAAGAAUAAUAAGAUAAAGAAGAGAAGGUAGAUUUAAAAAUUAUUUUUGUAUACAUCGUCAAUGAAAUUUUUAAAAUCUUCAAGCAGAGUUAGAAAGGUACCAUGUAUCACAUUUAAGUAUAUUAAAUUAAUUAAUAAAUUAAUAUAAUAAUAGAAACAUAUAAAAAUAUUUUAACUUUUUGUUAAAUAUAUAGUCCAAAAAAGAUAGUCUUUGUUUACAUUUUCAUGCUUUAUACACAGUUAGUCUUCGCAGCUGAUAUGACUUCUCUUUUCUAGGUGUUGGGUGUUAAAAUAAUGAAGGGACCUCCUUCACACUAAUUGGGUCCUAAUAAUUCAAACUUUUUUAGCAUCACUCAUAAUUAUUUGAGGAUUUAUUUUCCUAAUAAUUUAAUGGUUACGAACAAACCAAGGCCAAGUCAUGACUCUCUUUCAAAGUAAAUUUUAGAAAUGUUUCUAUAGACAUAAUUUCUGAGCAUAUAAUUUCAUAAGCAUGCUACUUGUAUUGCUAGUUUCUUCAUCCUCCAUUACUAUUAUAGGUGAUUAUAUAGGUGCAUUACAUGUAUAAUUUUAUGUGUUUGAGAAAGUCAUUCUAGAAAAAAAAAAACAUAAUAAUAAUGAGAACAAAACCAAAUAAUUUAUUUUUUCUUUUAUCUAUCAAGAGCAAACUAUUUAUGGAAGUUGCGUGGGAUCUCCUCAUGAAAAUCCUUACAAUUGAUAAUAUUAUAGCAGCAUAUAUAAAACCAUGGAGAAUAAAGGAAUUUAGUGGACAAGUGAUUACAACAAUAAAUAAUUUUGUCAUUUACAGCAUGGUUGUUAAAUAUACCCUUUAUCAAGCCUGAAGUUGCUUUUAACGCAUUCAUACAUAUGAUUCAUUAUUUGACGUAAUUAAAUCAGAUUGCUUUUUCUUUAAAUAAAAUAAAAUAAGAAAGAAGGAAAAGGGGCAACGUAUUGUCUUGUCAGAUAAAAAAGCAUCAACCAUAUUGUCUAGUUCACAUUUCAGAAAAGCCAAUUUUCAAUGGGGGGUGGGGCACAGUAGUAAUUUUCUCAAAAAGGCAUAAAUCAUAUUUAUCAAGAACAAGAUAUGAACUUGUAAUCGCACAGGUUGUUAAUGUUCCAAAACGGAAUCUGUUGCUUGAAAUUACUAUUAAAGCAUACUUUAGGUUUAGGAUACCAGCUGAGGGAAAAAUUAGUCAGAACUUCAUUUUGCAAUGUUUUGCGAUUGCUCCUGCAUCAGAUCAUAGUUAAUACCAUCUUGGUUCAUGUCUUAUUCCAACUACAAUAUUUAGUAGAUUAUUACUCCACCUAAAAGAAAGAAGUUUUUGAAGAAAAUACAAUACAAAUCAUUUUUAGUCUUCGUGAUUUGUGCUCUUUUAAGUUUUUAAGUUUUUUGUUUAGCGCAAUACCUUUUAAUCAUCAUAAUUGAAAGGUUGAAGAGAUAUUUUUUAUUGGCAAAGAAGUAAAACAAGGUUUUAACCAUCAUAAUUGAAAGGUUGAAGGGAUAUUUUAGCAAUUAAAACUUGAAAUAUAUGAAAGGUCUAUUAUUUUUUUAAUACAUUUAUCAUCAUCUUUUACGUGACUAAUAUUCAUUUAUAAAUUAUGAAUCUUUUGUAUGAAUGAAUUGAGUUUUAUGCAAGGUAAUGUAUCAAGAAAGUUAAUUGUUAAAUUUCUUUUGUUUUAGUUCUUUUAUGAAUAUUAAUAUUUAUUGUCACAUGUAUUGUAAGUAAAUACUUCCUUUCAAUUUUAUUUUCAAAUAACAAUUAUAUGUGAAAUAAAACUAUUUCUAAAAUAUAAAGUUAAUUAUCUAUAAAUAAAAGAUAAUUCAUGUUUUAAUUAUAUAUAAUUGAUAUUUUUUUAUUAUUAACCAUUAAGGUAUUCAAAACUGUUAAAAUUAAUAAAAAUAUUUUUGAAGGAAAAUCAUUAAAUAUAAUUGAAAAUCUUAUUUAUAAAUGAGAUAAAAUAUUAUUAUAUUUAUAAUGAAAAAUAUUUUUAAUCAAAGUUAUUUGAUGUGAUUAAAUUCUUACAAAUUAGAUAAAUUUUAUUAAUAUUAAUGAUAAAAAUAUUUAAAAUAAUAAUUUAAACAAUAUAAUAAACAAAUAUAAUUAUUUUCAUUGAUCAAGAAAUUAUUCUAACAUUCAUACUUAUAUAAUUAUAUAUACCUACCAGCCAACUACAGAUUACACGACUUGGGGGAUGUUAUUUGCUGAAAAUAAAAUCAUUGUCUUAUAUGUGUGUAUAUAUACAUGCACACAUAGACAUUCAAACAUGUCUAUAUGCAUGCAUCUUACACACAUAAAUACAUCCAUUAGAACAAAGUUAGACCUAAAAAUUAUCAUUCAUUGACCAAAAAACAAGUCAAGUUUCUUUAUCAAAUUAAGCCAUUUUUUUCCACUGCAUUUGCAUUAUCAUUCAUUGACAAAAAAACAAGUCAAGCUUCAAACAGGAUUCAAAGGAGAGGAGAUAGGAAAUUGCUGGAAAAGUUUUCCCAUCCUUCCACUGCAUUUGCAUUUUCAAGUUAAAAGCACUUUUCUAAAAGUUAAAAAGGAAAAAUCUUAUAGAAAGAAAAAGCAUGAAAGCGUGUUGAAUGUAGUUUUCAAUCUCUUUGAGACAGUUGUUUUUCAAAUGAUUGCAUGUAGUUUUCCCUUAACAAAUUUGUUAAAAUAAUUAUACAAAUUAUUUAGUUAGAGGUAUUAUACAACACUAUAAUCUGGUUAGAUUAUAAAUCUAGUUAACAAUUAUACUGUAAUACUAUUAGUUAAUUAGAGUUAAAUUAUGAAUAAAAUUAAGAUAACAUACAUAAUUUAGAUUUCCCAAUCAAAAUAAAAAAUGAGGAUAGGUUUAACCACAGAAAAAAAAACUCAUCCACUUUGUUAUUGCUUGAUAUCUUGAUCACGAACUUCGCUGCCACUUGAUAUCUUCACUUCAAAAAUCUUUUACUCUUCAAGAUUUUUGAAAUGUUCUGGAUCUUUGAAUGCUUAUGAAUGAAUCAAAUGGCUUUGAGGAGCCCCAUAUUUAUAGUGUUAGAUGAGAGACCUUGAUGAGGAUGUGGUCCUUUUGAAUUAUCUCUAAAUUAUUUUAAUUUAAUUAAAGGUGAAUUAUGAUGACUCAUUGAAAGUCUUUUGAUUGGCCGAACUAUGAGUCCUUGAAUUUUGAUUGGCCAAAUAUAAGUUUUAUCUCUAAAUUUACUUAGAGAUAAAUUAAAUAAUCAAAUUUGAUUUUUAUCUCUAAAUUAUCAUUCAUUAGAGAUAAAUUAGAUAAUCAAUAAUUAAAUUUUGAUUGAUCAAAAAUAUGAAUAUUAUUUUUAAAUUAUCUUGAUUUAUUUAGAGAUAAAUUAGAUGACCAAUAAUUAAAUUAUGAUUGGUCCAAAAUAUGAAUCUUAUCUCUAAAUUAUAUUGAUUUAUUUAGAUACAAAUUGGAUGACCAAUAAUUAAAUUUUGAUUGGUCAAAAAUAUGAAUAUUAUCUCUAAACUACAUUGAUUUAUUUAGAGAAAAAUUGGAUGACUAAUAAUUAAAUUUUGAUUGGUCAAAAAUAUAAUUUUUUUUUUUAUAAUUGUGGGAGGGGGAUUCGAACCCUGCUAUUUUAAGUAAGGGAUCAUGCCCCAACCAAUGAGCUAAAUGCUCAGGUGCGGUCAAAAUAUGAAUAUUAUCUUUAAAUUAUUUUUAUUUAUUUAGAGUCAAAUUGGAUGACCAAUAAUUAAAUUUUGAUUGGUCCAAAAUAUGAAUAUUAUGAAAUGCCCCGUACUUUGAUAUGGUGACAAAUAAAACUUAUCGGAUGUGAAUUGAGGUAUAAUAAGGUAUUUUGAGAACUAAGGUGUCAAACCCUAUUCUAUAAAAUAAUUACGACGUCAUUUACAUGCUCAAUAGAAUGUUUGCAUAUUUAGGAAGUUCGAGAAAUCGUUAAAAGACGAUAUUACCCCUAAUGGUACCAUUAAGUCAAUUAAGCCUCGAAUUAGUUCAAAUAGGAAUUUUAAGGUGAAAUUAAGAGUUUCACAGUUUAGGGGUGACUCAAAAUGGUAAUUCAGAGUUCGAGGAUCAAUUUGGAGUCAAACCGAAAUUUUCACUAUCUAGGGGCAAAAUGGUCAUUUUGCAAUUUGAGGACAAAAUGGGAAUUUUAGAAAAGAUUUUCUUAGCCCCAUUUGACAUGUUUGAGUAUGAUAUGAGUAUUGAAGUACAAUUGGAAGAUUUAGCAGUGAAAAAUAUGAGUUUGCGGUAUUUUUAGUAUAUAAGGGCAAAAUGGUAAUUUUACCACCCGAAAUUGAAAAUUUAAUUUUUGAAAGGAUUUUGAUCAAAUUUAAUUAUUUGGAGUGUGAAAUGAGUAUGAGGAGUGAAAAUUAUGCAUUAUGGCAAAUUUUCAAUUUUUGGGGCAAAAAAAAAGGUAAUUUUUGAAAAGUUCGGGGGCAAAAGUGUAAUUUUGAAAAAUUUACUCCACCAAAACUUUGAAAAAAUUUGAAAAUUUCACUUAAGACUUGGAUAAGUCAAAGGGAAUGCAUGGUGGAAAAAGUAGGACAAGUGGAUGGGUCAAAAAAAAAAGAAUUAAUAAAAUAUUCAAAAUAUGAAUAAACUAAUAAAAAGGCAUAAAAAAAUCAGCCCAUAACCCAUUCUUCUUCUUCAACAUUCGGCCAAGCAAGAAACAAGAGAGAGAAAGGAGAAAAUAAAACCCUAGCCAAGAAAUUUAAAGGGAAAAUUGGUGGAAAUUCAAAAAUCAAGCAAAAAAAAAGGUAACAUUUCUUAAAUUUGUCUUGUGCUUUACCUUUCCCAUGCAUUUCCCAUCAUUUUUCAUGGUUGAAUCAUGUGAUUUGAGGAUGAUUUCAAUUCUGGUCAUAUAUGUUAGUGUUUAGUGUUAGUUUAGCAUAUUUAUGAGUAAAACAACAAGAAAAAUAUUUAUUUUCUCCCUGAAUUUCUCUAGGCCGAAUCUAGCCCAUGGUAUGUGAGGAUGAGGUUGACUUUAUUUUAAGAGAAUUGGGUGGAAAAAUGAUGAAUUAUGAGGUUGAAAAUUAAAUGGGAAUUUUCGGUGCAAUAAAUUAAAAUUUUUACCCACUAGGGGUAAAAACAUAAUUUAUAGUCCGGACUGAUAAAUGGGACCAAAUUCACAGUCAUUGAGUUAUUGUGGAUAUAAUUGGAUAAUUGAAAUUGAAAUAGAUGGAAUUGGAGUUGAAUUGGGGAUUUUAGGAAUUUACACUAUGUAUAGGCGAGUUAGGUCGGACACCGCAAUUAAGCGAUUGUUUAGACAUUUCAAACCCUAUCUAGUGCAUACGCAUGGAUAAGAGCCUGAAAUAAUUUAUGAUAAAUUGACACAAUUUAUUGAAUUUUGUGUCAUGGAUUAUGGAUAGGUGGUGAGUCAAUUAUUUCGGGUAAGAGACUGCACCCGAGGGCAAAAGAUAGGAGUAUUUCUACUCCUAAUACUGUGAGUAACUUUAUCAUCAUUUUAAUUAUCUAAAGUAUGAUUUUAAUCGAUUUUGAUGGAAUUUUAUGAAAAUGAGUUUAAAUGGUUAAUUUUUGGUUUUACAAAUAAAAUAUGUUUAAAUAAAAUGAUUUUAUAAAUUGUUUUGAAACGAAAUAACGAUUUUGAAAAAUAGAGCAAUUGGAGACCACUGGUAUGUUGUAGAUUUAUGAUUUGAAUAAAUGGCUUAUGAUAAUAUUUUCAUGAAUGACUGAAUUGGUAUUUAUGUUGAAAUAUAUGAAAUGUGUAUUUAGCCUUGACAGGCUGUGAAUUACAAUAAUUGCCAUGUCAUGCUAGAAUGAAUUUUAUUGUAUGGUGGGUUAUUUAACUAGCCACUGCAGUAGGCGGAUUUUCGUGGGCCAGCCUAUUAGAGGGGCACGAUAAAUCCCGUUAUGUCUUACCUCGGUAUGAGAGGCGCGGGUGGAUAACUCCUGAGGCUAACAAUUUUAGAGUUCACUUCACGCCGAACCACCUCGUGAUGAUGAACUCCGCUAACGCCAAGGAACAGCUAUAUGUUUCAAAAUAAAAAUAUGAUUUAUGCGAAAUGUGAAUUUUUUUAACAGCCUUGACGGACUCGGUUGGGAUAGCCCUCGAUCAAGGUAUCCUUGAUAACUGAGUAUGAUAAUGAUUUCGACACGAGCUAAAGUUUUAAGAAGUUCGUAAGCCAUACUGAUUACUUGAUUUAAAUAAAUUGAUUUCAUUUGGUUGAAAUAAGUCGAUAAAUGAUAAAUUACUGUUUAAUGAAAUGUUUUUAUAGUCUCAUUUUACUCGCCUUUAGAUGUUUUAAAUUAUAUUUGUUUACUCACUGAGAUUAUAUAAUCUCACCACCCUCCUUUCCAUCAAUUUCAGGCUCAGGAUAGUCGGUAGAUAGCUCAUUUCAUCGAUGGUUACAAUUGGACUGGCAUCCUCAAAAUAUGUAGGUUUAUCUCUUUGGAUACUUUUAGUCGUUCAUGGGCCCACGUGUCACUGCAAAUUUAAUUUUAUACUUUGAUUAUCUGUAUUACAAUAUAUAUGAAUUUAUUUUACUUUUACUCUGUAAAAAUUAUUUAUGCAGUGUUCUUAAAAUAUUGUUUUAUGAGAAAAUUGAAUAUUUUAUUCAAUAUUUUUAUUUUAUACUAAUAGUCAUAAUUUCAUUUUAAACGAAUGUUUUAGACAUCCAAAAUUAUUUUUGAUUAUAAAAUAUGUGUUUUCCACUUACAUACUAUAUUUUUAACUAAUUUUGAGAUUUUUUAGAAAAAUGACUAAAAUGCCCAUGUGAGAAAAUUUUCGUUUUAUCUGUUUUAAGUUAGAAAUAGCUCAAAAUCCUUUAGAACAUAAUAUUUGGCAAUAGUUACUCACCGGGGAAAACGAAAAACUGAUAUUAAGCCUUGCGGGAUUCUGGAUGGCAUUUUGAGAGAUAAGUGCCCAUCGGGACACUACGACAGUUGUCACGGGCUUAAAGGGAGUUUCGGGUCGUGACAAUUUUAGUGGUAUAAGAGCUUUUUGUUUUAAAGAUAAGAGUUUUUGGUUUUAAAGUUAUUUUAAAAACUACAAUGUCAGUGUGGCCCAAGUUAAGUUAAGUUAGUUAGGUUAAAUCAGGUUAGGUUGAGUAGAAUAUAUGCAUUAGUAUAUACAGCCUGAGGUAGCGUAAACACGCUUUGUUUCCUCUUAUAGAUUAGUAUGCCUCCUCGAUACGAACACCCACCUCUCACUAGAUCGGUUGGGAGGAGAAGAGGUCGUUCCCAACAUCGUCAGCUAGAUCCUAUAGAGGGGGAAUCGACUGCGUCUACUAUUCGGGCAGCACCUACUGUUGAACAGACCAAGACUUUUCCACUUCCUCCGCCUUUUCCGCUAUCUACUAGUAUUCCUGCCAUGCCUCCUGAGGCAGUUCAGGCAUUGGCAGCCUUUUUUAUUACUCUUGCUGGCCAGGCUCAGGCUGGUCCAGCUCUUCCUACAGAUCCUCCAACUGCUCCUUCAAUACCACCACCCCCACCUCCUGUCCCACCACCAGUGCUGGAUGUUUCUAAUUCUAAAAAGCUUAAAGAGGCUAGGCAACAUAGUUGUGUUUCUUGUAUGGGUGAGUCAGACGCAACUGUAGCUAAAGAAGUGGUGCGAAUGGCUUUAAGAGUUGAGAAGCUUAUGAAUGAAAAUAGGAGUCUGCGAGCUGAGUUAACAAAAAGGAGAAAUCUGAAUGUAUCUUUUAGUCAGCCACCAAAGAGGGGCAAAGACUCCUCUAUUUCAGGAAGUACUACUACUGUUUUAGUGACAUAUCCUCAAUCUCCAUUUCCACAAUCACAGCAGAGACCUUCGAGGUUUAGCGGAUCUACUAUGGCUGGUUCUGGGAAGAGUUCUAGAGGUUCUCAUAGAUGCAAAAAUUAUGGGAAUUAUCAUGUGGGGCUGUGUAGGGGGCCUGCACGAUGUUUUUAUUGUGGUCAGCCGGGUCACAUUAGGAGUGACUACCCACAGUUAGGACGGGCUACGACAGUUGCUCCAUCUCCACCAGCUCAUACAGAUAUGUAGAGGAGAGAUUCCUCUAGAUUACCACCGAGACUGGGAUGAUUUUGACAUACCACCAAGGGUAGAUUAAAUAUGCUGAAAAUAGUGCUCUAAUAAAGUGCAUAUGAUAGAAAGCUAGUUUGUAAGUUGUAGUUUUCAUGAUCAUAAAAUAUAUAAGGAUUAUUAAUAUAUGGACAUACACUUGGAGUUGUAAAUUACAAGUUUGGAGUAUUUACGAUAUGAUUAAAUGGAAUUAGCAUUAGGCAAGGCAUGUAAAUCUUCUAAUUAAAUUCUGUGGAGUGUGCAUGAUAGUAGAAUGGAGGAACAUAGUGUCGUGAUACUAUAUGGUGAAGUUACUAUACAAUAUGGAAAAAGCAUUCUAAAUUGGGAUUUAUUGAUUGAUGAUAAGUGACGGGCAAUCUGAUGAUACAUGUAGCUAUGAAUAAAUUUGGAGAUUUUUGCUUAAGCAAAUUCGUACUAAAUGUUAUGGUAAAGAUAUAUGAAUGUUAGUGGCAAAAUAAAUACGUUAAAUCAAUGUUUUGAUUGUGCACUUGUGAUGGAAAGUUAGUCUUGCUAAUUGUGGUAUAGACUCAGAGGGAAGCCACACGAUUGUGAAUAAUUGAGGUAGUAACUUUAAAGGUAAAAGAGUUACAGGGAUAAAGUAAAUUCAAACAGUUGCAACGCUAUACUACUGAUUAUCAAACGCUGUCACGUUAAGAACGCCUUAUGGUUAGAAAGCAUGAGUAGACUAUGAGCGGCAUAAAGAUGAAACUCACGAGUUGAAAUAUGGCUAUUGGUUUUGAUGCUAAGCUUUGUUGUUUGGAGUCUUCAGUGCAUUAGGGAGGUAUUAAGAUAAAGAUGAUGAGUGAAAUUGUAAAGUUUCUUUAUUGCCUUAUAUAUUGGCAUGUAAGAGAAAGAAAAGUUAGAGAGUUUUUGAGAUGGUUACAUAAAAAAAAUAAUAAAUUAACAUGUGGAGUGUUAAGAUGAAUAAUAUGAUGAUUGAAGUCAAAUCUUAAGAAAUAAGGAAGACAAGAGAUUAAGUCUUGUUAAAGACUAAUGAGGAAGCGAGCAAAAGGUUAGAUGAAUAUAUGAGAUGUUGAUAAGAGAUGUCAAUACCAAGUGAUGAGAGUGUGAAUGGAGAUUUCAAGAAUGAUAUAGCAAAUGAGUUUAUAUAGAAUAAUGUUAUGAGAAUGUACAAAUCUUGAUUUGACUUUGUUGAAAGGAAAGGAUUAGUGACAACACAAGUAAAUUAUGGGGUAUGAUAGAAACCCUUGGAGAUAAGUUGAAGCAUGAGUAGUUGGGCAUGCCUUUAUGGAAAUGAUAUACUUGGUGUAUAAAAGAGUAAAUAAGUGAUUAAGUGUUUCAAGAAUGUUUAAACAUCUUCAAGGAAGAAUUAUAAAUUAUAUGAGAUGAGCAUAAGAUGUGAGAUUUUUAAAACUUGUUGAGGAACUUAACGGCUAAGUCACAAGUUCAGUGAUCAUAUGUUGUGAGACAUAAGUUUAAGAUAGAUAUUCUCAAGGAAAUACUCAAGAGAAGUUUUGCUUUGGAUCUCGUUAAAGCAAGUACUAAGUUAUGUGAUUAUAAAAAGGAAGCUGUAAGCUGAAAGUGAUAUUCAUAUUAAUAUUAAAAAGUACUUGGGGGGAAUCUAGUUUCAAGUUUUACAAUUUCAAGUACAAUUUAUAAAUUGGAUAAGGAAGAAUGAUGUUAUGUUUAUAUGAAAGAGUGGAACAAAGGAUGAUAGAAGUUAACCUUGAAAAUGAAGUCAGAUAAAGAAAUUUUCCUAAGAUAGUAUGGGAAUUGGAAUUCAAAAAUGCUUGAGGCAUACAUGAUUCAAAUGAGUUUGAGUCUUAAGUGACAAAUUAAUAUCGGAAUGCAAUAAGGAUACAAUAUAUGUAAGAGGCAUGAAGGAUAAUCAAGGAAAAAUGAUGACUUUUAGGAAUUAUAGUAUUGCAUAAGAUGCAAUGAUUAAGUCAAGAUAAAUCUUUGAGAUAUCAAUGGGAUUAUAAAGCAUACACGUACAAUAGAUUAUAAUUCAAUGGAGAUGACAUUGUGAUGCAAUGAUAUAUAGUACAAGAAAACUCAAGCAUAUGGUUGGAAAUGAUAUGAAUGAUAUGAAGUUAUACGCAAGUAUAAUAAGAAGGUUGACAUGCACUAUAAGAAUUAUUAUAUUGAACUAGGAUUGGGAUGUGAAUAAAUAAAGGGAAAUGUAGUCCAAGGCAUGUGAACACAUGGAUCCCUAUACAUAACGAGAAAUGUUGACAUUUGAAAAUGCAUGUACAUAUGUAUAUAUGAAAUUGAUAAUUUUACUAACUAAAGUGAAGAAUGGUUCUUAGUGAUUGAGAGAUUUUGAAAUAGUGUCUAAAGAGGUCAGUGAGCUAAAGUGUUAACAGACAUGCAAUGAACGAUUAAAGUUAUGAGUGACUUUGAAGGUAAACUUUGAAUUGUUUAAGUUCUUAAUGGAACUCUAUCAAAGGAAGGGUAUGGACCAGUAUAAGAUGGAUGAAUCAAGGUUGAGAAAUUUGGCAUGAAGCAAAUUAAUAAAAUGAUGAUUAAGUAUACAUAAGUAAGUAUGAUAUGUGAUCGAAAUCAGUAUAAUUNNNNNNNNNNNNNNNNNNNNNNNNNNNNNNNNNNNNNNNNNNNNNNNNNNNNNNNNNNNNNNNNNNNNNNNNNNNNNNNNNNNNNNNNNNNNNNNNNNNNNNNNNNNNNNNNNNNNNNNNNNNNNNNNNNNNNNNNNNNNNNNNNNNNNNNNNNNNNNNNNNNNNNNNNNNNNNNNNNNNNNNNNNNNNNNNNNNNNNNNNNNNNNNNNNNNNNNNNNNNNNNNNNNNNNNNNNNNNNNNNNNNNNNNNNNNNNNNNNNNNNNNNNNNNNNNNNNNNNNNNNNNNNNNNNNNNNNNNNNNNNNNNNNNNNNNNNNNNNNNNNNNNNNNNNNNNNNNNNNNNNNNNNNNNNNNNNNNNNNNNNNNNNNNNNNNNNNNNNNNNNNNNNNNNNNNNNNNNNNNNNNNNNNNNNNNNNNNNNNNNNNNNNNNNNNNNNNNNNNNNNNNNNNNNNNNNNNNNNNNNNNNNNNNNNNNNNNNNNNNNNNNNNNNNNNNNNNNNNNNNNNNNNNNNNNNNNNNNNNNNNNNNNNNNNNNNNNNNNNNNNNNNNNNNNNNNNNNNNNNNNNNNNNNNNNNNNNNNNNNNNNNNNNNNNNNNNNNNNNNNNNNNNNNNNNNNNNNNNNNNNNNNNNNNNNNNNNNNNNNNNNNNNNNNNNNNNNNNNNNNNNNNNNNNNNNNNNNNNNNNNNNNNNNNNNNNNNNNNNNNNNNNNNNNNNNNNNNNNNNNNNNNNNNNNNNNNNNNNNNNNNNNNNNNNNNNNNNNNNNNNNNNNNNNNNNNNNNNNNNNNNNNNNNNNNNNNNNNNNNNNNNNNNNNNNNNNNNNNNNNNNNNNNNNNNNNNNNNNNNNNNNNNNNNNNNNNNNNNNNNNNNNNNNNNNNNNNNNNNNNNNNNNNNNNNNNNNNNNNNNNNNNNNNNNNNNNNNNNNNNNNNNNNNNNNNNNNNNNNNNNNNNNNNNNNNNNNNNNNNNNNNNNNNNNNNNNNNNNNNNNNNNNNNNNNNNNNNNNNNNNNNNNNNNNNNNNNNNNNNNNNNNNNNNNNNNNNNNNNNNNNNNNNNNNNNNNNNNNNNNNNNNNNNNNNNNNNNNNNNNNNNNNNNNNNNNNNNNNNNNNNNNNNNNNNNNNNNNNNNNNNNNNNNNNNNNNNNNNNNNNNNNNNNNNNNNNNNNNNNNNNNNNNNNNNNNNNNNNNNNNNNNNNNNNNNNNNNNNNNNNNNNNNNNNNNNNNNNNNNNNNNNNNNNNNNNNNNNNNNNNNNNNNNNNNNNNNNNNNNNNNNNNNNNNNNNNNNNNNNNNNNNNNNNNNNNNNNNNNNNNNNNNNNNNNNNNNNNNNNNNNNNNNNNNNNNNNNNNNNNNNNNNNNNNNNNNNNNNNNNNNNNNNNNNNNNNNNNNNNNNNNNNNNNNNNNNNNNNNNNNNNNNNNNNNNNNNNNNNNNNNNNNNNNNNNNNNNNNNNNNNNNNNNNNNNNNNNNNNNNNNNNNNNNNNNNNNNNNNNNNNNNNNNNNNNNNNNNNNNNNNNNNNNNNNNNNNNNNNNNNNNNNNNNNNNNNNNNNNNNNNNNNNNNNNNNNNNNNNNNNNNNNNNNNNNNNNNNNNNNNNNNNNNNNNNNNNNNNNNNNNNNNNNNNNNNNNNNNNNNNNNNNNNNNNNNNNNNNNNNNNNNNNNNNNNNNNNNNNNNNNNNNNNNNNNNNNNNNNNNNNNNNNNNNNNNNNNNNNNNNNNNNNNNNNNNNNNNNNNNNNNNNNNNNNNNNNNNNNNNNNNNNNNNNNNNNNNNNNNNNNNNNNNNNNNNNNNNNNNNNNNNNNNNNNNNNNNNNNNNNNNNNNNNNNNNNNNNNNNNNNNNNNNNNNNNNNNNNNNNNNNNNNNNNNNNNNNNNNNNNNNNNNNNNNNNNNNNNNNNNNNNNNNNNNNNNNNNNNNNNNNNNNNNNNNNNNNNNNNNNNNNNNNNNNNNNNNNNNNNNNNNNNNNNNNNNNNNNNNNNNNNNNNNNNNNNNNNNNNNNNNNNNNNNNNNNNNNNNNNNNNNNNNNNNNNNNNNNNNNNNNNNNNNNNNNNNNNNNNNNNNNNNNNNNNNNNNNNNNNNNNNNNNNNNNNNNNNNNNNNNNNNNNNNNNNNNNNNNNNNNNNNNNNNNNNNNNNNNNNNNNNNNNNNNNNNNNNNNNNNNNNNNNNNNNNNNNNNNNNNNNNNNNNNNNNNNNNNNNNNNNNNNNNNNNNNNNNNNNNNNNNNNNNNNNNNNNNNNNNNNNNNNNNNNNNNNNNNNNNNNNNNNNNNNNNNNNNNNNNNNNNNNNNNNNNNNNNNNNNNNNNNNNNNNNNNNNNNNNNNNNNNNNNNNNNNNNNNNNNNNNNNNNNNNNNNNNNNNNNNNNNNNNNNNNNNNNNNNNNNNNNNNNNNNNNNNNNNNNNNNNNNNNNNNNNNNNNNNNNNNNNNNNNNNNNNNNNNNNNNNNNNNNNNNNNNNNNNNNNNNNNNNNNNNNNNNNNNNNNNNNNNNNNNNNNNNNNNNNNNNNNNNNNNNNNNNNNNNNNNNNNNNNNNNNNNNNNNNNNNNNNNNNNNNNNNNNNNNNNNNNNNNNNNNNNNNNNNNNNNNNNNNNNNNNNNNNNNNNNNNNNNNNNNNNNNNNNNNNNNNNNNNNNNNNNNNNNNNNNNNNNNNNNNNNNNNNNNNNNNNNNNNNNNNNNNNNNNNNNNNNNNNNNNNNNNNNNNNNNNNNNNNNNNNNNNNNNNNNNNNNNNNNNNNNNNNNNNNNNNNNNNNNNNNNNNNNNNNNNNNNNNNNNNNNNNNNNNNNNNNNNNNNNNNNNNNNNNNNNNNNNNNNNNNNNNNNNNNNNNNNNNNNNNNNNNNNNNNNNNNNNNNNNNNNNNNNNNNNNNNNNNNNNNNNNNNNNNNNNNNNNNNNNNNNNNNNNNNNNNNNNNNNNNNNNNNNNNNNNNNNNNNNNNNNNNNNNNNNNNNNNNNNNNNNNNNNNNNNNNNNNNNNNNNNNNNNNNNNNNNNNNNNNNNNNNNNNNNNNNNNNNNNNNNNNNNNNNNNNNNNNNNNNNNNNNNNNNNNNNNNNNNNNNNNNNNNNNNNNNNNNNNNNNNNNNNNNNNNNNNNNNNNNNNNNNNNNNNNNNNNNNNNNNNNNNNNNNNNNNNNNNNNNNNNNNNNNNNNNNNNNNNNNNNNNNNNNNNNNNNNNNNNNNNNNNNNNNNNNNNNNNNNNNNNNNNNNNNNNNNNNNNNNNNNNNNNNNNNNNNNNNNNNNNNNNCAUUUUGAGAGAUAAGUGCCCAUCGAGACACCGCAGCGAUUGUCACGAGCUCGAAGGGAGUUCCGGGUCGUGACAUAUUAUCUCUAAAGUACAUUGAUUUAUUUAGAGACAAAUUGGAUGACUAAUAAUUAAAUUUUGAUUGGUCAAAAAUAUGAAUUUUUUUUUAUAAUUAAGGGAGAUGAUUCGAACCUUGCUUUUUUAAGUAGGGGAUCAUGCACCAAUCAAUGAGCCAAAUACUCAGAUGCGGUUAAAAAUUUGAAUAUUAUCUCUAAAUUACUUUUAUUUAUUUAGAGACAAAUUGGAUGAUCAAUAAUUAAAUUUUGAUUGGUCCAUUUUAAAUAUUAUCUUCCAAUUAUCUUAAGUGAUAAAUAUAUGACACAUAGGUGAAUUGGUUCAACUAUGUGUCUUUGAAAUAAUCCAACCAAUAAAUUAAUUAUUUUAUAAUUAAUUACAUGAUUAUGACAUCAUCAAGUCCACAUGGUGGCAAUUGGAUUAUAAUGUUUCUCCUUCUGGAAAUGCCCCCUCAACUUGAUAUCUUUAUCACGAACUAAACUUGAUAUCUUGAUCACAAAGUUUGUUGCCGCUUGAUAUCUUCACUUCAAAAAUCUUUUACUCUUCUCGAUUAUUCAAAUGUUCUCCAUCUUCGAAUGCUUCUGAAUGAAUCAAAUGGCUUCGAGGAGGCCCCUAUUUAUAAUGCUAGAUGAGAGACUUUGAUAAGGAUGUGGUCUUUUUGAAUUAUCUCUAAAUUAUCUUAAUUUAAUUAGAGGUAAUUUUUGAUAACUCAUUGAAAGUCUUUUGAUUGGCCGGACUUUGAGUCUUUCAAUUUUGAUUGGCCAAAUUUAAGUUUUAUCUCUAAAUUUUCUUAGAGAUAAAUUAAAUAAUCAAAUUUGAUUUUUACCUCUAAAUUAUCAUUUAUUAGAGAUAAAUUAGAUGACCAAUAAUUAAAUUUUGAUUGGCCAAAAAUAUGAAUAUUAUCUCUAAAUUAUCUUGAUUUAUUUAGAGACAAAUUAGAUGACCAAUUAUUAAAUUUUGAUUGGUCAAAAAUAUGAAUAUUAUCUCUAAAUUACCUUGAUUUAUUUAGAAUCAAAUUGGAUGAGCAAUAAUUAAAUUUUAAUUGGUCUAAUUUAAAUAUUAUCUUCAAAUUAUCUCAAGGGAUAAAUAUAUGACACAUAGGUGAAUUGGUUCACCUGUGUCUUCGAAAUAAUCCAAUCAAUAAAUUAAUUAUUUUAUAAUUAAUUACAUGGUUAUGACAUUUCAAGUCCACAUGACGACACAUAAUUGAAUCAUAAUAUUUUUCCUUCUACAUACCUAUUUAAGUAUAUUAAAUUGUUGUUCUUGGCCUCCAAAUUAGAGAUCAAAAUUCUUAUUUCGAAUUAUUAAAUGAAAGUAUAUACUAUUAACUUUUUCAUCAAAAUUUUAAUUUUCAAUCUCUAAAUUAAACAAAAAGUUAACAUCGUUUUGAGUUGUUUGUAUCUUUUCCCUUUUCAUUUCUUUAUUAUUUUUUCAUUCAUUACUUAUCAUUCGAAAAAAUAGAAUAUAAAUGCUAAUAAUUGGAUAUCUGGAACUUGAUUCAUAAUUUCCAUCAACACUUUAACUAUAAGAUCGUUUAUUAUACAAGUACGAAUUUAAUUAACAAGUUCUCUUCAAAUUUUUUUAUUAUUUCCCAUUCUAAUUUGUUGCUUAGGAUGUUAGUAUUUGAUCUAGAAUAAGCUCAAUAAGAUAUUUAGAUUUUUAAAUGCUUUACUUUUUUCAAACAUUGACAUUACCUACUAUGUUUAAAUUGAAAAAGGAAGUACCUGAGGAGUGGCGACAUCUCUUUUUCAAGUCUUUGCAAAAUGUUUUAAGUUGUUUUAUAGUAAUGAAUUUCAAGUCAAGUCUUCUCAAAUUGAAAAUUUAUGUCUAGAAUCAAAAUUAAAUUAAUGGAAUAAAAAAGAAAAGUGUAUGUGUCAUGUUAGAAUGAAAAGCAUCAAAGCCACUGUAUCCUAUCCCUUGUGAGACGUUAGUAGGAUUUGUAUAUUUUUCUUGAAUUCUCAUUUGAUGUGUACUUUUAUUGUAGGCUUAUUGAGAUAUGCUUAUUAGACUGAGAAAUAUCUCAUUUGAGAUAUGUUAUUGAGAUAUGCUUAUUGAGAUAGGAAAUUGCUGGAAAAGUUUUCUGAUCCUUCCACUGCAAUUGCAUUUUCACGUUAAAAGCACUUUUCUAAAAGUUAAAAAGGAAAAGCUGUUCUUGUAGAAAAAAAAAGCACGAAAGCGUGUUGAAGGUACACAUUUAAAUUCAAUCUCUUUCAUACAGUUGUUUAUCGAAUGAUUGUAUGUAGUUUUUGCUCAACAAAUUUGUUAAGAUAAUUAUACAAAUUAUUUAGUUAAAACUACUAGACAAUACUAUAAUCUAGUUAGAUGACAAUAUUUAAUUAAUAAUUAUAUUAUAAUACUGUUAAUUAAUUAGAAUUAAAUUAUAAAUAAAAUUAGGAUAACAUACAUAAUUUAGAUUUCUCAAUCAAAAUAAAAAAUGAGGAUAGGUUUAACCAAAGAAAAAAAAACUCACCAACUCGGACAAAAAGCAUCCCAAAGAAAUGCAAAAGCAGCAGCAACAACAAAGAUUAGUCGAGGAGCUGAAACUAAUCUGCAAAAAUAAAAGCAGAAGCCAUCACGUAAUCAUCCCUCAGCAGCCAAAAACUAAUAAAACAGAGAACCAAUAGCGCAAGAAUGAAGCAAAGAAAUGCAAGCUCACACAACCAGCAGAAACGAAAAUCACAUCAAAGGUUCAAAGAAGCGAGAACCAACCAAUAAUUAACCGCAAUGAAUCCCAUGAAACAAUCGGCAAAAUCAAAAUCCAUUCAAGCAGAUCAGGAUGAAGCUUAAACAGAGUGAAGUAACAACAGAUAUUGAUCCCCCCCAACACCGGGCUUGGCAAGUGAAUCAGCAAUAGUGUUUCCAGAUCUAAUAGCGUGUUGAAUUUGCCACUGUUUAACUUUACUAGCCAAAACAAGGAUAUGAAGCACUUGAUUCCUCAAAUUCCAUGGAGCCAAAUCAGGGGACUUAGUCCAUUUAAUAGCUCUAACUGAAUCACUUUCAAGAAUCUACCAGUGAGAAGAUGCCCAUGUUGAAGGCUUGUAUGAUCUAAUUCUCUUUGGGCCAAAUCCGUGGACAUUAAGUUCUUAAGUUCUUUUCCAGUUCUUCUGGAAAUCUUUUCGCAAAAACUCUACAGUAACUGGCAGCAGCUAAUUUACUGAUUUAAUGUGCGUUAGAGAAAGAUUGUUGGAGUUAAAUCAAUGCUGCAAACCUGUGUUAAAAAUCAAACUUGAGGAAGGCUAACUGUUAAUGACUUUUGACACCUUACCAUAAAUCAAAUCUUUUCCUUUAGAAUUAGAAACUGAACAUAGCCAUCUCAGCACUUUGAUUUUACUCUUAAAAGAAAUAAUUAAGUAUCAAUGAUGUAACUAAUACAUACAUGAGGUGCUUGUAGUGAGUUUCCCUCCACUUUCCUUUGGUAUUUUAGGAAAGCAAAUUGAAAAGGAAAAAAUGGCCCUUCUUAAUAAAUUUAGAAAUCUCUGAGUCAAGAAAACAUGGAUUUCCAAAACCAAUAUAUCAGAAUCAAAAGUACCACCGUUAGGUAGGUAGCCUUAAAGUGAAAUUGUGAGAUCACUAGUAUUUAUCUUUUGGAUUGAUUAUAUAGUAAAUGUGAGUAAGCAUUGAAUUAAACUAGAAGAAAAGAAAAUCCAGAUUUGUCGAAAAAUCUAAUCCAAAGAGCUAAAAAAACAAAAUAUUAUUUACUGAUCUGAAACUUUCAGUAAUGAAAUCUGGAAUUUCCUCUAUGUACUUCAAACAUUUCCUAGUAUAGAACUCAACAACUAGAAGACAUAAAGUUUUGAAACAAAAAAAACAUUCUCUGCAAUAUUACUAAAAGGACUAAAUGAAUCCAAGCAGCAGUAUGUUACAUGCUUACAAAGAAUAGCUGAAGCUUACAUUUUAGCAGAUCCUACAGAAGUAAAGAACCCCAACAUCUUGACAACUAGGUCACUAUGGGAAAAAAAAAAAAGAAUACAUAGAGUUAAAAACUUUAUUGGAAACUAUUUAUCAAAGUUCGAAGAGUUGCUUAUAGUUAUAUGGAACAGCUGUCUUCAGAGUACUAGUCGUAUUGGCUUAUUUCUUCCUCUAGGUUUGUGGAUUUGCCUUCUGACUCUUUGGUGUGGGGCUCUCUGGAUUAUCUUCACUAGCCAAGCUGGUUUUCCUGUUGUGAAUACAAUGUAUCCCAUGCUCAAUCUCAACACAAGUCCACAUCCAUAUCCCAUCAUUGCAAAUUUCCAAGUAAAUGCUCCUCCUUUAUCAUCAUCUUCAUCAAAUAUUGACGGAGGAGGUUCUCUUCCCUCACUUUCGCCACAUUCAUUUGACAAUGGAAACCCACAAAACCGUAAGUUACCUACGUAGGAAUUAUUUGUGAAAGUAUCAAACUGAUUUCCUUUAGGAACCGGUCCCAUGAGAUUGUUUUGAGAAAGAUUUAACACCGCAAGAAAUAUCAGAUUCCUUAAUUGCAUAAGGAUGCUUCCUUCAAUCAUAUUUGAUGAGAGAUCUAAUGAUUCGAGUGCUAACAACUUCCCCAAUGAUAGUGGGAUAUGACUUGUAAGGCUGUUAUGAGAGAAAUUGAGCACCAAAAGAUCUUUAAGUUCUCCGAUUACUUCAGGAACCUGUCUUUCGAAUUGAUUGCUUGAAAAAUCAAUAGUUGUGAAAAUAUCUAAUUUUUUUCAAAAUUUAUCUCCAAUCCUUUGAUUGUUAUAAUUAUGGAAUCAUGAUAAUAUAACUCUUCAAUAUAAUAUGGACCGGUAGGAUCUACAUGGAUAUCCUUCAUAGCCUUCAAAUUUUGAAAGAAUGUAGUUGGCAAGUGGCCAUUGAACUCAUUUGAGAGAGAUCAAUGAUUCUCAAACUAGUAAAGAUAGAUGUGCCCCUCAAAUUUGGUGCCGGCCCAUGAAAUUUAUUCGAUUGCAGGACAAGGAUUUGCAGACAUGAAAGUACACCUAACCAAUGAGGAAAGGAGUCUUUCAAGUUACUGUUGCCCAAAUCUAAAACUUCCAAUUCACUGCAAUUCAUCAAAGAUCGUGUUACGGAUCCUUCUAGAUGGUUGUCAUUGAGGUUAAUGCUUUUCUACAAACUACCUUCUUGGGAUUUUGCCAUCGAAGUUAUUCAUUCGUAAAUUCAUAACAGACAGGGAACCACAAUUUCCAAGACAUUUUGGAAUGAUCCCACUCAAGUUGUUCUUUGACAAGUCGAGGACUUGAGGGAAAGUUAUAUCGUAAAACCCUGAAGGGAUUUCUCCAGUCAAUUCAUUUUCUGAAAAUGAAGAGGUGAUGUAUUGACAUUGGUGGAGUUGGAAGUGGUACUUGAAGUGAAUUUGAGUGAAGGUCAAGAGUCUGAAGAGUCUUCCCAGGAAAUUGCUCUACAUUUGUUAACAAAUUGAAAGAAAGGUCCAAGUAUCUCAACUCUCCCACCCUUCGGCUUCCCAUUUGGAUAUGGAACCCUGAAUUUUGUUAUUAGAAAGAUCUAAAUCGGACAAAGUCUCGGAUGCUCUUCAGAAACUUGGGAAUUGUUGUAUGUUGCGCAAAGAGAAAGACAAAGUAUAUAGCUCGGGGAAGGUAAUUGACAUCAUUGCUACAUCUACUCAAUGAUAAUAAACCGUUAUUUGAAAGAUCAAUCUCUUGUAAAUUUCUAAGCUUUGAAAGCAUGCAUGGCUCAAUGUUGCCACUCAAAUUAUUUGAUGAAAGAUCAGGAAAAGCAAGGUUCACUGGUAGACUAAACAGCCAACCUGGUACUCUGCCAUUAAGCAAGUUUGCAGAUAAAGGAGGUUUUGACGAUUUGAAAGUCCACUUACGUUGUCUGGAAGGGGUCCCGCUAAAUGGUUAUUGUUCAAGCCUAUGUCAGUAAGUCUAGUGAGGUUAAAUGCUGAUGAUGGCAAUAAACCAUGGAAAUUGUUAAAAGAAAAAUACAACUUAAUUAGUUUCUUGAAGUUCCCAAAAACAUCUGGAAUAUGACCUUCAAAAUUGUUAAAUUUUAAAUGUAAGAAAGUAAUUUUGGUGAGGUUUCCAAGAGAUAAAGGGAUUGACCCUGUGAAAUGACAAAAAGAAAGGUCAAGUUCUUCCAAGUUUUCAAGAUUUCCCAUUGAGUCUGGUAACUCCUCUAAGAAACUUGUUCCUGAAAGGUGCAAAAAUCUAAGAGAAGUACUCCGAUUUGAUUUAGGGAGAUAACCACUGAGAUUAGGAUUACGGAUUAAUAAGAUUUUUUCUAGAUAUGGAAAGCUGAAAUUUUCACUUGGAAAUUUCCCUUGCAGUUGACAGACAUAGAGACUCAAACACUUUAACGAGGAAGUCAAGUUCAGAAAGGAAUUUGGUCUAACCAAACACAUAUCCACUUGGUCAAGGAAAAGAUUUUCUUACUUUGUUAGGUUAUGCACAAGCAUGUUAAAAUGAUGGUUGUCGAGCUUUAAAAGAAGAGAUGACUGAUCAAGUGAACCCAGUUCUGCCAAAGGAGAGAUAUGCUCUGUAACUGAACAGUCGAUGCCUAUAUGAGAAAGAUUGAGAUAGGUUAGACUCCUCAAUUUACUAAACUCAGGAGGAAUUUGAGAACCAGUGAACUCGAGGUGAGCAAGGUUAGGCCAACGGAGAUCCUGAAGCAGGAAGAGGCUGCUGUUGGAUGGAAGACUUUCUUUAAGUCGACUACAACUGAGAUCAAGGCCAAUCACGUGACCCGUCAUGCUAUGGCAUGUGACACCCUCCCAGGAGCAACAGUCUCUACUUUGGCUCCAGAAUUCUGUCUUAGGAUAAGAAUCACCACAGGCAAAGCAACUAGGAAAAGACAGGCUGCUCUUGAACUGGAUCAAAGCAGAACUAUGUUCAGGAGGGCAUAAUUGUGGAAGAGGAGGAGAUGACAGAAGAUUGUUCACAAGAUUAUUAGGCUUAGUUUGUAGGUAACAUUUAGUUUCCGGAGUACCAUAAACAAAGAUUUGCACAACGAACAUUCUUGAGCUUUUAUUAGAGUAGUGCAAGCUUCAAACUUUUAUUUAGGAACUAAGUAAGUGAGGUGGUUUGUCCGUCUCCAAGGGCUGCAAUGGCACCAUAUUUGUUUUUUUAAAAAAAAUUAAUUGGAUUUCAUUAUCAGAAACCAGGAAUAGGCUCCCUAGAGAACAAAAGAGCACAUGAUUUUAAGAUGCUAUGCCUUGAUCAGCAUAUCAUCUCAAAAUUUUGUCAUCUUGCCAAAAGAAAACCAGCUUACAAAGAACCCCAUAAAAACCCCUAUCAUCAAUAUACAAAAAACAAAAUGAAACAGCAAAUAGCCUCAAUAAGAAACCACAAGUCUCCUUGUGCAAAAGUCAUUCUUGAAAGGAAAGUCAGCAAGCUUGCAAUCUGAUCAAAAACUCAGGCCCUUAUAUCACGGACCUUGGCUCAAAAGCCUAACCAUCUCAGCCAAGUAAAUGUCAAAAAGCAACAGAGAGAAACGAUCAAACCUGAAGCUUGAAUUCUUCACGCAGCCGUUCAAAGAAAAAGAAUAAAAAUCUCCAGCCUCUUUACUACUCAAAGGCAUUCAAUAAAUCCUCUUAACGUCUGACCCCUUCUGUCGCUAGACUAUAUGCAAAUUGAUUCUUUUCUCUAAAGAUAUGGUUGACUUCCCACCCUUUAAUGUUCCUUUUCAAACUUUCAACGUGCAUGAUCCACUUCCUUAGCCUCCAAAAAUAAGGAGACUUGUAAGGACCGACCGGAGUAAAGUGACCCUUCCACCUAUUAUUAGCACCUUUGCCUUCCAUCUUGCCAACCUAGCCUCAAAUUUCUCAAUAAUAGGAUUCCACAUUCUAACAGAAUUCUGCUUGGCUCCGAUUGGAAGUUCUAGAUACACAAAGGGUAUUUCUCCUAUUCUACAAUCUAUACUUUCCACCCCCCUUCUCCAUGUUUGAUUAUCCACUCCUAUUCCUAUCACCCUACUCUUGUUGAAAUUGAUUUUUAACCCCGAAAUGAGUUGGAAACAUCUCAAGACUCUUUUGGCAAUGCUGAGAUUCUCAACUUUCGGUCUACAAAAAACCAUGGUAUCAUCGGCAAAUUGAAGGUGUGAGAUUAAGAGGUCAUUGUUACCUAUUGGUACGCCUUGAAGAAUAUCGAAAGCUUCAGCUUUCUCCAUGAGUCGACUAAAAGCCUCUGCCACAAUGUUGAAGAGAAAAAGGGAGAGUGAGCAACCCUAUCGAAGUCCUCUCUCCAUCCUAAAAGGUUCCGUAGCAACUCCAUUCACAAGCACAGAGAUUUUCACUGUUUGAAGAUAGCCCCUCAUCCACUUUCUCUACCUUUCCCUAAACCUCAUUUUUUUUCAUAAUAAACUGAAGGAAUCCCCAAUCCACACUAUCAUAGGCCUUUUCAAAGUCAACUUUCAAAAGAAAGACUACCUCUUGUCCCUUUUUCAGCAGAUCAAUAACUUCGUUUUCAAUGAGAGCACAAUCCAUAAGCUGUCUUCCUUUUACAAAAGCAAACUGUUUCUCUCCAAUAACUUCACCAAUGACCAGUCGGAGCCUAUUAGCUAGGAGCAUUGCGACAAUCUUGUAUAAGCUCCAUACAAGACUAAUCGGUUUAAACUCCAUGAUGGGGCUUGGAUUAGAGACUUUCGAGAUUAGCGUAAUGAAAGAGUUAUUCAAUCCCUUUUCAAGCUGUUCUUUUUCCUAAAAAUCCUCAAGACACUUCAUAACUUCUUCUUUAACCAAGUGCCAUUAGUUCUUAAAAACACUAAGGUUGAAGCCGUCCUGCCUAAGUGCUUUUUCUCCAUCACAACUGCAUAUAGUCUCCCACACUUCUUUGCUAGAGAAACCUUUUUCUAAAAAAUUUGAUGCCUCUUCACUCAAAUUUUUAAAUUGACAAUGAAAUUCUUUUAAAGGCAACACUUUUCUUCUUUUGUAGAAAUCAGUAAAGUACUUGGCAAUCUCACUUUUGAUACCUUCUGGCUCACUGAUGCUUAGAUUCCCCAUUUGCAGAUGUCGAAUUGUGUUGUUACGCAUUCUAAUGGAGGCCAUGGUGUGAAAAAAUCAGGUAUUACGAUCCCCAUCCAUUACCCAUUUAAGACAUGAUUUUUAUGUCAUUCCCUAUCUUCUUUUUUGUACAAACCCCAAAGUUCAGCUAUUUUGUUCAUCACAACUUGACGCUCUCCCUCUUCCACCCUUCCCUGUUGCCACUUUUCAUUAAUUUCAUGUAGCUCAACUUUUAAUUUUGUAAUUUUUUCACUUAUGUUUCCAAAUGCUUUUUUCUGCCAUUCUUUCAACACUGGCUUUAAUCCCUUGAGUUUCAUCCAUAUACCUUUUUUCCUCCCCCCACAGCCUUGCGAAGUCCUCUAGUACUCUUUCACUAACUUAUGGAAACUCUCUUCUUCCAUCCAGUGGUUGAAGAAUUUGAAAGGUCUGGGGCCCCAAUCCACUCUCCCUAGGCCCAAGAUGAUCGGGUUGUGAAAUGGAGACUGGUAAACACCUCUGGACCAGUUCGUUGUCAUUUUCCAUCAGCUUCACAUCCACCAAGAAUUAAUCAAGUCGACUAAAAGUAGGAUCCUCUAGAUUGUUACAUCAAGUGAAUUUAGAUCCGACCAGUGGUAAAUCAAACAACCCCACCUCAUUGAUGAAUUUGUUGAAUCAUGCAGCAGCUUUUCUCACAUCUCCUCUUUCAAUUCUUUCAUCUUCUAUCCUUACUGUGUUGAAAUCUCCUCCCAGUACCCAACAUAAAUCAUUACCAGUGACAAUUUGUUUUAAUUCUUCCAACAUUUCAUUUCGAUCUCUUUCAUCAUUUGGUGCAUAAAUGUUCCCAAGACCACACCUAGUAUUGCUCUUAGUAAUCACCCCAAUAAGAAUAAUGUAGUUUCUGUGACUAAUCACCUCUUCUAGCUGAAAAAAAUUUUCCUACCACAUACAUAAUAAACCUCCUACUCUACCAUCUAAACUAACAGCAUUACUCAUAAUUUUAUCUUUAACCCACAGUCUCUCAUACAUUCCUUCAUAAACAUUCUGCACUUUUGUUUCCUGUACAAAAACCAUAUUUGGCUUACAUCUGCCAAUGGCUCUCCUCAGUGCUCUCCUUUUUUUCCCCUACCUAAACCUCUGAUAUUCCAUGAUAGUAGAUUCAUAAAAAAAAAACACAACACCGAAAUUCUUACCUGACUCCCUGUUUUGGUGUUCCUUACUUCUUCCCUUCCUCUGCCUCUGCCAUUUGUUUCAAGACCUCGUUCCUCUCAGCAUCAAAUUCCAAACUUAAGCAUCUGCUUACCUCCAUAGUCUGCAAUGCCUCCUUCCAUAUGGUUUCACAUCUUGAAUCAACCCUUGAAAUUUCUCCAUGAAGUCCCUCUAAUUUCUUUUUUCGUGAUUUCACUCUAUUUUUUUUUAAUUCUUUCUUACCUUUUUUUAUUGUUUGUUUUUUUUUUUUUUUACAUUAACUUUCCCUUCCCUUAUUGCCGUUAUUUCUGUUUGUUCUGUUUCCUUUGCUCCUCCUUCUGUUUCUUGAUCCUUUAUUUUCUUUUGUCCCAUAUUGUUCUUUUUGUCCUUGCUUUCCCUCGACUUAAUUCUCCUUUGCCUUCCUUCAUCUUUCUCUUUAACUAGGUCCAUAAGCAUUAUAUCAUUUGACAUUGACAAACCCGGAUCUUUAAACUUCUGUUCCAACACCUUUCCUUGUCUUCUUAGCUUGGUUUCCACCACCCUUAACCUCUCUUCAUGGACUGAGCUUUGAGCUCCUCCACCAAAACACCUUUCUCCUUCACUAGAUUCUCUUUGUCCUAUCGUAUUAUCUUUCUCUUAAUUUUUCUUCCCCUUUCUAUUUUCCUGAUGAUUAUCAACUGAACCAACUUUUGAGCUGUCACACAAGUUGUUUCUCCUUUGUAAGCCUAAGCUUACUUUUCUCCUAUCUUGAUCUUUUGCCCCACUAGGCCCGUAAUCCAUUCUCAGGUAAUGAAGGCCCUCUCUCCCUCUUUGAAAUGCAGAAUUCCAGCCUCUCAUCUCUUCUUCUGGGCUUGUAGAACCUUCACUAGUGGCCCACUCUCUUUAUGAAACUAUACAUGUUUCCUUGCCCUUUCUUGAUGGCCUACAUGUUGCUUUUUUUGACUUUGGACUACUACUUUGUUGAUUGGCCCCACUUUCUUUUUCGUUUGACCCUAACUUCUCCUUUUCCAUUUCAAUGUGUGUGGCUUUCUUCCCCGAUUUCAAAUUUCCCUCCCUUUUCUCUUUUCCCCCCUUUGGCUUGCUCUGAACAGUCCUAUCAACUUUCUGUUGUGUUCUCUUAAGUGAAACAAGUGCAUCAUAUCUAUUUUCUAUCACCUUUCCUUGGUUUUGUUCCCUAUAAUUUAUCUGACCCAUUGAUUUCCCCUUAAGUGCCACCUCAUCAUCAUCCAUGGUGGUUGAUUUCCUCCCCAUUGUGUUAUGUUUCUCCACCCAUCAGACCUCAUUUUGCUCUAUCGGUCUUGGUUCACAACAUGCCCAUGCUUUGCAUAAGGCCUCAUCGCAGGCUUGCCUCUCCAUAUCACAUGAUUCCUCCCUAAUGAUCGAUGUUCUCAUUAUGUAUGCUUUCCCAUUCACUAUGAUCUGUUGGUUCACGGGGACAUUCUUUUUGCUCAUUAUUUCAACUUUGAUGACAGCCACAUCCAACCGACUUCUCCUUUCAGUUUCCUGGUCAACUUUAAGAAACUUUCCCCAGCAAUUACCAAUUUCUUCAAACAUUUUCAAGUUCCAUAGAUGAGUAGGAAGUUCCUCAAUUUUCACCCAUACUUGGUAUCUCCGUUCAUCUUUCUCCAUGUUGUAUGGCUUGAUGUUUUCAAACCAAACUGAGAAAAUGUCAUAAUAUUGGUCAAGCACGACUUCCAUUUCACCUUUGUUGCCAAAAGUGACUAUCACGUUGAGGCCUCCUGCUUGUCUCACAAGCACCAUAAUACCUUCCUUUUGCAAAUAACUUUGCACCUCUCUAUAACAUAUAUGACUUUCGAGAUGCCCUAAAGCACUACAUCUAAGCCAUUCAACCUCAUCCCCUGUAAUUUCAACUCUUAUUCCAUCCACCUUAUUCAAACCAAUCCCUGCCUUUGAGAUAGUUCUCCUAUUAUACCAUUAGUUACUACUUCUUUGUAUGACGACAUGCCUCUUUCUCUGAUAAGUUCUUUUAUCUUUUUUUGGACCAUUUGGUUCCUUCCUCUGCUUCCAUCCUUGGCCUUAUCAGCUUAUUUGACUAUCAGAAACCUUCCAUCCAGUUCAAUAUUUUGGCCAUACCUUAUCGCUUUUAACAGCUCAUCUUAAAAGCGAUAUCGGACAAAAGUAUAUUUUGUUUCUCUUUUUUCUAACUGUUUUGGAAUAAAGAAAUCCACAACGAUUCCAAAUCGGUCAAAAAAGUUUUUUAGGUAUUUCCAUUGCACUCUGCUGCUCACGUUAUUGACGAAAGCAGUGAAGACCCUAUUUGUCCACCUCAAAAAAUCCUAUAUUCUGUUCCUCUCUUCCCAGUUUGCCGCCCGUGUCCACCCUUCUCCCUCUCUUGCAGUCUUUCCUAAGCUACGGUAAUCUAACCAAUCUCUUACUCUCACUCUUUCUCUUCCUCAACGUCUAUUUCUCUCAACUUCUCUCUCUAAUUCUCUCUUAUGCUCUCUCAUUUUUUUUUCUUUGCCACCAUUUUUGUUACCGUCAGGCACUGUAAGUACUAAGAUUACCCUGGAUUGUUAUAGUAACAUAUUUGGAUCCUUUUCAUUUCGAACUAGCAAUUAUACAACAAUUAUAGAAUUAAUGUGGUUUGCAACCUACCUCUUCACGGUUAAGAGUCCAUUCCAGGAGCUGUCGCUUAGAUCAUUUGCAACAAUGAGUCAGUUGGAAAAUUUCCAUAACAAAACUCAUUGUUCUCAUCAAAAGAUUCAUAGAAACCUCCAAAGAAAGGCUUAUAAACAUUUUGAGAUAUUUUUAAUGGCUUUUGAUUAUAGAUUUGCCGUGGACAAAAAGAGUAGGGAGUGAACAAAAAAGAAGCCAUGAUUAAUCGUGGCUAGAUAUUAGCUUUGCAAGUUUGAUCUGUAUUUAAGAAAAAUGUUGGAGUUAAAACUUAAAACCAAUGCUGAAAAAGUUUAUUAAAAAUUGAACACAUAGCUAUCUCAACAUUUCAGUUUGACCUUGCAAACAAAUAAUUAAAUAAUAAAUAAAAACAGGUUAGCAUAUGCAGGCCAAAAAAUUGAUUUGUAAGCUAAUAGUAGUGUAAUAAAAGAAUGAAGCAAAUCCAAAACUAAUGUGCAUCUAAUUAAUUUCUUCCUUCAAAUUUUCUUUUGAUGAUUGGAAAAAUAAACUUAAAAGGAAAAAUAUAGCUUCCUAAAUCAAGUUAAAUAAACUGAGCAAACAAAACAUGAAUUUCCUUAUUAUCUUUCUUAUGUAUCUUAAGUUGCUGUAGCAGAAAGUGAAACUUACUUCAACGUAGAAUUGUGAAGAUGAACAGUGAUCAAGUUAUUAUGAAUAUAUUGUCUUAUUGUGCUCUAUUCCAAUGCCUGUGGUGUGUAAUUAUUUGAAAUUUUGGAGAACUUUGAGAGAACUCAAAUCAAAAUCAACCAUCACUUGGUUGUUCAAAUCAUCACCUUAAUUUCUCCUGGGCUAGGCAACUACAAUCCAAUUCUCACUAUGUAAACCCCAAUUUCAUGACCCUCCAUCGCCUACCUAUAUGUUAUGUAAUGUGUUGUGAGCAAGCCUAAGGCCCAAAGACAUAAGGGGUCUCAUCAGAAGAUUCUUAUGUGACUUCAACAAUAGAUAUUCCAUCUGUCCCAAAAAUAAAAAGGAUAGGCUAUAUAUAUUCCCUAGCAAUUGUCAACAGUCGGGGAUCGAAAGAUACUAACCAUAAUACUAUCUCUCCUUUCUUUCUCAUAUCCUCUCCCUCUCUAUUCUUUCCUUCUAUUCCGCCUUCGAUGAGUUCUUACUCACUUAUAAAGCAUCAGUAAAGGAAUCACAAGAAAACCUCUAAUGUUCAUUUUUUUUAGGCCCGAACGCAUCAUCUUAGCCCAGAUCAUCCAACAAGAUAAUUCACCUACAAAGACAAAUCGAAAGUAAUCUCUAAUAUUUAUUGGGAUAAUUUUUUCAACCUUUAAAGAUAGAGUAUUUUCAAAAAUAAAUUUUUUUAAUUUUAAUUAUUUUUAGCCAAGAGAAAAGAUUUUUGGACAAAAUUACCCUUAAUAAACCUUUUCAUAUUCAAGUUCUCCUAAAUUUUCUCUCCCACCAUUCGUCUGCUUUGCUCCGUAUUGUGCUAUGCUCUCAAUUUUUCUCUAUUGUCAUCCAACUUUCUCUAAUUUUACCACCAUAACUAUCUCUUUGUCUAUCUUUUGUCAUCUCGUCAUAUGAUCAAAGAGCGUGACAUGGAAGGUAACAACAAAUUCUUGGGUUUAUUAGUCUAUAUUUUGAAAACCCUCUCUCUGUCUAUCUCUUGCCAUUUCAUCGUCGAUCUAUAGACCAAAAAGCAUGGCAUGGUGGGUAACAACGGGUUCUUGGGUUUAUGGGUGUUAAGUUUCUUCAGUGAUUCAAGUCUUGUAGAACAUGCCUUAGCAUGUAAUAAAGUGAUUCAUGCUUUGGCAUGUAACAUCAGUAGAAAGAAAGAAGAUUUGGUGUGUAACAUAUGGUUCUGAAGUUUUGACCUUGGCAUGUAACAUCUGGUGUUGAAUCUUUUUUAUGAUUAUAGGAAAUGUAACAAAUAAAAUAACCUAAAAACUAAUUAUCCAAAUUUGAGAAUUUUGGAUUGUAUCUUUUUAUCUAAAUCUAUUUCAUCCCAGCCAUUUCACCCCAGUAGUAAUGUUGACAUUAAAUAAUUUUUCAAGACAUCUUCCUUUCCAUGUCAAAUUCCUUUUUGAUUAAACGUUAUCUUUAUCAUGAAUAUGUUUAACUCCAAGGGUUUAUGUUCCAUUCAAAUACAAAGAUAGAGACCACAUUACAUUUAAAAAAUGUUGUCAUUACAUGUUAGGUUAAAAAAAUGUCAUUACAGUUGAAAAAAAAAUCAUUACACACUUUAACUCCAAGAGUUUAUGCUGUAGUAAAAUAAAAAGAAGUUACAUGUUUAAAAAAUAUUAUUGUUACACGUUAUAUUAAAAAAUUUUAAGCAACACCAAAACUUUAGCACCCAAUGUUACACACCAAGGCCAAAGGUUCAACACUAGUUAUUACAUGCCAAGGUUAAAGCUUUACCACCAGAUGUUGCAUGUCAAUGUCAAAACUUCACCAUCAAAUGUUACACGCCAAGGUUAAAGCUUCAACACCAUAUAUUACAUGCCAAAGCUUCAUUCUUCCUAUUGAUGCUAAAUGCCAAGGCAUGAAUCAAUUUGUUACACACUAAGGCAUGUUCUACCAGACUUAAAUCACUGAAAAAACUUAACUCAUAAACCCAAGAACUUGUUAUUACUCACUAUGCCAUACUUUUUGGUUUGUACAUCAAUGAUGAGAUGGCAAGAGAUAGAUAGAGAGAGAGUUUUAUGAAUGUAAACCAAUAAACCCACGAAUAUGUUGUUACCUUUUAUGUCAUGCUCUUUGCUACGUAGAUCGAUGAUGAGAUGACGAAAGAUAGACAAAGAGAUAGAGAUAGUGGUAAAAUUAGAGAAAGUUGGAUGACGAGAGAGAAAAAUGGAGAGCAUAGCAGAAUAGGGAGCAUAGCAGAAUCGGACCGCUAAACGUGGUUAACUUGGGGAGUCACCACCAAUCUUUUUUUACCUAGGUGUGAUUGGUCACCUAUUAAAUUGGUUCUAUUCAACGAAAUCUUAAAUUGAUUUAAAGUCCGUCGAAAGAACGAGAAAUUGUCUAUAUUUUUUUGUCAAAGUUGAGUUCGGGAGUACAGUUACGCAUAUGGAAGGAUUAGCACCCCCGUGACGCCCGUUCCACAAAUGGUACCAUUUAAUCAUAAAUUAUCCUAACCCAUUAAUUUUAUUCUUAUGUUUCCUUAAUUGUUAUUUAUUUAUUUCAUCUUUUAUUAGAAUAUUCUAUUUCAUUUUUUACAGGUUUAACACGUAUAUUAUGCAAUUGUGAAAUGCAUGGCAUAAAAUCUGGAUAAUGCCAAACGAAAAUCCUUUAUUGAGUGUACUUUCUGAAUCCACCCAUCGUACUAGUGAGAUUCGUAAGUAUUCUCUCACCUAAGGAAAUACCUCAGCAACUCGCCUUUGCAAGUUUACUUGGUAGAUCCCAGCAUCGGGAUAGUCGUUUAUGAGUAAAAAAUAGUGUUUUCAGAAUGCAAAUCCUAAUAUGGGUAAAAGCCUCUUAUUAAAGAUAUUUCUCUGGACCUUCCCAUCGUACUAGUGGACUUCGGAGGUAUCUUUUCACCUAGGGAGUUUACCGAUGAAACUCUCAUUCGCAAGCUUUCUCGGAAAGUCCCAUCAUAGGAGCUUAUACCCGUAUAUAGAAUAUAUCUAUAUGCCAUGACAUUUAACAAUGCGACCAUGAUACGUGAUGCACUCACAAUUAUAAUGUUUGUUCCUUAUUUUAUUAUUUCUCCAUGUGAGUGUAUGCACGUUGUUUUUUANCAAACCUUCCCAUCGUACUGGUGGAGUUCGGAGGUAUCUUUUCACCUAAGGAGUUUGCCGAUGAAACUCGCCUUUGCAAGCUUUCUCGGAAAGUCCCAUCAUAGGAGCUUAUACCCGUAUAUAGAAUAUAUCUAUAUGCCAUGACAUUUAACAAUGCAACAAUGGUACGUGAUGCACUCAUAAUUUUAAUGUUUGUUCCUUAUUUUAUUAUUUCUCCAUGUGAGUGUAUGCACGUGUUUUUUAUUUACUUAUUAUCCCAUUUUUAUUUCGUUAUGUAUUUUGCUAUGCAAAUACUUAUUCAUUUCAUUAUAUGCAAAAUUUUCAAAAUUAUAUUUUUAGACCAAGUAUUUUCAUUUUAUUUAUUUUUAUUUCAUAAUUAUUAUUUGUAUAUGUAUUUUAUACAUUCCUCUUUGUGUUAUUAUUAUUGUUAACAUACUUAUUGUUAUCAUUAAUUUCUUAUUUUUUUGCAUUUUUGACCAAUUGGUAAUUGAGUAUAUGAUUUGUAUUUAAAAUUAGAAUCAUCGAAAUUCUAAAUUAGGACCUUCCCAUCAUACUGGUGAGGUCCUAAUCAAAAUUCUUAACCUAAGGAAAUCCAUUUAGAAUUGCGACUUCUCAUGUUCUGAACGGACAUCCUAUCAUCGGUAUUGAUUCUAAAGUGGUUGCUAUAUAUUUUAUAUCAUUUUUUAUUGUUAUUGUUGUUUAUUAUUAUAUUCUUAAUUAUUGUUAUUAUUAUUUUUGUUCAUUACUUUUUAUUAUUAUUAUUAUUAUUAUUAUUUAUUUUAAAACAUUCUAUAGUUUUUUUUAUUUCUAUCUAAGCUAAGCAAAUUUUUAAUUAAAUAAGCUGGAUAAGCCCUAAAUAACAAGUCCAAAUCGACAAUAAAUGGGAAAGGCCUCACCUUACUUGGGCUAGAAUGAUGGCCCAAGUUAUCUGGGCUGCACGGAGGCGUCCCAAGCCUGCUUCGUUGGUCCACUGGGCUUUCCUCCCCAAACGCACCGUUUGGGGCUCCGGAGACUCCCUCAAACGACGCCGUUUAGACUCUAAACCUGGGUAUAUAAGCCCUUUUUUUUUACCUUUUUUCUUAUUUUCACCUUUCAUUUUCUCUCUCUAGUUGGCCACUCUCUCUCUCUGCCUUCUCUCUAAAUUGACGGCAAACCUUUCUCCCUCUCUCCCUUGCUGCGACAUUGCAACUUCCUCUUUAUCUCCGUAUCCCUUUACUCCUUGUCACUGGCCGGAUUAGGAAACCAGAUUCGAGACCCCUUACGGACUGCCCUCUCUUCUCCAGCAGCCUUCCUUUGCCGCUGGCGUCCCUUCCGAUUCUCACCCUACCCACGCAAUCAACUCUCUCUUUUGCACCAAAAAUCGCCUCUCACCAAAUCUGACUAGUUUUCUCAUCUUCUUUUUUUUUUUGUUUUUGUGUUGUGUUUGUUUUGAUUUUUGAUCUUUUGUUAUUGUGGCUAGGGUAGUCUGCUGGUAGAAAACUUGAGUAUUUUGGAUUUGCACGUCUCAAUUGUUUGAAGAAAAAAAUGAGAUUUUUUGUUGAUGGAUCUAGUUUUUUUGUUUUUGCAGGAUUGAUGUUUUUUUUUUGAUCUGGCUUUCUCCGAUUUUUUCAAAAUCUGCCUACAUUUUAAAAGAUCUGGAUUGUCUAAAAUUUUGGACAAUCUCAAGAGUGCAAUCAUGUGAUUUUCGUAGGGCUCCUGGCACAAGCAAGCCCGGGGCAAGUAGUUGGAGGUGACGGGAGAGGGAGGCUGAACAAACGUUCAGUCUUUUCCCUUCUCUGUUCUUUUUUUUAAAUUUUAUUAUUUUUUAAUUUUUUUAUUAUGUUAUUUGAUUAUUUUAUUUUUAUUAUCAUUUAUUUUUUUUAAAUGGGUGUCUACAGUUGCCCCUCUUUGUACAUUCUUGAGAAUCAAGAAUAGUGCAAAGACGUAGACACCUUCUUUGGACCAAAUUAAAUAUCUUUGUUCCUUUUUUUAAUAAUCAAAAAGCUCCUCAUCUCAAAACGAGGCUAUGUAACUUAAAAAAAAUCUUGAAACUAAUUACCUGAAGGUUUUAGGAAAGGUUUUAUGAAUGUAUCCGGAGGUUUUGAAGAUGUUCCCGAAGGUUUUAGAAGAAAAGGUUGUUCCUCAUCUCAGAAUAAGGCUACAUAACUUUGAAGAAAUCUUGAAACAAAUUACCCGGAGGUUUUAGGAAUGUACCCGGAGGUUUUAGAAGAAAAACUUGUUCUCAUCUUAGAAUGAGGCUACAUAACUUUGAAGAAAUCUUGAAACCAAAUACCUAGAGGUUUUGGGAAUAUACUUGAAAGUUUUACAAAUGUUCCCGGAGGUUUUGGAAGAAAAAGUUGUUCCUCAUCUCAAAAUGAGGCCACGUAAUUUUGAAAAAAUCUUAAAACAAAUUACCCAAAGGUUUUAGGAAUGUGCCCGGAGGUCUUGAAGAUGUACCCGGAGGCUUUAAAAGAAAAAGGUUGUUCCUCAUCUCAAAAUGAGGUCAUGCAACUUUGAAGAAGUCUUAAAACUGAUUACCCGGUGGUUUUAAAGAUGUACUCGAAGGUUUUGAAAAUGCACCCAAAGGUUUUAAAAGAAAAAAGUUGUUUCUCAUCUCAAAAUGAGACCACGUAAUUUAAAUUUUCUCGUGCCAAGAUAAUAGGGCUUAGACGUGUUGGAUGCCAGCUACAGUGGGCUUAAACAUAUCGGUGCCAAUAUAACUGGGCUUAAACAUCUUGGAUGCCAGCUAAAUUGCGCUUAAACUCCUUUUGUGCCAACGUAACUGGACUUAUACAUAUUGGAUGCUACUUUAAUUGGGCUUAAAUCUCUUUGUGUCAAUAUAACUGGGCUUAAUCAUUUUGGAUGCCAGCUAAAUUGGGCUUAACUCCUUUUGUGCCAACAUAACUAGACUUAAACAUCUUGAAUGCCAACUAAAUUGAGCUUAAACUCCCUUGUGCCAAUGUAACUGGACUUACACAUCUUGGAUGCCAGUUUGAUUGGGCUUAAACUCCUUUUGUACCAACGUAACUGGACUUAUACAUCUUGGAUGCCAGUAUAACUUGGGCUUAAAUCUCUUUGUGCCAACGUAACUGGACUUAUACAUCUCGGAUGCCAGUUAAAUUGGGCUUAAAUCUCUUUGUGCCAACGUAACUGGACUUAAACAUCUUGGAUGCCGGUUAAUUGGGCUUAAAUUCUUUCAUGCCAACAAAAAUGGACUUAUACAUCUUGGAUGCCAGUUAAAUUGGGCUUAAGACUCAAAUCUUUCUUCACUUAAUUGCUUGAAAACUGCAUUAGUCUUGAUAUUCGUUUGAAAAUUUCAAUUUUGAUGAUGCAAGGUCAUGUGCUGAUUGGGCAUGUAUGCAUAAUUGAAUGAUGGACAAAUGAUGUAUUGCUUCCUUUUGUUUUGCGCCAUAUAUUCCUCACUUGAAAGAUCAUUUUUCUUGUCUUCACAUUUUUUGACGAUGUUCUUGUGCAGUAGCCAAUUUCUUCGCCUUCAAAGAACCUUUUUGUUAAUCUCGUCAUAUUAAUUUAAAUUCUUGAAACCACUUUUCUACAAUGGAUGCGAACAAAAGCUCACCAGUUCAAAUUGGAUUUCAAUGCUUCCACACUUAUUGAUCAUGAAAGCUCUUCCUUGCAUUGCUUUUUCCCAUCUCUUCUUUUUUUUUUUUUGAAAUGAAUUUUGUCUUUUUCAAAAGUGCUUGUCUGAUCUCACAAAGAUCAUAAAGACUCUCAUUUUUCUUUUUUCCUUUUUGUUUUCAAAAACAUCUUAAUUUUAACAAAAUCACAACAAAAUUGCCCCACACAAUUAUUUCCAUGAUCAAAGAUAGUUGAAUCUUGGAGCAAGAAUGUAUCAAAUCCACACUUUUCUUGCGGAAGUGAUAAAAUAUCCAAGUUUGGAAAAACAUGUGAUAUUUGAAUCUCUUAAAAAUCAGUGAUUACCAUUUAAAAUGACUCGGGUGGGUCAAGUCAUAAUUUGAUCUUUCAAAUGGAUUGAAAGGUUUAACAAAUUAAAGUCUUGCAAAAAGGUCUUGCUAUUUUAUGGGGAAAUGAAGGAUCAAUAUUUCUUCGUCCAAGCUCACAAAUGUUGCACGAUUUUCUCAAAUUUGUACUCUCUGAAAAUCAAAUUCUUUACAAAAAGACUCAUUUCGGAUUGCAAAUCAAUUUUGACACUCUCUUGUCUCAUGAUGUGUGGCAUUUUGAUAGAUGUCAAGACUAGCUUUAGAGACUUCAGAUUUGUAAGGUUAUUUUGGAAGAGAAUGGCUCAAAGUUCAGCAUUGGUUUUAUGACAAAUCUUGAAUUUUACAUUCUUGGACAUUUGAAGGGUCUCCAAUGCACUCUAGUUGCUUUGAAAUGAUCUCUAUUGUGCUUCUUAUCAGUCAAAAUCACAAGUGGUUUCAUAAGUUCCCAUUUUUGCUCUAGGUUGCCUUUUCAGGUUUUCACCCUAGAGCUCAUUUUUUUCUCUUUUCUCUUUUUUUCCCUUUUUUUUAUUCUCCUUGUCAUCUCUUUUUUCUUUUUUUCAUCGAUUGUUCCAUCAUGCACUUGAAAAAGAUUCAAACUCUAUCCAAAAUGGAUUGACGGAUUGACACGGAUCAUCAUGGCAAAGAAAAAGAGACCAAGGCCUCAUGGAUUUUAUAAUGUCUUUUUCUAGAAAAAAUCUCUUCAAUUUAAGCAUCCAUACUUGAUCAAAAUGGACUUUUUUAAAACAUGUAAUGUAGGUUAAGGUUAGGGGCUUUGAUAGAAUGGGUAAAAAGGCUCAAAACAUUAUAUUUAAGGGUGUUCAACCAAGGAUCAUUCAUGUGAAAAUCUUCUAAGACAUUUGUCUUUUCAAUUUUUCAAAGCAUAUUUUUCCAUCAAUUUUCUUUUUCUUUUUUUUUCAUCACUUUUGAUCAUCUUUUCCAAUUUUUUUUUUGAUGGGUUUAAAACUCGAAUUCUUUUGCCUUCGCCUCUUUAUACAGGGUGUUUUAUUUCUUCAAAUGAGAUCUUGUCCUCCUUGUUCUUGGACAAUAUUCUCAUACAUAUUUGCCCUUCCAAUAUGAGAGGUGAUCCUUGGUCAAGGUGUAUUUAGAAAGAAUUUGAUAGGCUCAAAGGGGUAGCAAGCGGAUAAUUUCUCAUUUGCAAAUGGGAGAAUGAAACAUGGCCACUUCUCAUAUCAAAUAUGGUUACUUGCCUUGAAGAGCAAUCCUUAGAAUGGAUGAAUAUUGAAGUUCUUUUUUUUUUCUUUCUUUGGCAUUGUUUGAAUGUCUCAAGUACAUGCUGUUACUAUCAACUUUUCUCACUAUUCUCUUAUUUUCUUUUUUUCCUUUUUUUUUUCAUACCUUCACAACUCACAGCUUGACUCAAAUUUUCUAAAAUGAAAGAUUCACUGAAGAUGCCCUUCCUCGAUCAACCACUCAAACGAAGACUUAAGCAACAACUCUAAGCAAUUAUGACCAUUUCAAAGCCUUCAGAGAUCUCAUUUCAAUCCUCAAUUUCAAAAAUUGCUCUUGUUAGCAUUUCUAAAUGAGGGAGAAACAAAGGUUAUUUUACAAGUCAGUUGUCUUGAAAGUAUUGGAAAAUUUUUCCUCUUCUAACCAUCUUGCCCCCCAAGUAUGGAUGGAGGACAACUUUAGGCAAUGGGUGGAAAGGUUCACAUUUUGGAUCAGAUUGAAAAAAGUUAAGUGGUUUUGAUGUAUUUGAAGCUCUGGCUAGUCUUGACACUUAUCAAACUACCAAAUUCAGAUUCUCUCCAAGAGUGCAAGAUUUUCUUUAUUUUUGGAAAAAUGAAUUUUACCUUGUCACAACAUUGAUCAUUACUUAGACGAAGACCAUCAUCCUUAGAUGUCAAAUGAUAAAACAAAUGAAGUUUCAGAGCUUUUGCUUAUUUUUGGAUUCUGGCCCUUGAAUGGCCUUUAUUCACUUGGUUAAGGGAUUGAGAGUGUUUAAAGGUAUGGUUUGAGAAUGUUUAUGAAAAUGAGUUCAUUUGCAAAUAGCAACCACCAAUUCUUUCGAAAUUCUUUUCACCAUUUAUUUUACAAGAACCUUUUCUUUUUCUUUUUUUUUUUAUGUAUGAUUUUGGAAACAAGUAAUAUGGGGCUUUAUUUUUAAAAUUGCUAACAUUCAAAGAACUCAUUUCUUUUUUUUUUUUAGAAAGAGAAAUAAAUAAACAAGAACCACAAGAAAUUUGAGCAAUUUUGAAACUCAAUUUGACUCAUGACAGCAUGUGAUGAUGAAAACUAAACAAUCACUCAUCUCAAAUUACAUGAUCAUGCAUGAAAGACAAAAGUCCAUAUUUCCAAGAGUUUCUACCUUCAAAGCAUGUACACAACUAGAAAAUGAUCAAGGAUUGCCCCCGAAUUGGCAUACCACUCAAUUAUUCCAAAACCCAAGCCUUGUAUCCAUCACCCUUGAUUUUUAUAGUUGUUGACAAGUUCUUUGAAUUUAGUUGGGUUUUCAUCGAUUAAACCUUGAACUUUGUUCUUGAAUGCAAUGCAAUUCUCUGUGGAAUGACCUUCAACCCCAUAAUGGUAAUCACAUUUAACAUUUGGGUUAUACCAUCUUGGGUAAGGAGAUUUCCUAGGCUUGGGAGGAAUAAUAGAGAUCUUAUAGUUUUGUACCAAUAAAGGGAAAAGCUCUACAUAGGGCAUUGGUAAUGAAUGGUACACUUUGGCUUUCUUUCUCCUGUUGCUUUGAAGGUAAUCUGGAUUAAUUUCUUGGUCAUUUGAAGUGGACAUGUAAGGUAAAGGAGCUUGUGCAAGUGAUGAUUGAGUGAAAGGUCGAGAUAGAUUAUGGACAUAUGCUGAUGGGUGUGAAUGAGCGCCCAUAAGAUCUCCUUCUAUGUCACAAAAUUUCCUUUUAUUUCUCUUUUCAAAAGCCAUUGCUUGAACUCCUUUAUCAAAAACAUCAUAUUCUCAUUUGACAAGAUCAUUUGCUCGAAAGUCUACAAUCUUUCCCUUUCUUAUUCCAUCUUCAAUCCUUCCCACGGAGAACACCAAAUCCAAAAAAUCUGAAUUAGCAUUACCCACCAAUUUGUCGUAAUAUGGAGGAGGAAGAGUAUCAAUAAAUAGAGAAUUUAAUUCUCUAUUAGUAAGGGGUGGUUGGACUUGUGAUGCUACUUCCUUCCACUUAUAAGCAUACUCCUUGAAACUUUCAAAAGGGUUUCUUUCCAUGUUUUGGAGGGUUAUUUGAUCAGGAAUUGCUCUUAGCCUAUGCAUAUAUUGUCCCAAAAAUGCUCGGGCUAAAUCUGUCCAUGUGCAAAUACGAUUUUUCUCUAGCUUGAAGUACCAUUUAACCGCAGCCCCUUUCAAACUAUUUUGAAAAAAUGAAUGAGCAAUUUCUCAUCAUGGACAUAUGGAGACAUCUUGUUGCAAUACAUGAUCAAAUGUGCUUUAGGGCAUUUGGUUCCAUCAUACUUUUCGAACUCUGGGACUUUAAACUUGGGUGGGAUAACUACAUUAGGCACCAAACUUAAUUCCUUUGCCUUAACGAAAUCAUAGAGAUCCAUUCCUUCUAUGGCUUUAAAGCGUUCUUCUAAAAGGUCAUACUUCUGUUGUACUCUCGAUUUUUCUCUUGAACUUGAUAAGUCAAGUGUAGGAACCUGAUUAGAAAAAAUUACCCUUGGAAUUUGCAUAGUUUGCCUUUGUGUCGACGACUGACUUAAUCCUUGAAAACUUGAAAAUCCUUCGAUAGUCACCUUCCUUUCAUUGGCAUUCACCAUCUCCAUUAGCUUUGUCAACUGUUUUCUAAUCUCUUCCUGGGUCUUCUCCAUCUUGUUUAUCAAAUUUGAUUGAUCAUCUCCCAUAAUUCUAGCUUGAGCCCCUGUAUUGUGCCAAUCGUAAGUGGGCUCCCUUGAACUUUUCUCUUUUCACAAUAUAUAAUGUGAAAAGCAACGAUAAUCUUGCUUCUUCUUUCAUGAAAUGUAGUAAAGUCAAGUGAUGCUACUUGCCACAAAGGAAGGUGAAUGAUGCAUGCAUGUGUAUCCAAAUCGAAGAAUGUUUGAAUGCAUGAUGGGAUGAUUAAAUGUUUGACAAUUGAUUUGAAACACAAAGACACUUGAUUAUGAAUAAUGCUCCAACACGAUUACAUUUCAAACAAACUUUCUUUUUCAUUUUUUUGAUUUUUUUUAAACAACAUCUAAGAAAAUGUCUCAAAAGUUAACAUAAUUCUUCACGAACACGAACUUACUCUUACAAGAUUCAAAAGAAGUUAAAGAUUAAAAUGUCCUAAGGUCUAAAAAACUUAAAAAAAAAUCAACACAGUCAAUCCUUCUUUCGUCUGACACUCAAUUGUACUCUCCAUAACCAUACCCCAUCAUCUUUGCUAGAUCGAACCAUUUGGCAUCUAUUAAUGUUUGCACUCGAUACUUGAAGGCGUCACAAUCUUCGAUGGAAUGUCCCAUAGCUCCACCAUGAUAAUCACAUCUUGCAUCAGACUUGAACCACUUUGGGUAUAGAGGCCACAAGGGUUCCAAAGGCACCGAGACAAUAAGAUGAUCAUGAACUAAUUGAUAAAAGAGUUCUUUGUAGGUGACAGGUAUAGGGUCAAAUUAUUUUUUCUUUUUGGAUUAUUUUUGAGGGGUGCCUAUACUAGGAGUAGGGGUGAUUGAUAAUUGUGCUCGUGGUUGGCUUUAAAAGGCCUGUUGAAAAUGAGGUCGAAAAGUGCUUGAACAGGAGUAAGAAUUUAGCCGUAAAUUGAUUUUCGUAGGUUGAAAAGUGGUGGGUGGAGAAUAUGACCUUGGUUGCAACCCAUUGCUCUGGGGUUGUGUAGCAUUUGGAGAUCCCAUCUUGGUCAUGAAACUUUUGAACUCAAUCAUUUGCAUGUUCAACUCAUCCAUCCCUUUUACAAUUUUUUUUAGACCUUGAUAUUUACUUGAGCCACUGAGCAACGUGUUGGGUUCAUCAAGGACAAAUUGAAUUUUAUUCAGAGAUUGUUUCUAGUGUGGUUUGAUUUGAAGCAAUGAGGACUCUAGAAGGUGAUUUCCUUUGGCUUCAUUGAGACAUUCAACCAUUUCCAUCAAUUUGGUUAUCUGCCCUUUGAUCUCUUGAAGGUUAUGUCUAAAUUCUUCUUGAUUGCGUUCCAAUGCACUUAUCCUUGCUUCCAAUUGAUGUUCCAUAUCGUUUAAUCCUAGCUUGGGUUCAGAUGAUGACCUAAACCAAAAUAACUUAGAAACAAAAGUUUAGAAUUUUACUAAAAAUUUUUCAAAAAGGGAUUUAUUUUCUUUCCUAUAAAGCUAACAACACUGUAGGGUUUUUCUUUAUUAGAACAAAUAUGAAAUGAUUGCAUGUAGAUGAAAAUAUGAUAUUUGCAUGUAUGCAUGAAAUGUUAUGAUGCCUUGAUGCAUGGAUGGUAUGAAAUGAAAUGGAAGACCAUAUUAUCGAAAAUCAUGUAUAGUGAGAGGUAGAAAACUUUAUUCAAAACUAAAGUCCCUUUCUUUUUGUGGUUUUUGAAGAAAAUGGAAGAAGUAAAAAAACCUUUUUAUGUUCUCUCUUCUUGCUGCUUAAAUGGAUAACCAUUUUCUUUUUCUUUUCUGUUUCACAAGAAGCAUUAUUUUCUCUUUUUACAUUCCUCAUUUAUUUUUGUAUGAGAAGAAGUUUUUCUCUCUUUUUUUCUUUUAUUUUUAUGGAUAAAAGGAACUAAAAACCUCUCUUUUUUUUUUAGAAGACCUCACUCGAAAGAAAUGCCUUUCUUUUUUUUCCUUUCUUUAUAUAUUUUUAUUUUUUUUUUCUCUUUCUCUCUUCUUUCUUUCUUUUUUUUUUCAUGAAAGAAGAAACACACUCCCUCUUUUUCAUGUUUAUCCUUUAUUUUUAGGAGAAAAUAAAAAAGCUAUUUUUCUGAGAUAUUUAAAGUAAAAGUACAGAGAAAAGUGUUCUAAAAAUAAUGAACGUAAAAAAUCUUGCUCCUCUCUUUUUUUUUUAUGGAAACAGAAAGAAAAUUUUUUUGUUUUUUUUUUUUUUUUUUUAAAAUCACUUUAACAUGUGUUACUUUUAUUUUAUCAAAAAAGGCUAUUAAGAUAGAUUUGUUCCUUCACGUGUCCUAAAUUAGGGUGUACUGCUCAUGACAAGUUCAGUAAGGUUCUGUCUAUGGGAUGGCCCCUUAUGGUUUUUUAUAUAUUGAGUUUGGUUUUGAAUGAGGCUAAAGGUUCCCAAAUUGUUCUUCACUAUCGUCCAUAUGGACUAGUAAGGCACCCCAGUCCUCACCCAUUACAAGCUUCAAACGGACUAGAUUCGAUCUGAGUGAGAGUUUUCACUAGCCCAUGCAGAGAUUAUCACCUCACGAGAGCGUAGCUACUAAACUCUCUCCUAAUAAGGACAAAACUUGGGUAGAAGGCUUAUGCAUGAAUGCAACAUGUGUUGUGUGUGUGAAGGAACAUACCAGCCUUUGACGGACAAUCUCACAUCCCUUUAUCCUAAAUGCCCCACAAUUUAAAAAAAAAAACAACAAAAAUAAAGAUCGUGAAUCAAUUAAUGCACAAAACCAUAAUGCCAAAAGAAAAUGCUCAAAUUUAAAGGAAACACUACAUUAUUUACGGCUUUAGGAUAACUUAUGAUUAAUUAUGUCUCGACUCUCUAGUGUCCCCAGUGGAGUAGCCAAGCUGUUUGUAACGUGCAGGUCCGGGAACCCGACCGCUAGACGUGGUUAACUUGGGGAGUCGCCACCAAUCUUUUUUUACCUAGUCCUCAUUACCUAUUCAAUGAAUCUUAAAUUAAUUUUAAGUCCGUCGAAAGAACAAGAAAUGGUCUACGUUUUUUUGUUAAAGUUGAGUUCGGGAGUACAGUUACGCACAGGGAAGGAUUAGUAGCCCCAUGACGCUCGUUCCACGAACGGUACCAUUUUAUCAUAUACUAUCCUAACCCAUUAAUUUUAUUCUUAUGUUUCCUUAAUUGUUAUUUAUUUAUUUAAUCUUUUAUUAGAAUAUUUUAUUUUAUUUUUUACGAGUUUAACGCGUACAUGAUGCAAUUGUGAAAUGCAUGGCAUAAAAUCUGGAUAAUGCCAAAUGAAAAUCCUUUAUUGAGUGUACUUUCUGAAUUCGCCCAUCGUACUGGUGGGAUCCGGAAGUAUUCUCUCACUUAGGGAAAUACCUCAGCAACUCGCCUUCACAAGUUUACUUGGUAGAUCCUAGCAUCGGGAUAGUCGUUUGUGAGUAAAAAACAGUGUUUUCAUGAAUGCAAAUCCUAAUACAGGUAAAAGCCUCUUAUUAAAGAUAUUUCUCUGGACCCUCCCAUCGUAUUGGUGGAGUUCGGAGGUAUCUUUUCACCUAGGGAGUUUACUGAUGAAACUCGCCUUCGCAAGUUUUCUCGGAAAGUCCCAUCAUAGGAGCUUAUACCCGUAUAUAGAAUAUAUCUAUAUGCCAUGACAUUUAACAAUGCAACCGUGAUACGUGAUGCAUUCACAAUUCUAAUGUUUGUUCCUUAUUUUAUUAUUUCUUCAUGUGAGCGUAUGUACGUGUUUUAUAUUUACUUAUUAUCCCAUUUUUAUUUCGUUAUGUAUUUUGCUAUGCAAAUACUUAUUCAUUUCAUUAUAUGAAAAUUUUCAAAAUUAUAUUUUUAGACCAAGUAUUUUCAUUUUAUUUUUUUUUAUUUCAUAAUUAUUAUUUGUAUAUGUAUUUUAUACAUUCCUCUUUGUGUUAUUAUUAUUGUUAACAUACUUAUUGUUAUCAUUAAUUCCUUAUUUUUUUGCAUUUUUGACCAAUUGGUAAUUGAGCAUAUAAUUUGUAUUUAAAAUUAGAAUCAUCGGAAUUCUAAAUUAGGACCCUCCCAUCAUACUUGUGAGGUCUUAAUCAAAAUUCUUAACCUAAGGAAAUCCACUUAGAAUUGUGACUUCUUAUGUUCUGAACGGACAUCCUAUCAUCGGUAUUAAUUCUAAAGUGGUUGCUAUAUAUUUUAUAUCAUUUAUUAUUAUUAUUGUUGUUUAUUAUUAUAUUCUUAAUUAUUGUUAUUAUUAUUUUUGUUCAUUACUUUUAUUAUUAUUAUUUAUUUUAAAACAUUCUAUAGUUUUUUUUUAUUUUUAUCUAAGUUAAGCAAAUUUUUAAUUAAAUAAACUGGAUAAGCCCUAAAUAAGAAAUUCAAAUCCACAAUAAAUGGGAAAGGCCUCACCUUGCUUAGCCUAGAAUGAUGGCCCAAGUUAUCUAGGCUGCACGGAGGCGUCCCAAUUCUGCUUGUUUGGUCCACUGGGCUUUCAUCCCCAAACGCGCCUUUUGGGGCUCUGGAGACUCCCUCAAAUGACGCCGUUUAGACUCUAAACCUAGGUAUAUAAGCCCAUUUUUUUGCCUUUUUUCUUAUUUUCACCUUUCAUUUUCUCUCUCUAACCAGCCACUCUCUCUCUCUGCCUUCUCUCUAAGCCGAUGGCAAACCUUUCUCCCUCUUUCCCCUGCCCCGACGCUACAACUUCCUCUUUAUCUCCCUAUCCCUCUACUCCUCGUCGCUGGCCAGAUUAGGAAACCAGAUUCGAGACCCCCUACGGACUACCCUCUCUUCACCGACAACCUUCCCUUGCUGCCGGCGUCCCUUCCGAUUCUCACCCUACCCACGCAAUCAACUCUUUCCUUUGCACCCAAAAUCGCCUUUCACCAUAUCUGACUAGUUUUCUCUUCUUUUUUUUUUGUUUUUGUGUUGUGUUUGUUUUGAUUUUUGAUCUUUUGUUAUUGUGGCUAGGGUAGUCUGCUGGUAGAAAACUAGGGUAUUUUGGAUUUGCAAGUCUUGGUUGUUUGAAGAAAAAAUGAGAUUUUUUGUUGAUGGAUCUAGUUUUUUUGUUUUUGCAGGAUUGGUGUUUUUUUUUUUUGAUCUGGAUUUCUCCGGUUUUUUCAAAAUCUACCUACAUUUUACAAGAUUCGGAUUGUCUAAAAUUUUGGACAGUCUCAGGAGUGCAAUCAUGUGAUUUUUGCAGGGCUCCUGGCACAAACAAGCCCAGGGCAAGUAGUUGGAGGUGACGGAGAGGGAGGCUGAACAAACAUUCAGUCUUUUCCCUUCUCUGUUCUUUUUUUUUUUUAAUUUUUUUAUUAUGUUAUUUGAUUAUUUUAUUUUUAUUAUCAUUUAUUUUUUUUAUUUUUUUAAAAUGGGUGUCUACAAAAUGACUGGCAGGAGAGAAAAUUUUAGAGCAUUUAAUUUGUUUGAAAUGGUUUUAAGGGUAUUUUUGUCAUCUCAUGGCUAAAAUUGGUUCAAAACAGUUAACUUUAUAUUGAAGGUUAUGUUUGAAAUGAGCUUAUGAGUAGCAUUGUUUCUUACAAUUUCCUCAUAUUUAUUUGUUCAGAUUGGUUGCUUCAAGACUACGCAUCACCAAUAUUACAUGGAUAAUCAUAUUAAAAUAUUAUAAUGAUUAACAAUGUAACAAGUAGAACCUAAUUGUGUCCUUAUUGUAGAAUUCACUGAACACUUGAGCUAUUACAAGUUGAUGAAAUACAUAAUUUUUUUUUAAAAAACCCUAAUUUUUGACACCUUUAAAAGUUAUAAUUGUACAUGUUUCUAACUUUUAUUUUUCUUUUUUCCCAUUAGAAAUAUAAGCAAUAUAACUAAAAUCUUAUAUCUCUUUAUAAGUGUUUUUUAUGAGAUUAUUUUUACAAAUAAAAAUUAUAAUUACAUAAUAUAACUUUUAAUAUAUACUAUAAUAUAAAAUAAAUUUAUAAAUAAACCAAAAGUUAUCCACCCAAUAAAAUAGAUCUAUAUAAUACAAUAAUAAAAUUUAUUUGGCUUGAGUUUUCAUAGCAUAACAUAAAACUAAAGACAAUUUUGAAAAUUCAAUAAAUUAAAGAUAACAUCCUAAAGCAACCAUCAUGCGAAGAAAAAAAAUCAAGACAGACACUUGCCUCCGAAAUAAAGAAAAGGAAACAACCAAUUACUAGGUAAAAUAAAAGCACCUUGACCUUGAUAAGUUGAACUUGCACUCAAACUUAUUUUCUCGAUUUGGGAUUCAAAGGAGUCCAAUGGAAACGUCAUCAACAUGAUGGUAUUUUCAUCAAGCUUGCUUGUUCGAACCCUUCAAAAACUUGAUUUUGAUCUUCUUCAGCUUAGCAACGAUGUUUUUAAUGUUAAUCCUUUCUUCUGGCAACUCUUUUGAACAUUCUAAUGCCAUUGCAAAAUAGACAAUGCACAAUCUUUUAUUGCAAAAAUGUUCUCACUCCUUGGUAGUAAUUAGCAAAUUGGCAUCUACAAUUUGAGUUAAUGCACAUGGUAAUGACUCAGUCACCCAAUGUAUUAAGCUCAUUUCUCCAACAAACAUUUCAUCUGUGGGCUUUUUUCUUGUUAAGGUUUCAAUUAGAAGAAUACCAAAACUGUACACGUCGCCUUUUAUGGAAACAACUCCUUGUGUUCCAUAUUCUACAUGCAAGUCAUUAAAAAAGCAAUCAUCAAAGUAUGCCAAGAUUUUACAUGAAUUAUCAUAAUGAAUAAAAAAAGUUUAAAAGUUAAGCAUUACCUGGUGCCAUAUACCCAAUUGUUGCUAGUGUUAUGGUUUGUACUGUUGAAUCCUCUUCACCUAAUAGCUUUGCAAUGCCAAAAUCACCCAAAUGUGCAACCAUAUCUUCAUCUAAUAGAACAUUGCUGGGUUUUAAAUCACAAUGGGCCACAAGAAUUGUCUGACCAUGAUGGAGGUAUUCUAAUGCAGAUGCCACAUCAAUCAUAAUGUUCAACCUAUGCAAAAUAUCAAGACAAUAGUUAUGAGAGUAUAACCACUUCUCGAGACUUCCAUUAGGCAUGAACUCAAGCACCAAGGCUUUAAAAUCUACAUUGCAGCAACUACUGAUGAUUUUGACUAAAUUCCGGUGGCGAAUGUUGCGCAAGACCUCACACUCAACUUCAAAGCUCUUGAAUGAUCCUUCUACCUCCAAAUUAAAGACUUUUAUGGCAAUGUUCAAUCCAUCUGAAAGAGCACCUUGGUAUAUUGAGCCAAAACUCCCCACACCAAGUAGUUUGCUUUCACAAAAACCAUUUGUGGCUUGAUGAAGCUCUUGGUAUGAAAUUCUUCUCCAAUUUGCUAAACCAAUCGAAUUUUCUUGAUCAAUUUGUUGCUUUGAAUGCUUUCUUUGGCUUUGGAAGAAGAAGACAAUUAAGGCAAGAAUUAAUAGCGUUGAGCUAACUGGCAAUAGAAUAAAUUCUAUAAGCUUAGUAGCUUUCCUUGAAUGUUUAGUAGAAUUACUUGUGCAUGGUGGGAGUUGCGGUCGAGGUGCACCACAUAGCGCUUCACUGCCCAUAAAUGAUUGAAUUGUGCAGUUGGCAAAAGGUCCUCCGUUAGGAAUUUCGCCAUGCAGUCUAUUGAAUGAGACAUUCAAAUACUCAAGAUGCAAGAGUUUUUGCAAGGACUUUGAAAUAAUUCCAGAAAAAUUAUUCCUUGACAGAUCCAAGAAUUCCAAUCCUAUCAGCCCACCAAAUAGCUCAGGUAUAGACCCAUACAAUCUGUUACCGGAUAAUGAAAGAUGAGUUAGGUCUUCAAGAUCACCAAUGCUAAUCGGAAUUUCACUUGACAACUGAUUUUCGGAAAAGUCAAUAAUUGUAACAACCUUCCAAUUUCCAAUGUCAACUGGGAGAGCCUUGCUAAGAAAAUUGGAAGACAAGUUUACUUGCAAGAUAUCUAUAAGCCGUGUGAAGGUUGAGGGAAUUGAGCCAAUCAACUUGUUGGAGUCAACAAAUAGCUCUCUAAGAGAAAUGAUAUCACCCAAGCAUGCCGGUAUUGGUCCACCCAAUUUGUUACUUGUGAGAUACAAGAAACCCAAACUCUGUAAACGGCAUAAGUCAGAUGGAAGGGAUCCUUCGAACUUAUUGUCUUCAAGGUAAAGACCUUGCAACUUUUCUAAUCUUCCGAUUGUGGUCGGAAUAGAUCCUAUCAAUUCAUUGUUAUUUAUGUUCAGGCGGAUCAAGUUGCUUAGGUUGCCAAUCUCUCCAGGAAUGUUGCCUCCAAUGUUGCAGUACGAAGCAGUGAAUAUUUGUAGGGAAGUAGAGAGAUUUCCUAUAGACUUGGGAAGUUCACCAUCGACCAAUGGAUUAGCAUCAAAUCUCAAGAACGUCAAGUUUUUGCAAUAUGCUAAGGAUGAGAGAAAGCUGAUUUCUGGGGUCGAAGGUGUGCUAGCUAAAGUAUUAUUUUCUAGCUUGAGCUGUUUCAGAUGUCUUAGAUUUCCGAGAUCAUUGGGAAUAUAUACAGAAAAUGAAUUAUAUGACAAGUCCAGGUCUGUUAGCUUAGAGGCAUUGGAGAUGGAGGUAGGUAUUGUUCCACUGAAUGCAUUUAUAUCAAGAAAAAGCCGUUCAAGUUUUGGAAGCCAACGUCCUGUGCUCCACGGAAGACAACCUGAGAGAUGGUUUAAAGAGAGUGAAAUGACCCUUACAGUUGAGCUAUUAAAGAUAGCAUGAGGGACAUGUCCGGAGAUACUGUUAUUUGCCAAGUUCAAAUAGUCCAAAUUUGGCAGGUUGCCUAUCUCGAGUGGUAUUUUACCUGCCACAAAAUCAGAAGUCAUUUGGAUUUGUUCAUGUGAUCCAGAAGUAAAUAACAAAAUUACUGAUAAAAAUUGUACACACAUCUCUAGUUUUAUAUUUUAUAUUAUAGACACAUAUAACAAAGAGUCAAACAAUAUUAUUCAAAUAUUUACAACAUUUGCAGCUUUACAGAAGCUUAACAUACAUAAGAAAAAAUGUAACUUAUUUACUGUCAAUUUUUUAAUGGAAAAAUCAAUUGCUUUUUGAAAGUUUAAAUUACCUAUCUGUUAAGGAACUUCCCUUGUAUAAUGAAAUUGAUCCCUUAAUUGUUUCAAAUUUAGCAACAACUUAUAAAGCCCAUUUGUUUGUCAAACGGAACGAUCAAAAUUAUUAAACAAAGUUUUGGAAUUUAGAUAAUACAAAGCAAUAUAAUCUUGCACUUUGUAGCUAAUUUAUUAUAAUUUUGGCAUAAUUCUCCAAUAAGCCCUUAAACUAUUCAAGAAUAUUUAAAAAAACCCUUAUUCUUUUAUUACGUCCAAUCAAGCUCCUAUAUUUUUAUUUUAGAUCAAAUAAACCCUUAUAACGAAUGAUUGAUUAAUUGCCAUUAGUAAAAAUGUCACUUGUCAUUUUAUAUCCACACGACACUGACAUGACAUUGAUACAGAGGGUGAAAUAUACCACAUGGUCAUAUUUUCAUGUCAAAUUAACAUGUCAUAUCAUCAUCAAUUAUGAUAUGUUAACAUAUUACAUCAUUAUCAAUUAUUAUAUUUUAGCAUAUCACAUCAGUGCACAUGGUAUAGAAUUACAAAUGACAUUUUAAUUAAUUCAAAUCAUUAGUCAUAAGGACUUAUUUAACUGAAAAUAAAAGUUGAAGGGCUUAUCUGGCUCAAAAUAAAAGUACAAGAGUUUGACUGAAUGCAAUAAAAGAAUAAAGGCUUAUUUGAAUUUUCUUGAAUAAUUUAGGGGUUUUUUUGUAUAUUAUGUCUAUAAUUUUUUUAUUUAUACAAUAUAAUGAAAUUAUAUUAGAAAACGUUGGAAAAAAAUAACAUAUAUAGAUAAGUAGAUAAUACAUUUGAAUUUUGGGUUGAAUGAUUCAUCAACAAAAUAGAAAUACAAUACUUGAUUAUAAAAGAAAACGGAAAUUAAAAAAAGGUGAAGGUCAAUGUUAAAAUUUAAUUUAAAUAAAAAACCAUGAGAUUAAAUAAAGAGUGUGACACUAUUACCAAAAGCUAAAAAAAUAUUAAAAAAAGAAAGAUGUGGAAAAUCCAGAUAAUAUCAUAAGACCAAAAAGAGGUAAAAUAUUAAAACAUGAGAAUUUGAUGAAUAAACUACUUGUUACAAUAAUUAGUUGAUGCAAUAUACUUAGAGCAAUUAGUAUUUACAAUUAAAUAUUUGAGAAAAUCUAUAAACUAAACAGUGAUAGUGAGUUUAAUAGAAAAAAGAAUAAGGUUGAAAGCAAAAUGAAAUUCAGAAAAAAUAGCUAUAUAACUAUAUUUAUUUAUUAUUUUUAAAGGAUCCAUAGGGAUCGAAAUUUACAAAUUUAAGGACAUUUUCAUCUUAUUUUGUCCAUUCCUCUUCCCCCUAAUCCCAUAAUUGCAAUGGACAAAAAAAGAAAGAAAGAAAAUUCUUGGGUUUCGAUGUAUGAAAUGAAGACUAUAAUAAGAGUGUGAAUAAUAAUAUUUAUUCACAUAUUAAAAUUUUGCAGCUAUAUAAAAACUGAACACAGAUAAAUAAGAAUGUGAUAUAUUACCUGUCAAAUAAUUGAAGCUAACAUCAAGUACUUUCAGAAGUGUUAGGUUACCAAUGGUGGAAGGAAUAGGCCCUAUUAGCUGACAUCGUUCAAAAGCUAUUUGCUCCAAAUUCAGCAGAGGACUAAUUUGUGGUGGAAUUUUACCUGCAUAAUGAAAAUUUAUUUCAUUUCAAAACAAUUGCAACAAAUAAGGCCAAUUUCAUUUCUCUAAUACAAUAAUAAGGCCGGCCAUUUCUUUUUUAAGCACGGAAGAAUUGAACAAUUAGAUAAGACAAAGGCAUAAAGCAAUUACUUGUAUUUUUCAAUAAAAAAUUUUACAUUGUUUUGGUUUGGCUGUAAAAUAAUGUAUGGUGUUAGCUAAAGUGGCUUCCUAAUUUAGCCAAAUUGGUAGUGGAAAACCAGUCUUCACCAGCAUCAAACCUUAUACUUUACAUCAAAAGGAAAAAGGAUAAAAUAUACAUAAACUAAAAAGUGAUUGUACUGAAUCUAAUGGAAGAAGUAAUAAGGAAUUUAAAGAAUUACAAGAAUAAAAAAGGUGACAUUGUUAAAAAAAGAAAGUAAAAUAUUGUACGCCUAAAAAAAGCCAACCAAAAAGGGAGAAAAAGGACUAGAAAUAUGCUAAAAAUGCGUCUCAAUGUUUAUUUUACUUUUACCUUUGAGGUUGUUGCGUCCAAGUAAAAGGAUCCUAAGCAUAGUCAAGUUUCCUAUUUCUUCUGGUAUAACCCCUUCCAAAUAAUUAACAGAUAAGGAUAGUUGCUCUAACUCUUGGCACUUGAAUAAAUUCAUUGGAAUUGGGCCAGAAAGGAGAUUAACACUCAAAGUAAGCAAAUUUAAUCUAGGUAAAUGAUCAAACAUAUCUGAUGGGAUACGACUAGUGAGAUUGUUAUACGACAAAUCAAUUCUUCGCAGGGAAGACAUGUUGAAUGGGAUGGAAGGUAUGGAACCACUUAGCUGGUUUCUUGCGAGAACAAUCUCUACCAAUGAAGAUAUGUUGAAGACUGAGGAAGGUAAGGAGCUUGAAAACUGAUUGUCGUGCAAAUAUAAAUAUCUCAAGCUAGGAAGAUUUCCGAUUUCCACAGGGAUAACUCCCAUAAAGUUAUUACAGCUUAAAUCCAAAAUUUGAAGUUUAACGAAAGAACCAAACCAAGAUGAGAUUUUUCCUUCGAAAUGAUUGUUAGACAAGAUUAGAAAUUUCAACCGACGCAAAUUAGCCAACUCGACGGGCAACGAGCGAUGAAAAUAGUUGCCCCCAAUAUCAAGGGAAACAACAAAAGACAGAUUUCCCAUGUUUGGUGGUAUGGUUCCAGAGAGAUUCAUGCGAAAUAGAUCCAGAGCAAUGACUCUGUGGUGUCGAGAUCCGCAAGUGACACCAACCCAAUUGCAAAUAGAUGUAGCAGUUGACCAGUUGGCGGCCAAAAACUCACUGUUGACACGGGCUUUUAGUGCAAGAAGAGCCAACUGGUCUGUGCUGAUGUUGGCUGUUGAUUUCAUAGAGAAUGAAACCCCAAAAUUAGACCGCAUCACUACUGCCAUAAUAGCGAAAAUGAACCGAGUGUUUCCCAUGAAGUUACGUAGAAGUGAAAGGAAAAUUUUUUAAAGAUGAACGGGAAAGAUGAUGUUUCGUUCUCAAUAUAUAGAAGGAAAAUUGUGAUGGGACUUAUUUCCACGUGCAACUGGCCAAUGCAUCCUUAUUUUCAAAUACUUUAUAUAUUUUUAAUUAUUUUAUCUAAUUUUAUCAGCGAAUUUGGUAUUUUUUAGCUCAUGAUACCAACUUAAAUAGUAGUUUUAUUUUAUUCAACUUCAAUAGUAGUUUUAACUAGUAUAAAUACAUAUAUUAAUCAUUAUUUAUUCAACUAAUAUGUUUUCAUUUUAUAAAUAUUUCACUGUCAAAAAAUAAGUACAUCAUUUUUAAAAAAAAAUUGAGAUACGGUCAAAAUUUAUUACUUUAUUUAAGGUGAUGAAUCAAAUUUACAAACCAACUUUAAACGCCCAAUAGCUUUUUGAGCGAUAAUUGUUUUUGGUAACUGUACAGGUUUCCUUUCUUCAUACUAGGUCUCUAUGCAAUGAAAAGUCUCUUGCCAAUUAAGUAAGAGACUUAGAAUGACAUAUUGGUUCUUGAGACUAAUAAAUAUAAUUUUUUUUAAAAAAAAACAACUUUAAACUAGUAUGAUGCAAUUUUAACCUGAACUCCUAAUUUGGUUAUAAAUAGUAAAAAGAAAUUCCGCUAAAAAAUAAAAAUAUUUUACAAUUUACUAUUAAUUUAUUACCAUUAUUUUUAAACCAAAUUAAAAGUACUAUGCUUAAAAUUAUACUUCUAAUAACAAGUUAAUUAUUUUUUUUCCUGAUAUAUCAUUUGUUCAAUUGGCCAACAAAAGGCCAUGUAACUUACCACGUUAGAUAAAAAAUAGUCACAUCAUCGAUUAAAUAGUCCGUAUCAUUAAUUUUUUUUAAAAAAACAUGGUGUUUUUAUUCUCUUCAUUACCAUUAUGCCAUCUUCAAGUCCACAUCCUUAAUUUAAUGAUGCUUUAUUGAUGGAAGGAUCCAAUUGAACAUUUAAUAUAAGUAUUUGAGUCUCUUUCAUCCAGGUUUUGUAAGUUCUAUGACUGGCAUUUAUUUUUGGUUAUGUGCCAGUCUCUUAAUUCAAAGGAAUGAUGAAAGCUUAGUUUUAGACUUAUAGCUGGGCUUUUGUCCUUUUGUUGCUCAGGCUUCAUGAGUAAAGGGUGGAGAGUUCUUUUUGAUGUUUUGCUUAAUUUAGGAAUGAGAAAUUGCUAAUAUUUUUUUGAGAGGUGGUAUGAAGUGUUAAUGUUCAAUGAAAGGAAGCACAGACGAGAUUUAAAUGCCAAAGAAGUCUUUAGCAUGGAGACUUCAGUUGGCAUUGGAUUCUAGUGCUAAUAAAAUUGCUUUUUUUAAAAAAAAAAAUUAAUAUAAGUACAAUAAUUUAUCAAAAGAAAAUUAAAAUGAACCAAAAUCCCUACUUUAAUAAAGUAUAAGAACCAAAUCUGUACUUUAACCCUUUCAUUCUUAUUCUUUCAGAGCAUAACAAAAAAUGAUUAAAAAGACCAUUUUUAUUAUGUCAUCCAUAAAUUUUAUAAAUUACAAUACAACAUGCAAUUAAAAAUUAUUACAAAUUCAGCGUACAAAAUCUGAUUUUAUGCAUGCUCACAUAAUAACUUUUGGUUACUUAUCACAUUAAGCUGAUAUAUGUGGUGAGAAAAACCUGUCUAAUAAUUUAUAAAUUCUUAUUAAUAUAUGACUGAUGCUGAUGUAAUUUUAAUUAAGCAUUCAACCCAAGAGGAAGAAAUGAAAAGGGGAAUGAAGAGGGACAAUUCAUAAAGGAAAUUAAAAAAGAUGGACAAAUUGCCGUGGUAGAAAGGAAAGGCAUGAAGCGUGUUGACUGUUGUAUGCAUGCAUGUUAAAAUUGUACUAUAAAGACUUGUCUGCAGAUACCCUUAACGUGAGUUAAGGGCCAUUGUAUAGCUUUUAGGGGUGAAGAGUGAAGACUACAUCCACUAUUUACUGUCCUUGAAUAACGUAUAAUUAGGGGAUUCAAUCUGUGCUCUUACAUGCUGAAGUUAAAAAAAAAAAUUAUUUAAGUAUUUAAUUUAAUAAUAAAUAUAUAAACAAGAAACACAGUAAAGAGAGAAGUGCACAGAGCCUAGUGGUGUAAAUAAGAGAUUACUGCAUCGUUACAGAGCACUAGGCUCUGUGCACUUCUCUCUUUACUGUGUUUUUUGUUUACAUAGUUAUUAUUAAAUUAAAUACUUAAAUAAUUAUAAUAGUGAAGCUUAUUAAUGCAGCUGAUAUAUGUCAUUAGAAGAACCUAUCUAAUAAUUUAUGGAUGCUUAUUGAUGUAUAUGACUCAGCUGAUGUAAUUUUUAAACAUUGAAAGCAAGAGGAAGAAAUGAAAAGGUAGUCACAGAAGAUGAAGAGGGGCAGUUAAUUGAUCAGAGUUUCCUAUAAGGGUUUUUUUUACCAGUGAGAAAGAUGAAUUAUUUGUUAUUAGUUCAUAACUAAUCAAAACCAACGUUUUUGUCACUCUCCUAUCUAGCUAGCCAAAUUUCUUCUUAAUUGUGAUGGGACCUAUUCCCACAUGCUCCCCACCGCCCUUCUAUGUUGAAGAGAGAAUUUCAUAGAGCAAUUUUCGUGUUUUCUAAUUUAUUUGCAUUGAUACAUAUCUAUAUCUAAAGGGGUAAACAUAUAAUAUUACUAAUAAAUUAAUUGGAGUAUCAAUUUAGAUAACAUAAUUUUGAGUAUAGAAAUGCUUUUCGGCAAAAAUUUUAUAGUCCAUGAACUUAAACAAUAUUAAAUUAGAGUCCAGGAACAAUUAGAACACUAAUUCCACAUAAUACCACAUAUAAAUGUGAAAUUGUAGAUCCAAGGAUUUUUCAACUAAUUCCUUUGUAUUCAGUCAAGGAAUUUUUUUCGUCUAAUUCUUGUUCGCUGGUGAAAAUUGUAGACACAUCCCUCUCAUCUACCCUCAUCCAUUCAGUCAUCGUCAUCGUGUUGCUGGUGAAAUUGUAGACACAUCCCUCUCAUUUACCUUCAUGCAUUCAGUCAUGGUCAUCGAUCAGAAGAGUUAAUUAAGUCAUCUCAAUUGCUGGUAAAUAAUAAUUGCAGCGAGUUGUGCACGGAGAAGUUAUUGCAGUUGGCCAUGUGACCCUUCAAAUCGACGAGCUACUCGGUUUUUCUUGUAACGUGCUUUCGAAUUCUCAUCUAGUCAUUAUUCCUCAAUUGACUAUCUUUCUUUCUAAUGUGGGAUUCACACUUCCAAUUUGAAUGUGUAGGACAUUCCUCGACUUUCAGUUGCUUUUCCAUAUUAAUUGACAAAUGAUACUUGAAUAACAUAGUCCAUAUGGGACAUCCUAGUUGUCAAUUGCUCUGCCUAAACUUGAAGACCCCGAAACUCGUUUACUGUUUUGGCUGGUUACGAUCAUUAAGAUCACAACCAUCUAAAGGUUCACCAAGAAUAAUUGUAGCGAGUUGUGCACGGCGAAGUUAUUGCAGUUGGCCAUGUGUCCCUUCAAAUAGACAAGCUGCUAGUUUUUAUUGUAACGUGCUUUCCAAUUCCCAUCUAGUCGUUAUUACUCAAUUGACUAUCUUUCUUUUUUAAAGUGGGAUUCACACUUCCAAUUUGAAUAUGUAGGACAUUCCCCGACUUUCAAUUGCUUUUCCAUAUUAAUUGACAAAUGAUACUUGAAUAACAUAGUCCAUAUGGGACAUCGAUCCUAGUUGUCAAUUGCGAUGCCCAAACUUGAAGACCCCGAAACUCGUUUACUGUUUUGGCUGGUUAAGAUCACUACUAACUUCCCAAUUCCAUGAUUAAGAUCACAACUAUGCAAAGGUCCACCAAGAUUUGGAUCCUGAAUCCGGCUGGUCCCAUUGGGCGUCCUCUUUUAAAAUUUAAAUUUGAUCUCGAUUUUACCUAUAAAUAAUGCCAAGAGAUUUAACUUAAAUGGACAAUAUUCAAAGUAAAUAAUAAUUUUAAUUUAAUAUAAUUUACAUCUAAAUUUAAAUAUAUAUAAUUCACUCUUUUGUUUAGUCUACUAAGCAAUUUAGUCUGCUAAACUACUUAACCUAGUCUGAACUCAUGAGUCGUGAUAUAAUAGAUAUUUAUACAUAUAUUCAUAACAUAAUUAAAUUUAGAGUAAAAUACUUUGUCAGUCCUAACAUUUAAUCAUAAUUACACACAGGUCCGUUAGUUUGUAAAAUGGACACUUAGCCCUAAACAGUAAACAACAUUAAUAUUUAAAUUAAAAAGUCUAAAAUAUCAUUCUUUUUUUUUUUACUUUUUUUAUGUCGACUGACGACGUUCCUUACUCGACCGGCUACCUUGUGGCUGAAUCUGGCUCAGAUCCGACUGGAUUUCUCAAGGACCACCAAAUCUAGUGCUCCCAAGACCACCAACAUUGGUGCUUCCCAGGGAGCACCGUUCCAAGGAGCAUUUGUGCUCCCUAGGGAACACUCAAAUGGUGCUCCCUUAGGAGCACCACCCGGGGGGAGGGAGAUCAAGCCGGAGCUGGAUCUGGCACUCCCUAACCGAAGCUGGAUCUGACGCUCCAGCUUAGGGGAUAGAUUUUUUUUAAUAAGAAAAAAUAAAAAAUAAAAAAAUUAUAGUUUAUAUAAUGUGCUAAUUUUAAAAAUUGAUGAAAGGUAAAAUUAUCUUUUCAAUAGUAUCAUGUCAUCAAACCAACGAAAAUAUUAAUAGUAGACUAACAGCUGGACUUAUGUGUCCAGCGAAAAAUAUUCUUUUGGGACAGACUGUCCAUUUUAAAAACUUAUAGACCUGCAUGGAAUUAUGACUAAAAGUUAAGGAAUAAGGAUAUUUUACCCUUAUAUUUAUUCCAUUUAUCAUUUACACAAUGAUUAGUCAAAUGCUUCCUUAAAUGAAACUAUUAAGUCAAUAUUUAAAUGGAGACAGAAGCACUAGCAGGAGAAAAAGCAAGAUUGUGAAAAAUAGGGAAGGUUUAGGUGCAAGGCGGCAUACACUUACCGGCUAGAUAAGAGCAUGGGCAAAACUUUGAUUCUUACCCUUAAGUAGAAAGAAAUUUUUGGUUUUUAGAGUACAAAUAUACAAAGGUUAACCAAGAUUUGGAUCUUGAUUCAGGAUGGUCCUAUUGGGCCUCCUCUUUUAAAAGCCAACUUCAAUUUCGGUCCUGUCUAUCUAUUUGUUAGUUAUUUUAUUAUUAAAAUAAUAAAAUAGUAUUUUAUAUUAAUAUGUUAAUAUUUUAAAAUUUAAAAUAAAAUAAUAUUAUAACUUAAUUGAGCUCAUACCUAAAAAUCCAUGCCUAAGCCUAAUCCGAAUCAGGUCAAAGUCCAUGAAUCUGGACAAGUAACUCAAUCCUUAAACAUCUCUAAAAAUUGCAUUUUUUUUUUAUAAUUAGGGUAAGGGGGAUUCAAACCAUACUCUUUAGGCAAGAGAAAGUUGUUUUUGUACAUGUUUCUAACUUUUAUUUUUCUUUUAAUAUAAACUAAAUCUUAUAUCUCUAUUACUCUAUAAGUGUUUUUUUAUGAGAUUAUAUUUACAAGUAAAAAAUUAUAAUUGCAUCAAAUAACUACUAAUAUAUACUAUAAAAUAAAAAAAUUAAUAAUAAAGUAAAAGAUUUUGACCCAUGAAAUAGAUUUAUAUAAUAUAGUAAUAAAAUUUAUUUGGACUGGGUUAUCAUAGCAUAACAUAAAACCAAGACAGUUUUGAAAAUUCAAUAAAUUAAAGACAACAUCCAAAAGCAAUCAGCUCAUGUAGAAAAGAAAAUUAAGACAAACACUUGCCUCUAAAAUAAAGUAAAAGGAAACAACAGAUUAUUGGAUAAAAUAAAAGCACCUUGACAUUGAGGUACAAUUGAACCUGCACUCGAACUUCAUUUUCUCGAUUUGGGGUUCAAAGGAGUUAAAUGGAAACGCCAGCAACAUGAUGCUAUUUUCAUCAAGCCCACCUGUUCGAAUCCUUCAAAAACUUAGUUUUGAACUUCUUCAGCUUAGCAACAACAUUUUUCAUGUCAAUCCUCUCUUUUGGCAACUCUUUUGAACAUUCUAACGCCAAUUGCAAAACAGACAAUGCACAAUCUUUUAUUGCACAAUGUUCUCACUCUUUUUAACUGAUUAGCAAAUUGGCAUCCAUAACUUCUAUUAAUUCAGAUGGUAAUAACUCGGUCACCCAAUGUUUUAAGCUCAUUUCUCCAACAAACAUUUCAUUCAUGGGCUUUUUUCUUGUUAAGGUUUCAAUUAGAAGAAUGCCAAAAUUGUACAUAGCACCUUUUAAUAUGAAACAACUCCUUGUGUUCCGUAUUCUACAUGUAAGUCAUUACAACCAUCAUCAAAGUAUGUAAUGAUUUCAUAUGAAUUAUUAUAAUGGAUGAGAAAAGGUUUAAAGUUUAAGCAUUACAUGGUGCCAUUUACCCAAUUUUUGCUAGUGUUAUGGUUUGUAUUGUUGAAUCCUCCUCAUCACCUAUCAACUUUGCAAUAUCAAAAUCACCCAAAUGUGCAACCAUAGCUUCAUCUAAUAGAAAAUUGAUGGGUUUUAAAUUACAAUGAGCCAUAGGAAUUGGCUGACCAUGAUGGAGGUAUUCCUAAUGCAAAGGCCACAUCAAUCAUAAUGUUCAACCUAUGCAAGAUAUCAAGAAAAGAGUUAUGAGAAUACAACCACUUCUCAAGGCUUCCAUUAGGCAUGAACUCAAGCACCAAAGCUUUAAAAUCAACAUUGCAUUAACUACUGAUGAUUUUGACUAAAUUUCAGGGUGAAUGUUGCACAAGACCUCACACUCAACGUCAAAGCUCUUAAAUGCGUUCAUCUGAAAGAGUACCUUGGUAUACCAAGCCAAAAUUUCUUGCACCAAGUAAUUUGCUUUCACAAAAAUCAUUUGUGGCCUGAUGAAGCUCUUGGUAUGAAAUUCUUCUCCUCUUUGCAAAAACAUUCGAAUUUUCUUGAUCAGUUUUUUGCUUUGGAUGCCUUUUUUGUCUUUGCAAGAAAAAGACAAUUAAGGCUAGUAUUAAUAGCAUCGAGCCAACUGGCAAUAAAAUAAAAUUAUAAACUUAAUAGCUUUCCUUGAAUGUUUAGUGGAAUUAGUUUUGCAUGGUGGGAGUUACAGUUGAGGUGCACCACAUAGCUCUUUGUUCCCCAUAAACGAUUUAAUUGAGUAGUUGGCAAAAGGUCCUUCGUCAAGAAUUUCUCCGCGUAGUCUAUUGAAGGAGACAUUCAAAUACUCAAGAUGCAAGAGUUUUUGCAAGGACUUUGGAAUAAUUCUAGAGAAAUUAUUCCUUGAUAGAUCCAGGAAUUGCAAUCCUAUUAGCCCACUAAAUAACUUAGGUAUAGACCCAUACAAUCUGUUACUGGAUAAUGAAAGAUAAGUUAGGUCUUCAAGAUCACCAAUACUACUAGGAAUUUCAAUUGAUAAUUAAUUUUUGGAAAAAUCAAUCCUAGUAACAACCUUCCACUUUCCAAUGUCAAUUAGGAGAGCGCCGCUGAGAAAAUUGGAAGACAAGUUAGUUGUAAGAUAUCUAUAAGCCUUGUGAAGGUUGAGGUAUUGAGUUUGCAAACUUAUUGGAGCCCAAAUAUCAAUGGUGUUGUGUGCUUUGCUUGUGUGAUGUGAAAUGUGCUUAAAAUUAAAUGUAAAAUACAAGCAAAGACUACGUGCAAGUGUACACAAUCGCAACGAGUAAUAAAGUGGUCAAUAAAGUGUCGGUCCGUCGAGGAACUAUCUCUAAUUCUAUUGUUAAAUACCAAUUUCAAACUAAACUAAUUCUAUCCAAGAGUUGAUAAUUGAGAAGUGGUGAAAAUGAAAUCUAAUCACUAAAAUUAAUCUAGAAAUGCAAGUAAAUUGAAUUGGAAAUGAUGGAGAAAGACCUAGGAUUGUGGUUUAAACUAAUGCUUCAUUUGGACUUAAGAUUAACUAACUAUUUACUUUUAUGAAAAACUAAUGCUAGCCUAGGAUCUUUAAGCAUAUACGAUUCUCUGUGGAGAUAUCGUACAAUGGCCUAACUUAAUUUAAUUCUCUAUAUAUCUAUAGCUAUUUAAUUAAGCGAAGUUCCUUAAGUAUAGGUCCUAUAAAUUGAUUGCAUAUGAUUAAUAGGUGUUUGUCUAUCCUAUUAACAAAUCACCCUAUUAAUUUCUACUUGCAAUGAUCAUAUACUAUCCAAACCAUGGUCUUUUAAGCUAACUUUGUCAAGUCAUAUCUAAAAACCCAAACAUAUCCUAUUGGGGAUCAGUCAAUAAAAUGGGAAAUAGUGUAGAUUUGAAUAAACAUUAGAUAUUCCAUAAAAACAAGUAAUAGUCAAUCAAGCAUCCAAACUAUCCAUUCAUCUCUACCAUAAUCCUAUAAAGGAUAGUUUAGCCUAACAUUUCCAUUGCCCACAACAAAAUUUCAGCAAAAUAAAGCAUUUAUACAAAGAGAUUUAGAGACAGAACAAUAAAGCUAGUGAGAGAAAAUUCUUUUAGUGUAGCUUUGUCAAGCUUCUUUUUAAGAAUUCCUCUCCUUUUCUCCUAGUAGAAAGGUUUGUUGGCUCCAUUAGUUUUUGAUGAUAAUAAAACAUUUCCACUCAUUUAUGUCUAACUUUAUUACUUGAGUGUGCAGGACAAAAAUGUAUGUCAAUAAUAAAUCAUUGAAAAGUUGAUAUCAAAACUCAUAAGAAUAAGGAGUUACAAAUGAGCCACAAAACAGAAACCACUUAGUUGGAUAAAGAAAGGAGUUAGUCAACUAAAACUCAAAAAUGAAGAUGGGCCAGUUUAAAAACAGAGACAACUUAAUCGACUAAGAAAUAUUGUUAGUCGACUAAGAGCUUAUUGCCAGAAACUAGGUUCAGAGACAAAGACAACUUAAUCGACUAAGAAGUAUUGUUAGUCGACUAAGUGCUUAUUACCAGAAACUGGAAACAGAAGACAGAGACACUUAAUCGACUAAGAAGCAUAGUUAGUCGACUAAGAGCACUCUGUUAGAAAAUUUGAAUUUAAUGCUAGAAGACAGAAACUAUUUACCAAUGGUCAGAAACUAUCAAACAUCCAUCAAAGGUGGUUCUUCAAGUAUAAAAACCCUCCCCAAUGGCUAAAGACAAGAUUAGAUGCUUCCAAGAACAAAAAGAGCUCAAAAAUAGCAAAAACUCUCUGCAUACUUUCUACAUUUCACUCCUAUCCUUGUAAUAGAGUUAAACACUUCAUCUUGUACCAUUCAGAUUAGGUUAGUGAUCAUAGGUACAUCUUUAUUAUUGUUCUCCUUGUUUACUUAGAGUGUGCGAGUCACUCUAAGGGGAUUAAUCAAGCUUAGGUUGCUUGAAUGGUUGUAUAGGUUCUAACUUAGCCUAAAAAAGUUAGUUUUGGGUUUUGGUUGAUCUUGAAAAAAACUAUUAUUAAAGGUUGUGACUGAGCCUGUGAAAAGCUAUUGUAAAAGCUUGGUGGGAGCUUGGGAAUUCCACCGUUUAUAGUGAAUUGGUUUAGAAAAUCCUUAAUUGAACAAUCAAGCUAAUGGAUGUAAGUUUUUGACCGAACCACUAUAAAUCUUUGUGUAUUGUCUCCUCUAUUUUAGUUUUCAUUUUCAUUUUUUCUUAAAUCAUUCCUUCAUCUUGCAUCAAACUUCUCAUUAUUGACCUUCAACUUGCCCUCAAUUAGAAAUCAAGUUUAGUGAGAGCCAAAAAGUGUUAUUCACCCCCCCCCCCCCCCCUCUAGCACAUUUAUUUAGACCCAACAAGGUUCCCUUUUUCCUCUUUUUUCCUCUUCAAAAACUCUAUUUUCUUAGCUCAAAAACAUAAAUUUGUACCCCUCACUUUUAGCCCUAGCCAUAAAAACUCAUGCAAAAAUUUCUCAUUAAAUGUGUGUUUUGGCUACAGCCAAAAUGGAUUCUCAAUAUAGCCAAAAUGGAUUCUCAUUGUAGCGAGAAAGUCUCUAACUUGAAGUUUUAAGGAUGGCUGAAAUUCUUGUUGCAGCCAAAAUGGGAUUUCGUUAUAGCGAGAAACUUGCUGUCUUGCACUAUGCAAUCUGUUACAGUCAGUCAACUUUCUUUGUAUUUUUUACCAUGAUCCUUUUUAAACUGGGUUAAGUGCUAAAUAUCAAAGUUGUAACUCUUCCUCUUAGCUUUCCAUAGUUCUAAGAAUUGUGAUUGGAGUUUUGUAGCUCAAGAUAUGCUCUGAUUACUGCAGCAUGGUUUGAGGUCAACUUAAGCAAAAGUGCAUAAUCCUUUGCAAAUUUGACUUCCAAGCUCUUUGGCACCUUCAUUAACAUAUAGCAUAAUCAAUAGAAGGUACAAACAAGACUUAAUAACAUGAAAAUAAACUCAAAUUACUUAAUUAAACUAUUAAAGCAUGCAUAAACUAAAUACUAAGAAAAAUUAUAAAAACAUCAAAGGCCUAAAUUAAUUAAAAACAAGAGGAUGUUAGUCAUUUUUAAGCUCAAAAGAAUGCAAGACAACUCUAUAAAAUAGAGUUUUCAGAUGGCGCAUUAUGAAUCCCAAAAAUUUACCAAAAGAUACUUUAAAGGCACACUUUAAGGGAUUCAUCUUCAAUUAAUAUAGAUGCAAUUGUUCUCUAGAAAAGAUACAUAGAAACCUCUAGAAAAAGGCCUAUAAACAUUUUAAGAUAUUUUUAAUGGCUUUUGAUCAUAGAUUUUCCAUGGACAAAAAGAGUAGGGAGUGAACAAAAAAGAAGUCAUGAUUAAUGGUGGCUAGAUAGCAGCUUUGCUGGUUUAAUCUGUAUUAAAGAAAAAUGUUGAAGUUAAAACUUAAAACCAAUGCUGAAAAACUUAGUUAAAAAUUGAACAUAUAGCUAUCUCAGCAUUUCAGUUUUACCUUGAAAACAAAUCAUUAAAUAAUAAAUAAAAACUGGUUAGCAUAUGCAGGCCAAAAAAUUGACUUAUAAGCUAAUAGUAGUGUAAUAAAAGAAUGAUGAAAUUCCAAAACUAAUGUGCAUCUAAUUAAUUUCUUUCCUUGAAUUUUCUUCAGAUGAUUUGAAAAAUAAACUUAAAAGGAAAAAUGUAGCUUCCUUAAUCAAUUUAGAUAACCUGAGCAGACAAAACAUGAAUUUCCUUAUUAUUUUUCUUAUAUAUCUGAAGUUUCUGUAGCAAAAACUAAAGCUUACUUUAACGUGGAAUUGUGUAGCAAAAACGUUCUUCUGUGACUUCAAGAAUAGAUAUCAUCUGUCCCAAAAAGGAUAGGAUAUAUAUUCCCUAACAAUUGUCAGCUGUCAGGGAAGGAUAUCAACCAUAAUACUAUCUCCCCUUUCUCUCUCAUAUCCUCUCCCUCUCUAUUCUUUUCUUCUCUUCCUCCUUUGAUGAGUUGUUACUCACUUAUAAAGAAUUAGAAAAGGAAUCACAAGAAAACCUUUGAUGUCCCAUUUUUUUGUAGGCCCAAACGCUUCAUCUCAGCCCAGAUCAUGCCAGUCCCUGUCUAACAACAUAAUGCAUUUACAAAGACAAAUCGAAAGUAAUCUCUAAUAUUUAUUUAUUCAUAUUGGUUGUUUCAAGACUACGCAUCACAAACAUUACAUGAAUAAGCAUAUUAAAAUAUUAUAAUUGAUUAACAAUGUAACAAGCAGAACCUAAUUGUGUCUUAUUGUAGAAUUCAUUGAACUUAAUGAAAUACAUAAUUUUCAAAAAAAAAAACCUAAUUUUUGGGCACCUCUAAAAGUUAUAUUUGUACAGGUUUCUAACUUUUAUUUUUCUUUUUUCCUAUAAGAAAUAUAAACAAUAUAAACUAAAUCUUAUACCUCGAUAUAAGUAUUUUUUAUGAGAUUAUAUUUACAAAUAAAAAUUACAAUUACAUCAAAUAACUUUUAAUAUAUAUUAUAAUAUAAAAUAAAUUUAUAAAUAAACCAAAAGUUAUCCAUCCAAUAAAAUAGAUCUAUAUGAUAUAGUAAAAAAAAUUAUUUGGGCUCAGUUUUCAUAGCAUAACAUAAAACUAAAUAAAGUUCUGAAAAUUCAAUAUUAAAGACAACAUCCUAAAGCAACCAUCACGCAAAGAAAAGGAAAUCAAGACAAACACUUGCCUUCAAAAAAAAAAAAAAAAAAGGAAACAACCAAUUACUAGGUAAAAUAAAAGCACCUUGAUAUUGAUACGUUGAACCUGCACUCAAACUUAUUUUCUCGAUUUGGGAUUGAAAGGAGUCCAAUGGAAAUGUCAUCAAGAUGAUGGUAUUUUCAUCAAGCCCGCCUAUUAGAAUCCUUCAAAAACUUGAUUUUGAUCUUCUUCAAAUGAGCAACAACGUUUUUCAUGUCAAUCCUCUCUUCUGGCAACUCUUCUGAACAUUCUAACGCUAAUUGCAAAAUAGACAAUGCACAAUCUUUUAUUGCAAAAUGUUCUUGCUCCUUGGUACUAAUUAGCAAAUUGGCAUCUACAACUUGAGUUAAUGCAGAUGGUAAUGACUUAGUCAUCCAAUGUUUUAAGCUCAUUUCUUCAACAAACAUUUCAUCAGUGGGCUUUUUUCUUGUUAAGGUUUCAAUUAGAAGAAUACCAAAACUGUACACAUCGCCUUUUAUGGAAACAACUCCUUGUGCUUGGAAUUCUACAUGUAAGUGAUGAAAACAAUAGUCAAAGUAUGAAAUGAUUUUACACGAAUUAUCAUAAUGAUUAAAAAUGUUUAAAGUUUAAGCAUUACCUGGUGCCAUAUACCCAAUUGUUGCUAGUGUUAUGGUUUGUACUGUUGAACCCUCUUCACCUAACAGCUUUGCAAUGCCAAAAUCACCCAAAUGUGCAACCAUAUCUUCAGCUAAUAAAACAUUGCUGGGUUUUAAAUCACAAUGGGCCACAGGAAUUGUCUGUUCAUGAUGGAGGUAUUCUAAUGCGGAUGCCACAUCAAUCAUAAUGUUCAACCUUUGCAAGAUAUCAAGAAAAUAGUUAUGAGAAUACAACCACUUCUCGAGGCUUCCAUUAGGCAUGAACUCCAGUACCAAGGCUUUAAAAUCAACAUUGCAACAACUACUGAUGAUUUUGACUAGAUUCCGGUGACGAACAUUGCGCAAGACCUCACACUCAACGUCAAAGCUCUUAAAUGAUCCUUCUACCUCCAAAUUAAAGACUUUUAUGGCAAUGCUGAGUCCAUCUGAAAUAGUACCUUGGUAUACCGAGCCAAAACUCCCUGCACCAAGUAAUUUGCUUUCACAAAAACCAUUUGUGGCGUGGUGAAGCUCUUGGUCUGAAAUUCUUCUCCACUUUGCAAAAACAUUCGAAUUUUCUCGAUCAAUUUUUUGCUUUGAAUGCUUUCUUUGUCUUUGCAGGAAAAAGACAAUUACGGUUAAAAUUAAUAGCGUUGAGCCAACUGGCAAUAGAAUAAAUAUUAUAAGCUUAGUAACUUUCCUAGAAUGUUUAGCAGAAUUAGUUUUGCAUGGUGGGAAUUGCAGUCGAGGUGCACCACAUAGCGCUUCAUUCCCCAUGAAUGAUUGAAUCGAGUAGUUGGCAAAAGGUCCUCCAUCAGGAAUUUCUCCGUGUAGCCUAUUGAAUGAGACAUUCAAAUACUUGAGAUGCAAGAGUUUUUGCAGGGACUUUGGAACAAUUCCAGAGAAAUUAUUCCUUGACAAAUCCAAGAAUUGCAAUUCUAUCAGCCCACCAAAUAACUCAGGUAUAGACCCGUACAAUCUAUUACGAGAUAAGGAAAGAUAAACUAGGCCUUCAAGAGCACUAAUGCUACUUGGAAUUUCGCUUGAUAAUUGAUUUUUGGAAAAAUCAAUAUGAGUAACAACCUUCCACUUUCCAAUGUCAAUUGGGAGAGCCCCAUUAAGAAAAUUGGAGGACAAGUUUAGUUCCAAGAUAUCUAUAAGCCUUGUGACGGUGGAAGGUAUUGAGUUUGUAAACUUAUUGGAGCCCAAAUAUAGAGCUCUUAGAGAAACGAGAUCACCCACGCAUGCUGGUAUUGGUCCAGCCAAUCUGUUCUCUUCGAGAUGCAAGAAACCCAAACUCUUCAGACGGCAUAAGUUAGAUGGAAUAGAUCCUUCUAACUUAUUGACUUCAAGAGAGAGAGCUUGCAACUUUUCUAAUCUUCCUAUUGUGGUGGGAAUAGAUCCAAUCAGUUGAUUGUUAGCUAUGGACAAGCUGAUCAAGUUGCUUAGGUUGCUAAUCUCUUCCGGAAUGUUGCCCCUAAUGUUGCAGCCCACAGAAUCGAAAUAUUGUAGCGAAAUAGAAAGAUUUCCUAUAGAAAUAGGAAGUUCAGCAUCGAUCAAUGGAUUAUUACUAAAAGACAAGACUCUCAAGUCUUUGCAAUAUGCUAAAGAUGAGAGAAAGCUCAAUUUUGGAGAUGAAAGUGUGCUAGCUAAAUUAUUAGAAUGUAGGUUGAGGCGUUCUAGAUCUCUUAGAUUGCCGAGAUCAACAGGAAUAUAUCCAGAAAAUGAAUUCUCUGACAAGUCAAAAAUUGUUAGCUUAGAGGCAUUGGAGAUGGAGGUAGGUUUUGUUCCGUUCAACUCAUUUAUAUCAAGUAGAAGCUGUUCAAGCUUUGGAAGCCAUAGUCCUGUGCUCCAUGGAAGACAACCUGAGAGAUGGUUUGAAUAGAGUGCAAUGAGCGUCAUAGUUGAGCUAUUAAAGAUACCAGGAUGGAUAUGUCCGGAGAUACUGUUCGAUCCCAAAUUCAGACGCACCAAAUUUGGUAGGUUGCCUAUCUUAAGUGGUAUUUUACCUGCCAUAAAAUCAGAAGUCAUUUGGAUUUGUUCCAAUGAUCCAGAAGCAAAUAACAAAAUUAAUCAUCAAAGUUUUACACACAUUUCUAUUUUUAUAUUUUAUAUUAUAAAUAUAUAUAACAAAGAGUGAAACAGUUGGGAUUGGUAAAUAAUAGUUUUAAAAUAUUUAUAACAUUUGCAACUAUGCAGAAACUCAACAUACAUAAGAAUAAAUGUAACAUAUUACCUGUCAAGUUAUUGUCGCCAAAAUCAAGUUCUUCCAAAAGUGUUAGGUCACCAAUUUGUUGUGGAAUUUCACCUGCGUAAUGUAAUUGAUCCAUUAAUUAUUUUUAAAUUUAGCAACAAAUAUAAGGUCCAUUUAUUUGUCAAAUGAAACUAUCAAAAUUAUCAAAAAAAGUUUAGAAUUUAAAUAAUACAAAGCAAUGCAAUCUUUCACUUUGUAAAUAAUUUAUUAUUUUCCUUUUUUAAUUUAUAUAAUAUAAUGAAAAUAUAUUAGAAAAAGUUGGAAAAAAAAGAACAUAGAUAAGUAGAUAGUAUAUUUGAAUUUUUGGUUGAAUGGUUCUUGAACAGAAUAGAAAUAAAAUUCUUGAUUAUAUAAAAAUGAAAAUAAAAAAAAGGUGAAUAUCAACGGUAAUAAUUAAUUUAAAUAAAAAUAAUGAGAUUAAUAAAGAGUGCAACACUAUGACCAAAAACCAGAAAGAUAUAAAAAAGAAAGAUUUGGAAAAUUCACAUUAUAUCAUAAGCUGAAAAACAGGUAAAACAAUUAUUUUUCCUUCUACCUUUGAGGUUGUUCCGGCCAAGAUAGAGAAUUUUAAGCAUAGUCAAAUUUCCAAUUUCUUUUGGUAUAGUUCCCUCCAAAUCAUUAUAAGAUAAGGAUAAUUCUUCCAACUCUUGGCAUUUGAAAGACAUGUUGAGCGGGAUGGAACCAAUUAGCUGGUUGUCGUUAAGAGCAAUCACUAGCAAUGAAGAUAUGCUGAAGACCGAGGAAGGUAUGGAGCCUGAAAGCUGAUUGCUGUCCAAAUAUAAAAUUCUCAAGCUAGAAAGAUUUCCGAUUUCCACAGGGAUACGUCCUUGCAGAUUGUUGUUAUACAAGCCCUAUAACUCUAGUUUUGACAAAGAGCACAAAGAAGAUGGGAUAACUCCCACGAAGUUAUUACCGCCCAAACUCAAGUAUUGAAGAUUAGGGAAGGAACCAAACCAGGAUGGGAUUUUCCCGUUGAAAUUGUUGUAACGCAAAACUAGAGAUUUCAGCCGACGAAAAUUAGCCAACUCGAUAGGCAAUGAACCAUGAAAACUGUUGUUUGCAAUGUGGAGGAAAGCAACGAAAGACAGAUUUCCCAUGUCUGGUGGUAUGGUUCCAGAAAGAUUCAUGCCGAAUAGAUCCAAAGCAAUGACUCUGUGGUGUCGGGACCCGCAAGUGACACCAACCCAAUUACAAAUAGAGGUAGCAGUUGACCAGUUGGUAGCCAGAAGAUCACUGUUGACACCGGCUUUCAGUGCAAGAAGAGCCAAUUGGUCUGUACUGAUGUUGGUUGUUGAUUUCAUAGAGAAUGAAACCCCAAAAGUGGGCAGCAGCACCGCCACCGUAAGAGCCAAAAUGAACCCAGUGUUUCGCAUAAUGUUAUGUAGAAGUGGAACUUGAGAAAGGAAAAUUUUUGAGUUAUAAGUGGGAAAGAUGAUGUUUCAUUUACCAUACACACAAGGUGACCAAAAUUGUGAUGGGACCUAUUUCCACAUGCUUCCACCGCCCUUCCACAUUGAGAGGAAAUUUACCACUUGCAUAUUGGAGAGAAUUCUAAAGAGCAAUGUUAUCAUGUCUUUAUUCAAUUUUAUUAACAUAUUUAAAGGUCUAAAAAAGUAUUUUUAUUGAUAAAAUUUAUUACAAUUAUCAAUUUAAUUUUUAUGACACAUGUGAUACAUAAUUACAUAAAGAGAAAUAACUCUCUUCAUCACAUAAAUCUCAUCCUCUUAUCAGAUCAUGAUUAAAACUUGAAACUUCAAGUUAAAACCCUAAAUUCUAAUUACCAAGGAGGUAUUUGUUCAAAUACUAAAAUAAACAACUAUAUAUGAUUAAGGAAAUAUGUGUAGAUAUGUAAAAAAAUUUAUUCUGACAAUCAAAACGAACAUCGAAACAGUAGGACCAUUAAGAUAUUAGCUCCACACAAUAGCGUAUGAAAAUGUGAAAAUGAGAAAUCACUUUCUGUCAACGUCCAUAAGUUCUAACAAAGACUUUUGUGGUGGCUAUAAUUUAUGAAGUCUUCUCAAACACGCACUUGGUAAGAAUACUUCCACUGAGUCAACGUCGAACUUAGCGCAAUGACUCUACGACCCUUAACUCGAUUAUCAUUAAUGUUAAUAUUUUUCAAGAUACUAGUUUUUCUUGUAAUGCAUGCGCUUUGCAGUUCCCAUGUGUCUAUUUAUUAUGUUUUUUUGGAACUAUUUAUCUAUUCAUUAUUAAUCUACUGAAAACUCUUCAUUAUCUUUAAUUUUUUGCUUAUCUAAAAAUUUAAAUUUAAUUUUUGAAAUAAAAAAUUAUAUAUAUAUAUAUAUGUUUGUUAUUGAAUCAAAUACUUAAGUCUUAUUAGUAACCAAAAAAUAACUUUUUGGAGAAAAUUUUUUUGUGUAAAAUAUUUUACAAGAAUAUUUAAUAUUUUUUAUUAUUUGAAUAAAUUAUCAAAAAUAUUUUCUUUUAUUUGUAUCAUCUCACAAAAAAUAUUUUCCACAUCACUGCUGGAGUUAUCUGAUGUUAAAAUGAUAAAUAGAAGUUGAUGGUGCCAUUUGGGUUUUACUAAUUUGGGAUCAAAAUUUGGAAUCGAUAUGAAAAUGGGAAAAAUCAAUAAUGAUGUAUCCCGAAACAUUUAAUCAUAUAUAUAUAUAAUAAAGUAAGCUCUAAUUUUAAUACAUUUUCCAUCUCAUCACUUUUACCAUAACACUAUAAAAAUAUCAAUAUUCAUCAAUUGUGUAAGACAUCCAAAACUUAUACUUAUAAAUUUGUAUUUAUCAAAUGACAAUCCAAAUGACAAUCAUUCAAAUAUUUUUUAUUAUAAUUAUUAGUAAGAUUUAUUCAAUUUAUAAAUAAAACUUUUAAUUGUGUUGAAUGAUUUCAUUAUUUUUAAAAUUUAAUAGUAUUGAACAAUUUAAAUAUUAAUAUUUUAAGUUAAAUUUUUUAAAUUAAAUAUUAAUAUUUUUUAUUUUCUUAAUAUUUUAAGUUAAAUAUAAAUAUUUAUCAAGCCUAUACUUAUAGAGUUAGCAAUAAGAGUUUUUAUUCUUAUUUUUUUGUUAUAUGAAAAAUGUCUUACGCGUGGGUGAUUUUCGUGUUAAUUUAUAAAAUGUUUUACAAAUGAAAUAAAGUUUUAAUCUUUCAAAUAAGCAUAAGUUUUGAAAACGUUUUACGAAAAAUAUUUUAAAUCAAAACAAAUUAAACCAUAAAUACAAUUUUGUUUUCUGUUUGAGCAACAACUCUCUAUUAUCUUUCUUUUUAAUAUGAGAUUCAAUUUCCACUUCCAAUUUGAUAAAAUUGUGGAAAAAUUCACAACUUUCAGUUUCUUUGACAAAUGAUAAUAUACGGUGGAAUGUCUAAGAUAUGGAUUUAACCAUUAAAAAGAAAAGACUCAAGAGAAGGGGCAUCCAAUUGUCAAUUGACAUGGCUAAAAUUGAAGACCACGCAAUUAGUGCAAGAUUCUCUGAAUGAUUAUCACUUCUAGAUGGAGUUCUUGGAAGCAAUGCUUUUGUGUAAGCCUCAUUUUCUCAACAAAAUCCAAAUUAUUGCUUCUUUUGGGAUCAAAUCUUUGAGCAUAGUUUAAACAUUUAGGAAAGUGAGUUAAUUAAGUGUGUUAAGACAAUACAAACCGUUUCUGAGAAAAAAGAAACUUUAAAAUUAGUUCAAUUAUGAGUUUACAAUUAGCAAAAGCUAGAAUAAGAUACAGGAUUAAUACUGUAGAAAUUUUUGACUCAUUUUUUAAUUAAAAGUUAGAAAAAAAAUCUUCUAACUCGAUUAUUAAUCAUCAUUUUAAUGCUGAAAUUAAAAAACCAAUAAAGUUUUCUAACCCGAACAAUACGCUAUAAUUGCAGCUGCGUAUGACUUGAAGGCAACAUUUUCUUGUAGCUUGUAACUUGGAAAGAUUGUGGUUGACAGAAGACUUAUAUCAUCACAAUAUUCUACCAUCUAGCUUAAAAAGCAAGUUUAAGUUACACUGUUGUCAAUUCAAUUAUUUCCAUACGACAUUUUCAUAGCUAGAAAUCAACCAAAUACUGACAAAAGUAGAAAAUGUAAACCAUUUUAAAACAGCAAAAGACUACUGCAGAGACAUGAGAUAUAUUUAUCAACAGAUUUUAUCUAUCACAAAGCCACCUGCCACCUUGACUAAUUUUUUUUUUUGACAAUUAACAUGGAAAGAUGGUAAGGGUAAAGAUUGCUACAUCACACUGAAGUUUUACUUGUUGAUGUUCGAUAACAAUGCAGGCAAUCUUCCAUAAGAAUUUUGGAGGUUCUCUCAAUCCAUUUGAUUUGGUUUCUCGAAAAACAGAAUGUGUUGCUUGACACCACUGUACAUGUUAAAGCUUCCUUUACAAAUUAUGAUACGAGAGGGGAAAAUUAGGACAACCGACGGACCCAUAGGCAGGUCUAAUAAUGUGUUCAUAGAAAGGAAAAGCAUGAAGCGUGUUGAAUGUUUUGGCUCCUAUUUGACGGCACAUAUCCAAAUUCAAUCCCUUUCACAGUUUUUUUCUCUGAUCCUUAGCUCACAUUACUCCCUUUUCUCAAGGUUUUUAAGUUUUAACCCGAACAAUACGCUCUAAGUGUAGAAAGUUUAUGGUUGACUUAAGUCUCAUAUAAUAAACAAAUUCUACCAUCCAACCCAAAUUGCAAGUUUACGUUGCAAUCUGGUCCAUUGUUUUCAGUAGGACAGUUUGUUGUUAGAAAUGAUCUACCAUCCAACCCAAAUUAUAAGUUUCCCUUGCAGUCUUGUCCAUUGUUUUUAAUAGGACAUUUUGUGAUUAGAAAUCAACCAAUAUGAAGAAAAGACAUGUAAAAUAUUCUAAUAUAUAUACAGCAAAAAGGAUUACUAUGAGAUAUUUAUAAAAGAGAGAUUUUGAUUUUAAAGUUAAUAUAAAUUGUGUGAUCAAACAUGACUCUCAUAAUUUAUAUUUAAAAUUUAUGUUCCAAACAUAGCAUAAAUGAAAAUUGAAAUAAACUUAAAAUUUUUUAUAGAAAAGUAGGAAUUCUUUCCUAACUCUAUUGAAUUCUGCCUCGAAUCUCUAGAAGAACAAGAGAAAUAUCAAUUCCUUUGAUUUGGAGAAGAGAUGAUUGAGAUACACAAGAGGCAAACAAUCCAACUAGAAACAUAUUACAGCAACUGAGAUACACCACCAGAAGAAAACAAUUAAAGAUCAUCAGAACAAGUACUAAUCAUAACAUUCAAUUGAAUUACUAAUGAAACAAAGCAGAACACCAUUACCCAUUCACGAAACAGAGCACUAGCAUGAAAACCAUCAACUGAAUUCCUAUAUACACAAAACAAACCCUAGUCGUAUUGCCUAUUUUUUUUAUCGAUAUACAUAAGUUAAUAUCUAAAGAGGUAAACAUAUAAUAUCACGAAUAAAACUAAUUGGAGUAUCAAUUUAGAUAAGAUAGUUUUGAGUAUAGAAAUGCUUUUUGACAAAAGUUGUAGUCUAUAAACUUAAACAAAUAUUAAAUCAGAGUACAAGAACAAUUAGAAUACUAAUUCCACAUAAUAGCACAUAUAAAUGUGAAAUUGUACAUCCUAGAUUUUCAACUAAUUUCUUUGUAUUCAGUGAAAUUGUAGUGGUUGGUGAAAUUGUAGACACAUCCCUCUCAUUUACCCUCCUGCAUUCAGUGAAGGUCCAUCAUUGAUCAGAAGAGUUUGUUAAGUCAUCGUCAUCUCAAUCGCCUAAUCCAUACUUGGUAAAGAAUAAUUGUAGCGUGUUGUGCACGGCGAAGCUAUUGCAGUUGGCCAUGUGUCCCUUCAAAUAGACAAGCUGCUAGUUUUUCUUGUAACGUGCUUUCCAAUUCCCACCUAAUCAUUGUUACUCAAUUGACUAUCUUUCUUUUUUUAAAGUGGGAUUCACACUUCCAAUUUGAAUAUGUAGGACAUUCCCCGACUUUCAAUUGCUUUUCCAUGUUAAUUGACAAAUGAUACUUGAAUAACAUGGUCCAUAUGGGACAUCCUAGUUGUCAAUUGCUCUGCCCAAACUUGAAGACCCCGCAACUAGUGUAAUAUUCUGGCUGAUUGAGGUCACUACUAACUUCCCAAUUCCAUGAUUAAGAUUGCAACUAUGCAAAGGUUCACCAAGAUUUGGAUCUUGAAUCCGGCUGGUCUCAUUUGGUGUCCUCUUUUACAACCUAAGUUUAAUUGCGAUCCUAUCUAUAAAUUAUUAAUUCAGAUGGAUAAUAUUUAAAUUAAAUUAUAAUCUUAAUUUAAUAUAAUUCAGAUUCAAAUCUAAAUAUGCAUAAUAAAAUCUAAAAAUUAGAAUCAGAUUACAUUCGUUUAUUUAGCCUGCUGAACUGUUUGGUCUGCUAAAUUGCCUGACCUCAUCUGGACUUAAUAAUCACAUUUAUACAUAAAUUCCUAACAUGCUUAUAUUUAUUCCAUUUGUCAUUUACACAAUAUUUAGUCAAAUGCUUCCGUAAAUGAAAUUGUUAAGUCAAUAUUUAAAUGGCCAGAGAAGCACAAGCAGGAUAAAAAGAAAAUUUGUUAAAAGCAGGGAGCAUUAGAUGCAGGGCGGCAUAGACCACUCCCAAAGACAUAGGCAAAACAUUGAUUCUUAACAUUAAUUAGUGAGAAAUUUUUCGUUCAUAGAAUACGAGUGCAACUAUAAAAUGGUUAACUAAGAUUUGAAUCUUGAAUCAGGCUGGUCCUAUUGGGCCUUCUCGUUUAAAAGCCAACUUCGAUUCCGACCUCCCUAUUUAUUUGUUAGUUAUUUUAUUAUUAAAAUAAUAAAUAGCAUCUUAUAUUAAUAUAUAAAUAUUUUAAAAUUUAUUUUAAAUUUCAAAAUAAUAUAAUAUUAUAACUUAAUCGAACUCAUACUUAAAAAAUUCAUGCCUAAGCCUAACCCAAAUCCGGUCAAAGUCCAUGGAUCUAGGCAAAGUAACUUAAUCUUUAAACACCUCUAAAAGUUGUAUUUGUACAUGUUUCUAACUUUUAUUUUUCUUUUUUCCUAAAAGAAAUAUAAACAAUAUAAACUAAAUUUUAUAUCUCUAUAAGUGAUUUUUAAUGAGAUUAUAUUUACAAGUUAAAAUUAUAAUUACAUAAAAAAUCUUUAAAUAUCUUUAAAACAUUUAUAAAUAAACUAAAAGUUUUUGACCCAUAAAAUAGAUCUAUAUAAUACAGUAAUAAAAUUUAUUUGGGCUUAGUUAUCAUAGCAUAACAUAAAACUAAAGACAAUUUUGAAAAUUUAAUAAAUUAAAGACAUGAACGUUCUGGAACAACCAACUAACAAAGAACAGAAAAAAUCAAGACAGACACUUGCCUCCAAAACAGAGAGAACUAGAAAUAAUGGAUUGCUAGGUAAAAUAAAAGCACCUUGACAUUGAUACAAUUGAACCUGCACUCAAACUUCAUUUUCUUGAUUCUGGAUUCAAAGGAGUCAAAUGGAAAUGCCAGCAACAUGAUGGUAUUUUCAUUCGACCCGCCUGUUCUAAUCCUUCAUAAACUUGAUUUUGAUCUUCUGCAGCUUUGCAACAACCUUUUUCAUGUCAAUCCUCUCUUCUGGCAACUCCUCUGAACAUUCUAAUGCCAAUUGCAAAACAGACAAUGCAAAAUCCUUUAUUACAAAAUGUUCUCACUCCUUGCUACUGAUUAGCAAAUUGCCAUCUACAACUUCAGUUAAUACAGACGGUAAUGACUCAGUCACCCAAUGUUUUAAGCUCAUUUCUCCAACGAACAUUUCAUCUGUGGGUUUCUUUCUUGUUAAGGUUUCAAUUAGAAGAACACCACAACUGUAUAUGUCGCCUUUUAUGAAAACAACUCCUUUUGUUCCAUAUUCUACAUGUAAGUCAUUAAAACCAUUGUCAAAAUAUGCAAUGAUUUUACAUGAAUUAUCAUAAUGGAUAAAAAAAGUCAAAAGUUUAAGCAUUAACUGGUGCCAUAUACCCAAUUGUUGCUGGUGUUUUCAUUUGUACUGUUGAAUCCUCCUCAUCUAACAACUUUGCAAUGCCAAAAUCGCCCAAAUGUGCAACCAUAUCUUCAUCUAAUAGAACAUUGCUGGGUUUUAAAUCACAAUGAGCCACAGGAAUUGUUUGACCAUGAUGGAGGUAUUCUAAUGCAGAGGCCACAUCAAUCAUAAUGUUCAACCACUUCUCGAGACUUCCAUUAGGCAUGAACUCAAAUACCAAGGCUUUAAAAUCGACAUUGCAGCAACUACUGAUGAUUUUGACUAAAUUUCGGUGGCGAAUGUUGCACAAGACCUCACACUCAACGUCAAAGCUCUUAAAUGAUCCCUACCUCCAAUGGCUCUACUGAAAUUUCUACCGAUUGGAGCUUUUUCAUGCAUUCUACCAAAAUUUGUCUAGAGGAUUAACUUUCUUGUGUAUAUUUCAUGGCAUAUAGAUUUUGGAAGAAAUUUGUUGGCAAGAGGCCACUAAACUCAUUUUGAGAGAGAUUUAUUAUUUGCAAUGACAUAAAGGAAGGUGUAACUAUCGAAUUCUCCAGGGGACCAUGAAAUCAAUUAAAUCAAAGGAUAAGAACUUGCAGCUCUGGAAGUACACCUAAGAAACAAUCAAGAGAAGUACAAUUAAUCAAGAAUCGUGACAGUAACCAUUCGAAUUGGUUGUUAAUAAGGGCAAGAUUUGUCAACGCGUUACCCUUGGCAAAGUAAUCAGGGAUUUUGCCAUGAAAGUUAUUCCUUUGUAUGUUUAUGGAUGAGAGAAAUUGACUAAAAUUUCCAAGGCAUGCCGGAAUAGUUCCACCUAAGUUGUUUCUAGACAAAUCAAGAAUUACUAGUGGAGUCAUAUUGCAAAUCAAAAGAGGGAUCCGUCCUGUCAAUUUGUUUUUUGAAAUGAAGAAGUUUCACAAUGAAGGUGGAAAACACAUCAUAAAAUUUAAUGGAAGAGAAGGGGACAGAUGUAAAGGAAAAUACAUCAUAUGCUUCAUCCUCUACCAACCAGAAAUAAUGUUUGAUGCAUGAUAAGGGGUGCCCUACUGGCUGAUGAUGCAUGAGAAAAAUAAAAUUAAGCUGGUUGCAAUUUAAACUUCCUAAUUAUGUUUCUUACCUAGCUUAAUCACCUUAGGAAAAAAUAAUAAAAAAUCUACUAAUAAGCGAGACUAAGGAAGCUAGUCUAGUGGCCUAUUCAUUCAAAAAAGUUCACAUGGCAAUAGGGGCACUAAGUGACUGCUGGUAUUUGGUGUCUUUAAUUAAACCUUACCAAAUGAUACAAAUUCUAGCUUUUCAGAACGUUACCUGAAGUGCAGCUCCCUGCAUGUUCCUUGUGUCACUUUUUUGGCCAUUGAAAACUUGAUCAUGAUACAUAGGGGCAUUUAAAGCAAAUAAGGCUUUUGACUACAUUUAUUUAUUUAUGCUUUCAAGAGUUACAAGUUUUAAAUAAAUGCCUAAUUAACAGUAGUGUUCCACACACACAACUUUAUACAAUUGCAUAUUUUUACCUCUUUCUCACGAACUCAAGCAAAACUCAUAGAUCUAGUAGUGUGGAUGCAUUGUUGCAUACACAUCAGACCCAGUUCUUGUAAUAAAAACUAAAUCAUAUUAUAUUUCAAAAUGCAAUGAGACUAACAUGAAAGCUCAGAUCAAAGCAUCAUCUCCAAUGGUGACAUGUCCUAUGUCAUAUCUUGUGUCAUAUGUUUCUUAAUUCCACGGACUCUUAAUUUUACAACAUAUCCUAGAUUUACCAUCUAAAAUCAAAUAUUAAAUUAAUGAGUUCACCAUCCAAACAACAAUUUAUCUCUAACCCAUUUCAAAAUUGAAUCAAUUUAAGAUACUUUGAUUGACAAUAUAAAACAAAUGAAAAGUAAGAAUAAUACAGAAACAAAAUUGAAUAUCAUUUUGAAAACAAUCCAAAAAAUGUAACGUGACCUUUGAAAUAAAAAGAGUAAUAAAAUUGAUCAUACAACUGACAAAGAGAUGAUAAUUUAAGUAAGCAUUUAAUUUUUGUUCCUUUUUAUUAACAAAAAAUUAAAGUAAACUUCAUAUUUUAGUUAUAUAACUUUUAAAAUAAAAUAAACAUAAAAAAUCAGAUAAUUUAAUUGAAAAUUUCCCUCAAACACCCCAUUUAUUAGAGUUUUCUGUUUUACCUCUAAAAUUAAUCCAUAAUUUUAUGUUCAAUUUUCCUAGCAAAAAAAUGCAGCCAUUAAAUGAUUUUUGUUUAUAUAUGAGGUGAUAAAAAAUUCAAUAUUGAUUGAAUAAAGGAACUUCUUAUCAUCAAAGCAACUUUAAGAAAUUGGAAUGAUUAUUACAAUUAAAGGGAGGACCAGAGAGAUAGUUUUUUCUGUUUUUUUUUUUUCCCAAGAAGAAGAGAGAGCUCAAAAGUAAGAAAUUCAUCUCACAUGCAAGAAGCCAAAACCACUUUAUGCAAUGCAUAAAACUUGUAAAACUAAAAGAAAACUAAAAGAAAACUAAAAGAAAAGCUUCAAAGAGGAUACAAAGGAGAGGAGUUAGGAAAUUGCUGGAAAGUUUCUAUGCAAUGCAUGUUCACCUUAAAACCACUUUACUAAAACUUGAAAACGAAAAACAUGAAAGCGUCUUCACUGUUCUUGAUUGGGCCUACUACUCUUCACUCAACAAACUUAGUUCAUUCUUACAUGGAUCCUUAGCUGCAAAAUUAAACAAAAUGACAAAAAAAACCUAUCAAAUUAAUAGAAUAUAUACAAGAAAUACUGUAAAGAAUAUAUAUUAUUAUAUAUGUUUAAUGGCUUAUGAAUAUGAUAAUAUACAUUCAUUGAUCAUCAUUUAUUCAUUUAAAUUAUUUAAUUAUGUUUAUUAGUUUAAUGUUGCAACGUUAAACUUUUUUAUUUAUAAUUACUACGAUCAAUUAAAUUUGAUAGUGGAGUUUUAAAUUUCUUAUAUAAUUUAUAGAAUAAAGAUCCAAUUUGUGUAUACCUAUUUAAGUAUAUUAAAUUGUGGUUCUUGCCCUCCAAAUUAGAGAUCAAAAUUCUUAUUUCAAAUUAUUAUAAUGAAAGUAUGUACUACUACCUUUUUCAUCAAAUUUUUAAUUUUCAAUAUCUAAAUUAAACAAAAGGUUAACAUUGUUUUGAGUUUUUUGCAUUAUUUUCACUUUUCAUUCUUUAUUAUUUUUUCAUUCAUUACUUAUCAUUCGAAAAUAUAGAAUAUAAAUGUUUAUAAUUGGAUUUAUGGAACUUGAUUUGUUAUUUCCGUCAAUAGUUUAAUAUAAGAUUGUUUAUUAUAUAAGUACGAAUUUAAUUAACAAGUUCUUUUCACUUUUUUUUCCAAUAUUACCCAUUCUAAUUUGUUGUUUAGGGUGUUAAUGUUUGAUUUAGUAUCAAGCUCAAUAAGAUAUUUUAGAUUUUCAAAUGCUUUAGUUUUUUCCACCAUUGACAUUACCUACUACGUUUUCAAUGACAGAAUUUUCAACAAAUUUUUUCAUUGUAAUUUCGUUGGAAAAAGUCAAUUUUUUUGGAAUGUUAAAAUUGAGUUAAUUAUAGAAAAAUGGUCUUAAUUUAAUUUAAUUUCCAAAUUUGCAAAAAUAAUCCCAGACAAAAUGAGAUGUCUACAAAUAAUAUUUUAUAUAAAGAUUUGAAUAAAAGUGCUAAGAUAUGUACAAAAACUUGACUUUUUUGUAGUGUUAAAAUAUUAGGUUAAUUAUUAAAAAUGGUCUUAAUCUAAUUAAUUUCAAAAUUUAUAAAAAUAAUCCUGGAUAGAAUGGGGUGUUUACAAAUAUUAUUUUAUAUCAAGAUUUGGAUAAAAGUGCUAAGAUAUAUGUAUGCAUAUUUAUGAAAUACUUGUUGUAAUUAUGAACAUCAUCAUUGACCAUAAACUAUAUUCACACCAAAAUUUUAUCAUGUCAUAAAUUAACAAAUUGAAGAUAAUACUAAAAUUGAUUUGCAUUUAUCCAAAAAUUAGAACAACAUUGAAAUUAUUAUUUCUUUAGAAUUUUUAUUAAUAAAGUCAAUUAUUAACCUUUUCAAGAAGGAGUGGGCGAAACAUCCUUACCAAUUAAAGUACAUUUAUUCCAUAUUUGAGCGGUUUUUGAUCAAAUCACUGACGUAAUGUUAUUUUUAAAUAGAAGACUUUGAAGAGUUUUUUCACCAAUGCAUUAUGACAAAGUUGAUCGAAUCUUAUUUGUUUAUGACAACAAUUAUCAAAAAUGAUUUUGAUCUUGAAUAUAUUGACGAAAACUUUGAUAACACAAUACAAUGUCAAUCUUAUUUUUACAAUUUUUUGCUUUGAUUGGAUCAACAUCACGUGCCAUGACCACUCCGCUUAUCAUAAUCACCAAAAUACUAAAAACAAUAUAAACAUUGAAACUUACCAUUACGUUCAAGGAAUACUAACUUCUCUUGCUUUGUGGUUGAGGUUGAGGGACAUGAAAAGUGAACUACUAGAGCAUCUCUUUUUCAAGUCAACCAUCAAGUCAUUCCAGAUCUUUUUAAGUUGUUUUCUAUUAAUGUAUUUCGAGUCAAGUCUUUUCAAAUUAAAACAUUAUUCACUGUGUUGAGAAUUUUUAAGAGAAAACGUGUUUGCCUAAAAUCAAAACUAAAUUAUUGGAAAAAAUUGUUGGUGGCAUGUGAGAAUGAAAAGCGUGGAGCCCACUGAUCCUAUCCCAUCUGAGACGUUAGUAGGAUUCGCCUACUUUCUUGAAUUCUCACUGUAUGCCUCCUUUUAUUUUGUUGUUUAUAGGAAAGGCUUAUUGGGAUAAGCAAAUUAGACCCAAAUUUCAUUAUCGAAACCUCAGUGGAGUAGAGACACAAAAACUAUUCAUCUUAGAAUUGCAACUCAUUACACAAACAUGAGUUGUGGUUGAGGCUGAGGGACAUGAGAGGUGAACUAUGUACCGGAGAAGUAGGGACAUGAAAGUGUUUGUGCUGUGUUAGACUGAAAAGCAUUAAGGCUGCUGAAUCCUAUCUCAUUAGAGACGUUAGUAGGAUCUGCAUAUUUUUCUUAAAUUCUCAUUUAAUGUCCAUUUUUGUUUUAGACCCAAAUAUUUCAUUAUGGGAAUCUAGGUGGAGUAGAGACAAAACAACUGGCUUUAGAAUUGCAACUCAGUACAACCAGUGUUAUUGUUUUUGUCAGAUUUAUUUUUGAUAUUUAAGUUUCAUUCUAUUCAUGAAAUGCUAAUGUUACUUGGACAAUGUUCAAGCAAGAACAUGAGUGCAAGGGAUGCCAUUAUGCAAGAAUAUAAGCCCUACUUUUAUCAAUUAAUGGAAGUAACAUUUUUUUCUGUAAGUAUAUAGAAAAAAAUUCUUAAGUCUUAAAAAACAGAAGCAACUCUCUCCAAUCUUUUUUUUAUUAUUUUGAAAAAGAAAAAUUUCAAACCUAAUUUUUUGAAUAUGAAAAAUAUAUGCCCUUAUAUUGAAUCAGAUACUAAAAUGCAAUUUUUUUCAAUCUAUACACUAUAUUUUCUUAUUUUGAAAAGCUGUUAAAGUGGCCUUUAAGAAAAAGAGAUGAUGAUUGAAGUAAACAUUUAAUUUUUGAUCCUUGUUAUUAACAAAAUAUUAAUGUAAACUUCAUAUCUUAGUUAUAUAACUUUUAAAAAAAAUUAAAAAUUAAAAAUCAGAUAAUUUUAUUGAAAUUCUCCCUAAAAAGCCCCCCUUCGUAGGAGUUUUUCUGUUUUACGUCUAAAGUUAAUCCAAAAUUUUAUGAUUUUAAGCCCUCAAAAUCAUUUUUGUUUGUACGAUUUAACUCACACGAGGUGAUAAAAAAAUUAAUAAUUCAGCAAAUAAUUCCGAAAUUGAAAUCUAUAAAAUUGGGUCAAGGCGGUGGGCCACCCGGCCCCUGGUCUAAUGUCGUGUUUAUAAAAGGGGAAAGCAUCAAUCGAAUUGACUGUUAUUGUUUCUCAAUAGAUGGGACGGAGUCUUCACUCAACAAAGUUAAUUAAUUGUUAUAUGAACCCCUAGUUCACGUUAAUCCCUUUUCUUAUGUAUGAAAAUAUAUAUAUGCAAUUUUUGAAUAUUUAAUUCAAUAAUAGGGACCAAAUCUGUACUUCAACCUUUUCAUUUUUAUUCUUUCAUUGCAUAACAAAAAAUUAUUAAAUAGACCAUUUUUGUUAUGUCAUCCGUAAAUUUGAUAAAUUAUGAUACAACAUGUAAUAUGAACUCAUGCAUUCUCACAUGAUAACUUUUGAUUACUUAUUACAUCAAGCUGAUAUAUAUGAUUAGAAGAACCUAUCUUAAUAAUUUAAUUUAAUGAUGCUUAUUGAUGUAUGAAUGACAGAUGCUGAUGUAAUUAUUAAACAUUGAAACCAAGAGGAAGAAAUGAAAAGGGAAAUUUAAAAAGAAGGGCAAAUUGCCGUCUUAGAAAGGAAAGGCAUGGAGCAUGUUGACCGUUGUAAAUUUGGAUUCAAAUGUUUUCUAUUUGCAAUAAAAAAUGAUAAAAUAGUAAUAGAAAAAUCAAUAAAUCAAUAAUAAAGAGCAUAAAUAAAUUACUUAUUCAGUACGUUUUUCCAAAAACAUACCUAAGGAGUUAUAAAUUUAAGAGCAUGGUUAUUCUAUAAAAAAAAAUGGAGUGAAAAACUUUUUCAAAAUUUAGUGUUCAUUUUUUAACCAAACGAUACUGGAGUGAAAGACAGGAUCAAAAUUAAUUUUCAAUUAAAAAGAUAGAAAAAGUUUUUUUUUUUAAGGAGAAACAAUCCGCUAUACGUGUAGCUGCAUAUUGACAAAUUGUAGUUUAGAAAGAUUAUGAUUAAGUCUCAUAUAAUAAUCAAAUUCCAUCAUUUAAUCAUAUCCGAAUAUUUAGUUUAUUGGUUGGUGCAUGUUCCCUACUAAGAGUUUACAUUUUGCAUGUUCUCUUUCUCUCGAAUUAAAAAAACAAAAUUCCACCAUCCAACCCAAAUUGCAAGUUUACAUUUUGCAGUUAGAAAAAAAUGUAAAACAUUCUAAUGUAUAUACAGGGAAAAGGAUUAUUAAGGGAUAUUUACUAACGGACCUGACCUGCCACAACCUUCCACCUUGACUGAUGUCCGUUUUAACAAUUAGCAUAGAAAAAUGUUAAGGGUAUAACUAGUGAUCUUUAUGUAACAUCCUCCCUUAAUUAUCAAUUCAUAUUGAAGAUUGGCCAUUUCAUGACUUUAUCUUCCCACUGCUCUUGUUCACUUUUCCUGAAGAAAUUAAUUUACAUCAUGUCAUUCUCUUUGUUCUAAAGAAAUUUGAGGGAUAGGUCUGUACCUUUCAGCAUAAACUUGAUAAGCUAUGUGGCCAAAAGAAGAAAAAGAAAUUGGUCCUUUACUCUUUGAAAUACAUGAAUAUAUUGAAUAUUUACUAAUUUUUUAAUAAUGCUUGUCUUCUUCCUCACCAUUUUAUAUAAUAAAUAAAAUUCAUAUUCACUUUUCUAAAUUUAUGUUUCAAACGUUUCAUAAAUGAAAAUUGGUACAAACUUAGAAGUUUAAAUAGAAAAUUCUAGGAAUUCUUUCUUAGCUCUAUUGAGUUCUGAUAUGAAUCUCUUAAAAAAACAGGAGAAAUAUCAAUUCUUUUGAUUUGGAGAAGAGGAGAUUGAGAUACACAUGAUGAACAAGAAGCAAACUGUCCAGCUACAAACAUAUUACAGCAACUGAGAAACAUUACCAAAAGAAAACAAUAAAAGAUCAUCAGAACAAGUACCAUUCAUAACAUUCAACUGAAUUUCUAAUAAAACAGAGCAGGACCAUUUCCCAUUCAUGAAACAGAGUAUCAUCAUGAAGAUCAUCAAGAGCUUGCACUGGACAGAUUAGCACCAAACAAACCCCAGUCAUAUUUCCUUUUUCUGGAUUAUAAAACAGUUGUUUUUGUCCUUAGUCAAUAGGCAGUUCGGAAAGCACAUUAGCCUUAUGACUACGACCAAACUUUCCCAUUUCUGAAACCACACAACAAAAUGAAAAAAUACAUAGCUUAAGGAAAAACCAUUCUUUCUAAGAUUUUCAAAUAAAAAACCAUAUCAGAACAUUACAACAAAUUUGACCUAAAACAGCACAUUUUUAAAAUGUGCUACUAAAAAUAUUUUUAAUAACGUUUUUUUUAUGUUGUUUAGAACAUUUUGUAAAUCUAAUUUCACUAUAUAAAUUUUUAAAUGCAUUAUGAAUAAAAGGUAACGAUAAGAAUUGCAUGCAUUAACAAAGGUUGCACUUUUUUAUAUUGCUACUAAAUGUGAAAAAAGUGAAGUUAAAAAUUUAAAUAGUUACACUUUUUAAAUUUUACGAUACAAAAAAAUAUGUCGCCUAAAGAAGUGUGAUUAAAACUCAAUUUUUUUUGUAGUGGAACAAACUGCUGCCUCACAAACAAAGGAAAGGGAAAUAAAGACACAAAGAUAGUUUCAGAAAAAAAACAUUUUUCCGUUUAGGAAAAUUGAAAAGCCAGCUACAUGAUGGUCUCAUCAUUUGGCCUGCCUGUUCAAACCCCUUAAAAACUUGAUUUUGAUCAUCUUCAGCUUAGCAACAACUUCUUCCAUAUCAAUCCUCUCUUCCGGUAAUUCUUUUGAACACUCCAAUGCUAAUUGCAAAACAGAUAAUGCACAGUCCUUUAUUGCAAAGUGUCCUCUCUGUCUAUUACUUAGCAAAUUGGUAUCUAGAACUUGAAUUAAUGCAGAUGGUAUUGACUUAGUCACCCAAUGUUUUAAGCUCAUUUCUUCAGUAAACAUUUCAUCUACGGGCUUCUUUCUUGUGAAGGUUUCCAUAAGAAGAAUACCAAAACUGUACACAUCACCUUUUGUGGAAACAAUUCCUUGAGAUCCGUAUUCUACAUAUUUGAUUUCAUGGAACACAUCAUCGAAAUAUGCAAUACAAUGUUACAUAUUAAUUAGUUAUGAUAAUAAAUAAUCAAACCAAUUUUUAAAAAUUUAAUCAUCUACUUCAAAGAGUUACUAUGUGCAAAUUCUUGUGUGUUUAUGGGUCAAUUGCAUGAUUUGAAUUAUAAAAUAGAAGCAUUACCUAGUGCCAUAUACCUAAUUGUUGCUAGUGUCAUGGUGUUUGUUGCUGAAUCCUCUUUUUCACCUAACAGCUUUGCAAUGCCAAAAUCACCAAGAUGUGCAACCAUAUCUUCAUCUAGAAGAACAUUGCUGGGUUUUAAAUCGCAAUGGAUCACAGGUGUUGUACAACCAUGAUGAAGGUAUUCCAAGCAGAAGCCACAUCGAUCAUUAUGCUCAACCUAUGCAAGGUAUCUAGAAAAUGUUUAUGAAACCUCAACCUUUAUAGACCCGUAAUUAGAAGUAGACGCGAUAACACCAACUAGGGGUAAUUUCAUCAUUUCUCAUGGGGAGCUCCUGGGAGUAGUUUUCUAAUGUUAUUAAGGUCUAAGUAGGCCUAAGGAAUAAAUGAAUGAGGGUAAAAUAAAUGAAGAAGAUAGAAAUACUGAUAAUUUCCACGAUAUGGGUAAAAUGGUCAUUUUGCACCUUAAGCCAAAAUUUUUAAGUUUUCGUGAACUUGAGUACUUUUAGACUAUUAUGGACUUUGUCUCAGUGUCAAAUGAGUAAAAAGAUUGCAUAAAGGAAAGGAGGAAGACAAGUGGCCUUGUUAAGGGCAUUAUUGUAAAUUGUAUGAAAAUUGGAUAAACUUUAACUAUAAAUAUUUAAUCUCCAGCAGCUUUUCUUCAGUUUUCCAGUAGCUUCUCUUCUUCUUCUUCCUCCCAUCCUCCUCUCCAUUCCAUGUUUCUUUGCACCUUUCAUGGAAGUCUCCCUUGAAACCUUUAAAACUUUCCCAAAUUAGCUUCAUUUCUCAUGUUUUUCUACACCCUUUCAUAAGGCUUUUCAUGCUCUUCCACUUUUACACCUUAACAACCUUCAAAAGUCUUUCUUUAGUACAUUCACUCACUAGCUGGACGUGUAGAAAGAGAGAGAGUGAUUUCUCUUAUUAGCUUGAAGGAUUUUGAAAGAGAAUUCAACUACAAAGACCACCAAGGUUCCAACAAAAACCCAUUCCUCCAUUCGGAACAUUAGUUGAAGUUAGAGCCCACCAAAACAUCAACAAAGACUGUUGCGUGAACUUGCAUUAAAUGUUUUGGGGUUAGGGUUUAUAAGUUUGAUAGAAUCAAAUGAAACAUGUUAUUUGACUUUCUUUAAAAAUGCAUGGGAACAAGCCCUUAAUGGAACAAUUUUAUGUUGUGAAAUAUGUAAUGUGAUGUAAUGAAUCCAUGUGUUCUAUGCUAUGUUGAUACUUAUGUUAUGCCUUGGAUGGUAUCAUUGUGUGAUGAGAUUGGAAUGUGUGAGUAGGGAGUGCACAUGAUGAUGAUGAGAUUGAAAUGUGUGAGUAAGGAAUGCACAUGAUGAUGAUAUUGAAAUGUGCGAGUAGGGAAAGCACAUGAUGAGGUUAUUGCCUUGUGCAUGUAGGGAGUGCACAUGAGCUGAGUCAAGCGGGGUGGUGUACGUGUUGAUAUAUGUUUAUGUAUGUGUAUGUGAUAGAAAGUUUAUGAUUAUAAUAUGUGAUUGUAUUGCAUGUUGAAUCCCGCAUGAUGAAUUUUGAAAAUUGCUAAUUACUUGCAAAUUGAUUUUAUUGCAAAAAGAUCUUUUUUACUUAAGUGCCCUGUUUCUCGCUGUAGCGAGAAUGCCUUUUCUGCUGUAGUGAGAAACCCUCUGUCUGUUUGUCUUCCUUGGAUAUUGACUGAAAUUUUUCAUUUUUUUUCAAUUUCAUGGUUAGUAUGGAUCUUUCAACUCUAGAAGAUCAAACAAUCAAGGGUUGAAUUGAGGGGCUUUACAAGAAAUUAAGCUAAAGUGCAUGGGUUUAAACAUAAGUGCAUCAUAUUUUCAAAAAAAAAUCUUUCCGUGUCAUUUGCUUGUUCACUGCCUAUGUUCACUCAUUGGUUUAUACUCACUGAUUUCAACUUUAUGUUUUCAGAUUAGGAGGCAGUUGGAACCUAGGUCGAGGUGUCCACGUAGAUUCGUCUCCGUGGUUGGUAUCUCGGCAUUCAAUAGUUGUACCUUUGCCAAGGUCACUCCGUUGGAAGUCGAGUGUCUUUUUGUUGUGUAUAGAUAAACGCAAUGUAAAUUACUAAUAUAUAUGUCUUAAACAAUAUAUGUAUAUUUUGAUUGGUAAUGCCACUAUGAAUUGGUAAUGGUUAACAUUAUUUUGGGUUAAUAAAAAUGCAAGUAUUUGAUUGCUGUAGCACAUUAUUAAAGAACUUGUAGGUUGGAAUUAUGAAAUGUGACAUUAGGAACAUUUGAAAGAAGGAUGAACAGGUUAUAUAAAUAGGUUUGCUUGAGCUUAGUGGGCUAUGCCCAUUGGGCCCAUGCACCAGUCUUGGCCCAGAAAUUGGGUUGUGACAAUGUUUAUGAGAAUACAACCACUUCUGGAGACUUCCAUUAGGCAUUAACUCAAGUACCAAGGUUUUGAAAUCAAGGUUACAACUACUUAUGAUCCUGACUAAAUUUUGAUGGCGAACGUUGCCCAACACCUCACACUUAAUGUCAAAGCUCUAAAAUGAUCCUUCUAACUGCAAAUUGAAGACCUUUAUUGCAAUGUUCAGUCCAUCUGAAAGAGUUCCUUGAAAUAGUGAUCCAAAACUCCCCACACCAAAUAAUUUGCUUUCAGAAAAUCCAUUUGUAGCCUGAUGAAGCUCUUGGUAUGAAACUCUUUGCCGUUCUGCUAAUGCCUGCAAAUUUUCUUGAUCUGUUGGCAGAUUUGCGUUCAGUUUCCCUUUUUUUUUGAGCAAAUGAUUACCAAAGCUAGUACUAAUACUGUUGAGCCAACUGGCACUAAAAUAUAUUCUACUAGCUUAAUAGCUUUCUUAGAAUGAUGUCUAAAAGAAUUAGUUUUGCAUGGUGGGAGUGGAAGGUGUAGUCGAGGUGUAGCACAUAAUGCUUUAUUCCCCAUAAAUGAUCGAAUAGAGUAGUUGGGAAAGGUUCCUCCAUCCGGAAUUUCUCCUUGUAGUCUAUUGAAAUAGACAUUGAAAUAUUCAAGAUACAAGAGUUUCUCUAAAGGCUUGGGAAUGAUUCCAAAGAAAUUAUUCCUUGACAAAUCCAAGAACUACAAUCCUUUCAAGCCCCCGAAUGACUCAGGAAUAGACCCUUGCAAUCUGUUGCCAAAUAAUGAGAGAUAAGUCAGGUCUCUAACAUCACCAAUGCUUUUCGGGAUUUCACCUAAUAAUUGAUUUUUGGAAAUAUCAAUAUUAUUAACAACCUUCCACUUUUCAAUGUCAAUCGGGAGAGCCCCACGUAGAGUAUUGGAAGACAUGUUUAGUUGCAAGAUAUCUACAAGUCUUGUCAAGGUUGAGGGUAUUGAGUCAGUAAACUUGUUGCGAUCUAAUAAUAAAUGUCCAAGAGAAAUGAGAUCACCCAAGCAUGCUGGUAUUGGUCCAACCAAUUUGUUACCCGCGAGAUCCAAGAAACCCAAACUCUUCAAGUGGCACAACUCAGCUGGAAUGGAUCCUUCUAACUUGUUUCCUUCAAGCGAGAGACUUUGCAAAUUCCGUAAUCUUCCGAUUGUGGUGGGAAUAGCAAUCAGUUCAUUGUUAUCUAAGUUCAAGCCAAUCAAGUUGCUUAGGUUGCCAAUUUCCCUUGGAAUACUGUUAGGAUAAAUUGUCGAAAAUAUUUAAAUUUAUUUGUACCAUGUUGUAAUAAAUAUUUUCCAUAUCAUUGGUGGAGUUAUCUUGUGUUAAAAUAAUACGUAAGAGUUACAAUGUCAUUUGGUUUUCAUUAAUUUGAGAUCAAAAUUUGUAAUAAAAAUGAAAGUGGACAAAAUCAAUAAUGAUGUUUGCCAAAAUAUUUAACCACACAUUUGUAAUAAAAGUAAGCUCUAAUUUUCAAACAAUUUUCCUUCUCAUCACUUUGUACUAUAACACUAUAAAAAUAUCAAUAUUCAUCAAUUGUGUAAGACAUCCAAAACCUAUACUUAUAAAGUUGUAUUCAUCCAUCUAUGAUCAUUCAAAUAUUUUUUAUUAUAAUUAUUAGGAAGAUUUAUUCAAUUUAUAAAUAAAAUUUUAAUUGCAUUAAAAGAUUUCAUUAAAAAAACAUAUAUUUAAAAUUUUAAUAGUAUUGAAUAAUUUAAAUAUUAAUAUUUUAAGUUAAAAAUCCUCGGAGGCAUAAGACAUUUUAUAUGGUCAACGGGGUGUUUUUCCCCUUGACCUGUAAAAUGUUUUACUUCUAAAAUAAAUAUUUAGUCUUUUAAAUAAGCAUAAGUCAUGAAAAUGUUUUCUAAAAAUUAUUUUAUGUCAAAAUAAAUGGACCCUUAAAUACAUUUUUAAUUUCGGUUUGAACAACAAACUCUCUACUAUCUUUCUUUUUAGUAUGGGAUUCAAUUCCCACUUCCAAUUUGAUAAAAUUGUGGGAAAAAUCACAUCUUUCAGUUUCUUUCACAAAUGUUAAUAUGGUCAAAUGUCUAAAAUAUGGAGUUAACCAUAAAAAAGAAAAGAAAAGACCCAAAAUAAGGGGCAUCCAAUUUUCAAUUGACAUGGAGAAAAUUGAAGACCACUCAACGAGUGCAAGAUUCACUGAAUGAUUAUCACUUCUAGAUGGAGUUCUUGGAAGCAAUGCUUUUGGCUAAGCUUCAUUUUGUCAACAAAAUCCAGACAAGUGCUUCUUUAGGGAUCAAAUCUUUGAGCAAAGUUUAAACAUUUAAGAAAGUGAGUUAAUUAAGUGUGGUAAGACAAUACAAUCUGUUUCUGACAUCUUAAUUCUUUGCAUAAAAGAAACUUUAAAAUUAGUUCAAUGCUCACUUUUCAUUUAGGAAUAACAGGAAUAAGAUACAGGAUCAAUACUGUACAAAUACUCAUUUUUUAAUUAAAAGUUAGAAAAAAUAAUUUCUGAGUCGAUUAUUAGUUGUCAUUUUAAUGCUGAAUUAGAAAACGGAUGAAGUUUUCUAACCCAAACAAUACACUAUAAUUGUACCUACAUACGACUUGAAGGCAACAUUUUUCCUGUAUUUACAACUUGUAACUUAGAAAGAUUGUGGUUGACUUAAGACUUAAAUGAUCACAAUAUUCUACCAUCUAGCUCAAAAAGCAAGUUUAAGUUGCACUCUUGUCAAUUCCAUUAUUUGCAGUAAGACAUUUCAUAGCUAGAAAUCAACCAAACACGGACGAAAGGAGAAAAUGUAAACCAUUUAUUAGAGCUUUUUUUUCCUUUCUAACUCAAAAUUAAGUCUUGAGUAGUCUUAUUUCUUUUCAUAUUUUAUUUCAUAUUAAUUGUUCAUUUUUAAAAAAAAAAUUUGAUCAGGUCCAGGUUUUGAAUCUUUCUUUCUUUCCUUGAACUUCCUCGUAGAAAUGUCCCAAAAUGAAACACGUCACAUGUCCUUCUACUCUCGUGAAUUCUUCACUUAAUUAGUUUUAAUUUGUUGCUUCUUAAAGUCAAGGUCCACUACUUCCAACAACCAAUCGUAAUUUUUAGUAAUUAAAGAAUACUUCUCCGGGUCAGGCACGAUAACGACCUCAUUGCGUUGGCUCUACAUGGUAAUGACCCUUGAAUUUAAUCGAUUUCCAUUAAGGUUAAUAUUCUUCAAUUUUUCAAUUGGUAUGGUCAAACUUCAAAAUUAUGGUUGGUUAAGAUCUAUUCUACAUUGAGUAUAGUAGUUGCAAGAUAUUCUUUCGAUAUAAACUUCCUUUGUGUUAAUCAAAUCCAGGUACGUGCUUCAUUCGGAGAUCAAAUCUUGAAAACUUGCCUCCAAUCUCAAAAAAUUGAGCAUCUCAUUUUAGUGAAACUUAUUUUGAGAUUGAAGUGUUAUAUAAGACAAUACAAUCCGUUUCUAACUUCUUUAUUCAUAAUAGCACCUUCAAAAUUUAGUGCUCAUUUUUCAACAAGAAAUUAAUAAACUGCAUUACUCAAGUUCCAAUUAAAAGCUAAUUAGAAAAGGGGGAAAAAUCUUCUGAUUUGGUUAUUGAUUGUCGUUUACCCAUUUUCCACACUGAAAUAUAAAACCACUAAACUUUUUUAACUCUUAACAGUAUACUAUAAUUAACCAUGUAAGACUUAGAGGAAAAUUUUCCGGUAUUAUUGACUACUUAAAAUGGAAAUAUUUUGAUUGACUUAUGACUUAUUGCAUCAAAUUCUACCAUCAAGAAAGCGAGUCACGCUACGGUCUUAUCAAUUUAAUUGUCUUCAAUAGGGCACUUAUGAUUUAUAUCCUCAAAUUCUACCACCUAGAAAGCAAGUUAAGCUACCCUCUUGUCAAUUCAAUUGUUUUCAAUAAGACAUUUUGUGUUUAGAAAUCAACCAUUACUGACAAGAAAAAAUGUAACCAUUGUAACACAGCAAAAACGACUACUGAGGAAAUGCUAUUAAUAUUUAUCAACAGACCCUCUAAUUUCUCAGAAUCCACAUUAUUCCAGCUUGACUAAUUAAUGACUUUUUUGACAAUAAUUUAAUGCGUACACCUAUUAAUUUAUCUCAUUAAUUUCCCCUAUUAAUCACUUGCAAUAAGAAGGAAAAUUUUGGAAACAAGGACAACAACAGCUAUUUUUCUUGUUAAACAUUGAAGAGAAAGCAUCAAAAGCCAAAGAUUUUGCGUACACCCACUUAAAACAGAGGACUACAAUCAGUGAGAUGUCUCACUGAACUUCUUAUGAGCUAACAAUAAAACUAAACGCAGUCAUUCUGCCGACAAACAUAACAGAACCCCAUAAAAGAAAAUUUACAAAUGAAGACAACCAGAAGAUCAAAAUCUAAAUAUUUAGUGAACCUUGUCAUAGGGAAUGAACUCAAAGCAACUAAGAAGAACAUACUUGCAAGCCAAAUCUUACUCAAGCAGACAAUUCCAUCUUCCUUCCGAUUUAUUUCAAAUGCCACUGUGACAACCAAAAAUAAAUAAAUAAUGGAAAAUUAACUCCAGGUAAUAGCAAAAGCUAUAAGAACCUAAGUAGUACCUUUACAUUAUUCAAAGCAGUUAAAACUCACUUAAAGCAUGUUCGACGUAGAGCUAGUUUCUUCUUCCUCUAUUCCUGCGAAUCAACCUUGUAACAUUCCCUUGCCAAUCUCUCUCAAUCAUUCUUACCCACCACCAUGAUCUUUCAGUUGUGAAUGCGAUGUAUCCCAUUCUCAAUCCUAACAAGUAUAGUAGAGUGGGCCUAGCUAAAUAUUAGACUCAUCAAAAUGAGCAAGUUACGAGUCAAGAAUGAUAUCAAAAGCCUCCUAUAAGGAUAUGUCUAAUUAAGAUCAAAUCUUUCUUAGUUAUUACCCCAAAAUGGAUAUCAAAUUUGUAAGUUCCCAACAAGGAUUUAGAAUACUAAACAAUUUCAAUAAAGAUGACAAAAACUAAACCUAAGGUAUUUGCUCUAGAGUGAUGAACCAUAGUCAAAUUGCAAUUCAUAAAGUAAUGAAGAGCCAAAGUCAUAAAAAUAUCAUACAUGAGCGGGAAGCAGGUUGUUUUGGACCUUACUGUUCUCAAUCGGUAAUUCUAUUGUUUACGUCUUCUUGUUGAAUAUUCUGUGUAAGUCUUUACAUUCAAGAAGCGAAUGACCAACUGUUUAGUGAUAAUCACAGUACAUUGGUUUAGGCUUCUCUUUUAUUGUUGGUGGUUGUGUAACAUAUGGUAAGUUUACUUGUCCAUCGUUGAUCCAUUCAUGGAGAAGUGCUCUCACUUUGUUUAGUGGAAUUAAAAAUGACAGAGAAGAAUCGUUCUCUUCAUUUGGUCUUCUCCUUGGGUUGUCUCUUCUAGGAUACAAAUAGAUUGAAAAUGACAUAUUCUUUCUUUACCUCAUCUUUGAAUUGCAUUCAUUGUUGGAGUAUUCCUUCUAUUGAAGCAAGUAGCUCCUUUUUGUUUGAGAACUGUAUUAUUGGUUUUUCUUGUCGCUUCCACCAAGGUAGCAGAAGUUGGAAGAGGUAAGUUCUCCAAGUGUAGUCUAUACUCGAACGAACAUCCCUUGAAUGUAAACUUUCACCAAUUCCUUCUCAUCAUGAGACUCUUGUAUUUACAACACCCUUUCUCUAAAAAGCUGGAUGUAUUCCAUGAGAUGUUCUUUAGACUUUUGAUAUUCGCUUCCCAAAUAAACAAGAGUAACCUUCUCUUGAGUUAAAAGAAAACUUCUCCUCAAACAUCCUACACAUUUGAUUUUAAGAUUCAACAAAGUUAAGGGUGAAAUUAACAUACCAUGUGUGGGCCUUUUCAAUGAGAGAUUUAGAGAAUUGUUUUAAUUUCAAGCCAUCAUCCAAUCCCGCUACUCCGAGUGUUUCCAUAAAUUUCAUAACAUGCUAUUGUGCAUCACUAGUUUUACCAUUGAAUUACUUGAAUUAAGGACUAGUGUAGUCCUUAGAAUAUGGCUUAAUAGCUACACUUGCUAGGCAAGAAAACUUAAGUUCAAAUUCGAAAAAGCUGAAGCUUUUAUUCUUCUGAUCUAGUAACUUUUGGAGCUCUGCCAUUGUCACAAAGCCUUAAGUAGUGGUUGGUGGAAUUAUUGCAGUAGAGAUAAUUGCUGGCAUAACUAACAUACAAGAGUUGAUCAAGUUGGGAUUUCCAACACCUACCACAUCAACUACAUUUUCUCCCUUUCCUCCAUUCACAUUUGUGUUUACAACUAAGGGAGUGGAUCCAUCAAGUGCAUCCUCAUCACCAUUAAAGCGUAUGGGUUGAGCUUGAAAAACGGUGGUAGUGGAGGAUGCAAGUUGAGAUAUGGUCUCCAACACUUGCCUAUUGUUGUCUUCCAACGUUUGCAUUCUCUCUUGAGAAGCUUCGAUCAUUUUCAUCAACUCUUGGAUGUAGGUGGAAAUAGGUGCAUCUUGGUUGCUAGAGAAACUGUCCUUCUCUUAUGGUAAUGCAACGUUUUGUUAAUAAGAUUUUACUUAAUACAAUUACUCUUCCCUAGUAAAGUCGUCAAAAUGUAAAAAAGGUUCUUGUGAUAGGGAGAGAAAGCGUUGCAAACAAGUAAAUGAUGCCCCGGAGGUGGCGAACAAGAAGAUCAUAGUAGUUUCUGAAAUAUUGAGUGUUGUGGCAAGUGAAAGACAAGAAGAAAAGAAUUAAAGAGAAAAGCUCUAAAGGAGAAUGUGUUAGCUCUAAGAGGAAGAGAAGGUCUUGAAUGAAUUGUGAAGGCUCUAUAUAUAGUGCCAAAAAUGGUGGUUACAAGAAACGGCUUUAAUGCACGUAAUGAAUGACAUUAUUAAGAACAAUUUUAAUGUUGGGUAAUCGUUAUUGAGAGUUAUGUUGAGCAAUAGUUAGAAACCCAUUAUGUGACCGUUGAAAUAAUUAGAUGUAAUAAGACUUCUUCUCGAGUAGAAGGUAAUAGAGAAGAGGUAUACGUAAAAAGGCACAAGAAAAGAAGUUGUAUGUGAAUAGGUACUGUAGACACCUAAAAAAUAAAUAAAAAAUUUAAAUUAUAAUAAAAUAAAAUAAAAUAUAAAAAAUAAAUAAAGAAAAUAAAUUAAAAAAAAGAAGAAGAGGUAUGGUUGGGCGUACGCCCAGCCAUCCUUUCCCCAACCACCAUGAGUCAUGGGGCUCUGGCUACCAACUCUUUGGUGCCAGAGCCCCAUUACCGGGUUGUCCAAAUUUUUUGGACAACCCCAUUUUUAAAGAAGAGGAGAAAGCAAACCAGAGAAGGGGACUGAUCACCUGCAAAAAGCCAUAAAAAAAAAACAGAAACGAAAAAAACCCAACAAAGAACCCCCCUAAAAAAAAGAGCAAAAAAAAAGGAAGAAGAAGAAGAGAGAGAAAGGUGAGAGGUCGACGUAGGGAAGGAAAGAGAGGCGUCGACGGUGGGAGUGUUACGUCGGGGAGAAAAAGGAGGAGGAGAAGGAAAGGAAGAAAGAAGAAAAAGAAAAAAGAGAAGGGAGACCCGCAGGGAGAAAGGAGAGAAAGAGAAGGAGAAAGAAAAGAAAAAAGAAAAAGAAAUAAGAAGCCAACGGGGAGAGAGAAAGGAAAGGAAAGAAAGAAAGAAGAAAAAAAAAAGAAAAAUGAGAAAGGAGGUGGGGGGCUUUUCACGGUUUUUUUGGAGAAAUUUUUGCAUGUUGUUGUACCUUUGGUGGCUUGCCUUGGCCCACAUAGUUUAGUCCUUUUUGAGCUAAUCUAAACCUACACAAGGUAAGAUCUAACUUGCAUGCCUUUUUACUUUAAUAUUUUUUUUAUUUUAUUUUUAUUUAUUGUGGUGGCUCAAUUAUUUAUGUUAAAGACAUAUUAUUAGGAGCAUAAGGAUAAUUUAAUUAAGACAAAAAAUAUAUUAUGUAGAGAUUAUGUGAUAUUUUAAAGUAGAAAAAUAACAACAAAAUAUAAAGUGGUAAAUGAAAAUAUGCGUAAAUAUUUGAAAAAAAAUAGGUAUAAACAAAUAUCCAAAAAAANNNNNNNNNNNNNNNNNNNNNNNNNNNNNNNNNNNNNNNNNNNNNNNNNNNNNNNNNNNNNNNNNNNNNNNNNNNNNNNNNNNNNNNNNNNNNNNNNNNNNNNNNNNNNNNNNNNNNNNNNNNNNNNNNNNNNNNNNNNNNNNNNNNNNNNNNNNNNNNNNNNNNNNNNNNNNNNNNNNNNNNNNNNNNNNNNNNNNNNNNNNNNNNNNNNNNNNNNNNNNNNNNNNNNNNNNNNNNNNNNNNNNNNNNNNNNNNNNNNNNNNNNNNNNNNNNNNNNNNNNNNNNNNNNNNNNNNNNNNNNNNNNNNNNNNNNNNNNNNNNNNNNNNNNNNNNNNNNNNNNNNNNNNNNNNNNNNNNNNNNNNNNNNNNNNNNNNNNNNNNNNNNNNNNNNNNNNNNNNNNNNNNNNNNNNNNNNNNNNNNNNNNNNNNNNNNNNNNNNNNNNNNNNNNNNNNNNNNNNNNNNNNNNNNNNNNNNNNNNNNNNNNNNNNNNNNNNNNNNNNNNNNNNNNNNNNNNNNNNNNNNNNNNNNNNNNNNNNNNNNNNNNNNNNNNNNNNNNNNNNNNNNNNNNNNNNNNNNNNNNNNNNNNNNNNNNNNNNNNNNNNNNNNNNNNNNNNNNNNNNNNNNNNNNNNNNNNNNNNNNNNNNNNNNNNNNNNNNNNNNNNNNNNNNNNNNNNNNNNNNNNNNNNNNNNNNNNNNNNNNNNNNNNNNNNNNNNNNNNNNNNNNNNNNNNNNNNNNNNNNNNNNNNNNNNNNNNNNNNNNNNNNNNNNNNNNNNNNNNNNNNNNNNNNNNNNNNNNNNNNNNNNNNNNNNNNNNNNNNNNNNNNNNNNNNNNNNNNNNNNNNNNNNNNNNNNNNNNNNNNNNNNNNNNNNNNNNNNNNNNNNNNNNNNNNNNNNNNNNNNNNNNNNNNNNNNNNNNNNNNNNNNNNNNNNNNNNNNNNNNNNNNNNNNNNNNNNNNNNNNNNNNNNNNNNNNNNNNNNNNNNNNNNNNNNNNNNNNNNNNNNNNNNNNNNNNNNNNNNNNNNNNNNNNNNNNNNNNNNNNNNNNNNNNNNNNNNNNNNNNNNNNNNNNNNNNNNNNNNNNNNNNNNNNNNNNNNNNNNNNNNNNNNNNNNNNNNNNNNNNNNNNNNNNNNNNNNNNNNNNNNNNNNNNNNNNNNNNNNNNNNNNNNNNNNNNNNNNNNNNNNNNNNNNNNNNNNNNNNNNNNNNNNNNNNNNNNNNNNNNNNNNNNNNNNNNNNNNNNNNNNNNNNNNNNNNNNNNNNNNNNNNNNNNNNNNNNNNNNNNNNNNNNNNNNNNNNNNNNNNNNNNNNNNNNNNNNNNNNNNNNNNNNNNNNNNNNNNNNNNNNNNNNNNNNNNNNNNNNNNNNNNNNNNNNNNNNNNNNNNNNNNNNNNNNNNNNNNNNNNNNNNNNNNNNNNNNNNNNNNNNNNNNNNNNNNNNNNNNNNNNNNNNNNNNNNNNNUUCAUUCAUGCAUCGAAUACGCAUCUAAUUCAUGUUUAUGAUUACAAUAAGGUUCCAAAAUAGCUCGACCACCUAAGCCAAGUGACCAACGUGUUCAUAAUACGCGUCAGCGAGCAAGGAUCAUGGAAGAAGAACAAAGAGAGCGAAUGGACAGAAUGGAAAGAGCUCAGGAAGAAAUGAGAGAACAGUUAGCACAGAUGAUGGAAUUGAUGAUGAGUUUCAGUAAAGGAAAAAGAGUGAUCGAAGAGCCAGCUCCGUCAGAAAACCCACCAGCUCAAGACAGUGGAAACCAAAAGGAUGACCCACCCUAUCCCCCAGGGUUCACUCCACCACAUGCCCAAACCUCUCAAAGGGUCCACCCUCAAAUGAUGCCUUCCGUUUAUGCGCCACCUUUGAUGGGCCAUCAACCGACUCAUGGGCAAUUUGGGCCAUAUUCUGGGAUAAAUCCUACUGAACCAAUACACGUCCCAGAUUUAGACGAUCCAAAAGAACAAGAGAAACUAAGAAAAGACUCGUCACAAACAGGAAAAAAUGAAAAAGACCAAAAAAAGUACGAUCUGUUGGAAGAGCGUCUUCGUGCUAUCGAAGGAGUUGAUAGGUUUGGUACCAUGGACGCAACCGAGCUAUGCUUAGUCCCAGAUGUAUUGAUCCCUGCCAAGUUCAAGGUUCCGAAAUUUGAAAAAUAUGACGGAACAAAAUGUCCCAUGGCACAUAUUACCAUGUAUUGUCGGAAGAUGGUUGCACAGUCUCACGAUGAUAAGUUACUGAUCCAUUUUUUCUAAGACAGCUUGACUGGGUCAGUUGCUCGGUGGUACGUAUAGCUAGAUCGAAAUCGUAUUAAGACUUGGAAAGACUUAGCAAGAGCCUUCAUAGCCCAAUACAAGCAUGUGGCUGAAUUAGCCCCCGAUCGGUUGUCAUUGCAGACUAUGGAAAAGAAACAAAGCGAGAACUUCAAGGAAUAUGCCCAAAGGUGGAGAGAUACAGCAGCGCAAGUACAGCCACCUCUCACUGAUAAAGAGAUGACUGUAUUGUUCAUAAACACACUCCGAGCUCCAUUCUAUGAGCGCUUGAUCGGCAAUGCCACGAAAAACUUUGCAGAUUUAGUCUUAUCAGGAGAAAUAAUAGAAUGAGCUAUCAAAAGUGGAAAAAUUGAAAGGCAUGAAGUUACUAGCUCAAAGAAAGGGAAUACGCCCAAGAAAAAAGAAGAGGACGUGCAAGCAAUCGCUCACGACAGCCAACAAGACCACAACUUUAACCCAUAUUACCCGUACCCCCCAUACCAACCCUUCUAUCCGAACAUAGGCAACAUCACACAAAACCCAUAUGUGUACCAACCUGCCCCGUAACCAACCUUUCAGACCAAUGUUCUUCCACAAACUCCACCACCAAGACCGGUAGCUUCAACCAAUAAUCCUGGCCAUGGUCAAUGAGGACCUAAAACUACCCUAGAAAGAUCAAAGUUUGAUCCUAUUCCAGUCCCUUACACUACAUUGCUGCCACAACUCAUAGAAAAUCGACUCCUUGCUCGAACCCCUUUAGAACCACUCCGACCACCUUUCCCGAAAUGGUAUGACCCGAAUGCGCAUUGUGAUUACCAUUUUGAAAUUCAAGGGCACUCCACUGAGAAAUGUACUGCUUUAAAACAUAAAGUUCAAGCGCUCAUUAAGGCAGGACUUUUAAAUUUUUCCAAAAAAGAUAGUUCGAGUGUUGAUGGAAACCCGUUACCUAAUCAUGGAAGACCAACUGUGAAUGCUAUACAUGAAGGGAUGAUUCGAAGGGUGAAAAAGAGUAUUGAUGAGAUUCAAACGCCAAUGGAUGAAGUGUUUGAGGCGUUGUCUAAGAUAAAUGUCAUCACUCCAGAACCCAUCAACACAAAGGAAUUAGGGCAUGAUCUCGCUUAUUCUUGCGAAUUUCAUAUGGGGGCAAUUGGGCAUUCCAUUCAAAAUUGUGAUAGCUUUCGUGGUAAGUUGCAAGGAUUGAUGGAUUCAUCGGUAAUUGAGUUUUAUGAAGAAGCUGAAGAGGAGUUGGUCGAAACCAUAAAUGAAGACACCCCAGCUGAAAUGGCAUCGAGUUCAUUCGGGGCGAACAAACCUAAACCUCUCACCAUCUUCUAUGAAGAAAACAGGAGCCCGAUGAAUGAUACAUCCCCUACUAUGAUCAGAAGUGGUAUUACCAUCGAAGUCCCCAGCCCGUUCCCUUACAAGAGUGAUAAGGCUGUCCCAUGGAAUUAUGAGUGUAAUAUUUUGGGCACAGCUUCAUACCCCCCCCCCCCAAGCAUCUUUUGAAGAUCUAAUUGGAGUAGGGGGUAUAACGCGAAGUGGACGAUGUUAUUCCCCUGAGAUGGCAGAAAGAGUUGAAAAAGGGAAACCUGCACAAGGAGAGAGAGGCCUGAAGAAAGCAGAUACUUUUUUCAAGGACCAAGUUAUCGAAUCUGUAGUUGCUCCGAACAAUAAGGUCAAAAAUCCUGUUACCGAGAAAGAAGCGGGUGAAUUUCUCAAGUUUAUCAAACACAGUGAAUACAGCGUGGUAGAACAAUUAACCAAAAUGCUUGCUCGCAUCUCACUGUUGUCCUUACUGUUGAAUUCGGAAGCACACAGGAACACGCUGCUCAAAGUCUUGAACCAAGCUUAUGUGGCACAAGAUAUAUCAGUGGAAAAGUUAGACCUUAUCGUGGGGAACAUCACAGUGGGGAACUUCAUUGCCUUUAAUGAUGAAGAAAUACCAUCGGGUGGUCGAGGGAGUAACAAAGCUCUGUACAUUACUAUCAAAUGCAAGGACCAUGUCGUGCCUAGGGUUUUGGUUGACAAUGGUUCAGCGUUAAAUGUCAUGCCUCGCUCUACUUUAACCAAGUUGCCAAUAGAUGUGUCGUACAUGAGAACCAGUCACAUGGUUGUAAGGGCCUUCGACGGGACCACAAGGGAGGUGGUAGGGGACAUUGAAGUACCAAUAAAAAUUGACCCUUGCGUUUUUUAGGUCCAAUUUCAAGUCAUGGACAUUGCCCCGUCAUACAAUUGCUUGUUAGGGCGUCCAUGGAUUCAUAUGGCGGGAGCCAUACCAUCCUCCCUUCAUCAAAAAGUUAAAUUCAUAGCUGAGGGCCAAUUGAUAAGUGUAUGUGCGGAGGAAGACAUACUGGCUAUUCAACCAUCAUUUGCUCUCUAUGUAGAGGCGACAGAAGAAGUCCCAAAAUGCUCUUUCAGAUCUUUUGAAUUUGUUAAUGCUACUUAUGUGGGGGAAAGAAAAGUGAUACCGACUCCUCGUUUGUCAGUAACAACUAAAAUGGGGGUUAAGCAGAUAGUGGGUAAAAGAUGUCGUGCCGGUUUUGGGUUAGGAAAGAAUUUACAAGGAAUCAACCGUCAUCUGACUCCAAUAAAAAAUGAAGAAAGAUUUGGUUUGGGGUACAAGCCUACUAAAGAAGAAAUAAGGAAACUGGCAGCUCGAAAGAAGAUUAAAAGGAUGGCUCAACUUGAGGGAAAGGAAGAAGAAUUUGGGGAACGGACAAUCCCACACUUAUAUGAGACUUUUCGCUCUACGGGUUUCAUUCAUCUCGAAGCACCAACAAAGGUCAAUCAGGUUCUACGGUUAUUUGAUGAGUUAUCAAUCCAUAUGAUCAGAGAUGAAGAACCUAAUGAGAAGAUUCCUGUGCUGUAUCCAGUACUGCCAGGAAAUGAGCUAAGCAAUUGGACAGCCACGAAACUGCCCAUCAUCUUUAAGUCUUCCGAAAUGUAAUGAAUAAUUUUAUCUAAAUGCCUAUGCCCAAGGGUGUUAAGAGUAAUUUCUUGUUUAAGUAGGGCUUUCUGUUACUUUCAUCAUUUAAAUAAAUGACAAUGCAUAAUGUGUUUCAUAAUUCAUCAAUCUUUUUGCAUAUUUCCUUUCAUCUAUUCUUUUAGCUAAUAAAUACUUACCCAUACACGCGUCCAACUUUACCUGUUUGCAGGUCUUUAAAUAAUGAACACGAAGACAAUCUAGACAACGAUUCGAAUAUCGAUUUUGAGAUGAUUCCGAACGUUGAUGAAUUGAAAAAUGAAGAGGAGGUGGAUGACUAUAACUUACCCCCUGAUUUGUCGAGAAUGUUGGAACAAGAGGAAAAUGAGAUUUUAACUCAUCAGGAACUCACAGAAAUGAUUAACCUCGAAAAUGGGAAAGAAAAGAAAGAGGUUAAGAUUGGCACCUUGCUGUCAUCUGAUGAACGGCAGAAGCUAGAAGAAUUGCUCCGUGAAUAUGUGGACGUUUUUGCUUGGUCAUAUCAGGACAUGCCAAGUCCUAAUACUGACAUGGUUGUUCACAAGUUACCUUUGGAAUCAGAUUGCAAGCCUAUUAAACAGAAGUUGAGAAGGACGAAGCCAGAAAUGUUGCUGAAGAUUAAAGAGGAAAGAAAAAAGCAAUUCGAUGCUGGAUUUUUAGAGGUGGCUAAGUACCCUGAAUGGGUGGCUAAUAUAGUUUCAAUUCCUAAGAAGGAUGGAAAAGUUCGAAUGUGCGUCGAUUAUAGGGAUUUGAAUAGAGCGAGUCCGAAAGAUAGCUUUCCUUUGCCACAUAUUGAUACUCUUGUGGACAACACAGCAAAACAUGCUUUGUUCUCAUUCAUGGAUGGCUUUUCUGGUUACAAUCAAAUUAAGAUGGCACCCAAAGGUAUGGAAAAAACAACGUUCAUAACCAUGUGAGGAACGUUUUGUUACAAAGUAAUGCCAUUUGGAUUGAAGAAUGCAGGCGCCACCUACCAAAGGGCAAUGGUAGCUUUGUUCCACGAUAUGAUGCAUAAAGAGAUAGAGGUAUAUGUGGAUGACAUGAUUGCAAAAUCUCAUACAGAAAGGGAUCAUACUGUCAAUCUCAAGAAACUGUUCGAGAGAUUGCGAAAGUUCCAGCUCAAGUUGAAUCCUGCAAAAUGCACUUUUGGUGUAACUUCUGGGAAAUUGUUGGGGUUCAUAGUAAGUGAAAAAGGAAUUGAAGUGGACCCGGAUAAAAUACGAGCUAUUCAAGAGCUACCACCUCCCAAAACGCAAAAAGAAGUGAGAGGAUUUUUAGGGAGGCUGAAUUACAUUGCUCGAUUUAUAUCCCAACUCACUUGCAAAUGUGAUCCAAUCUUCAAGCUGCUUCGGAAACGAGACCCAGGAGAGUGGAAUGAAGAAUGUCAAAUAGCCUUUGAUAAAAUCAAAGAAUAUCUCACAAAUCCACCGGUGUUGGUGCCACCGACGGUCGAAAAACCUCUCAUUCUGUAUUUGACUGUGAACAAGAAUUCUAUGGGAUGUGUAUUGGGACAACAUGAUGAAACUGGGAAGAAAGAACGAGCCGUAUAUUAUUUGAGCAAGAAAUUCAUGGAGUAUGAGUCCAAAUAUUCUGCGCUCGAAAAGAUGUGUUGUGCACUAGCAUGGACCGCUCAGAGGCUCCGGCAGUAUAUGUUGUAUCACACAACAUGGUUGGUGGCGAAAUUAGAUCCCAUCAAGUAUAUUUUUGAAAAACCCUGCCUGUCCGGAAGAAUAGCUCGAUGGCAAGUGCUAUUGUCUGAGUAUGACAUUGUGUAUGUGUCCCAAAAAUCAAUCAAAGGGAGCGCCAUCGCCGAUUUCCUUGCAGAUCGAGCUAAUGAAGAUUAUGAAUCUGUAAGUUUCGAUUUUCCAGAUGAAGAUUUGAUGGCCGUCUUGCAUGUAGAAGAGGUUAGUCCCAAUGAACUUAAUCCAUGGAAGGUGUAUUUUGAUGGAGCAUCCAAUGCUUUGGGGCACGGAAUUGGGGCAGUGUUGAUUUCUCCAAAUGGAAAGUACUAUCCAGCCACGGCGAGAUUGAAUUUCAAUUGUACUAACAAUAUGGCGGAGUAUGAGGCGUUGGUACUGGGAUUACAAGCAGCAAUUGAUAUGAAGGCUGAUGCGAUAGAUGUUUACGGAGAUUCGGCUUUAGUGAUAUGUCAAAUGAAAGGUGAAUGGGAAACUAGAGAUCCUAAACUAGUUCCAUAUAAAAAGCUGGUUACAGAAUUAAGCAAACAGUUCAAAGAAAUCAGCUUCAACCAUUUGCCUCGAGAAGAGAAUCAGAUUGCUGAUGCUUUGGCCACCCUCGCAGCGAUGUUCAAAAUAAAAGAGGCGGCCGAUGUACGCCCUUUUGAUUUAGAAGUUCGUGAAGUCUCCGCACACUGCUUGAAUGUUGAAGAAGAGGUUGAUGGUAAGCCGUGGUAUCAUGAUAUCAUGCAAUACAUCAAGCAUCAGGCAUAUCCUGAGAAUGUCACGGAUAAUGACAAGCGAACUCUUCGAAGAUUAGCAAUGGGUUUCUUCCUUAGCGGAGAAGUGCUCUACAAAAGGAGUCGAGAUCAAGUACUCUUGAGAUGUGUGGAUGUUGCGGAAGCCAACAAAAUAAUGAAAGAAGUCCACGAAGGAACUUGUGGAGCUCAUGCUAAUGGACAUAUGUUGGCUAGACAAAUUAUGAGAGCUGGUUAUUAUUGGUUGACAUUGGAAUCAGACUGCAUAAACUUUGCUCGAAAAUGCCACAAGUGUCAAGUAUACGCUGAUAGAAUCCAUGCUCCACCAGCCCCAUUGCACGUUUUCACGGCACCUUGGCCAUUUUCAAUGUGGGGAAUGGACGUGAUUGGACUUAUUACGCCAAAAGCCUCUAAUGGACAUCGAUUCAUAUUGGUGGCCAUUGAUUAUUUCACGAAAUGGGUAGAAGCAGCUUCCUAUGCCAAUGUGACACAAAAGGUGGUGUGCAGGUUCAUCCAAAAGGAGAUCAUAUGUCGGUAUGGGCUUCCAGAAAGGAUCAUUACGGAUAACGCAAGCAAUUUGAAUGGUGCGAUGGUGAAGGAUGUUUGCGCUAAAUUCAAGAUCAAGCAUCAUAACUCGACAACUUACCGUCCGAAGAUGAACGGAGCGGUAGAGGCAGCCAACAAAAACAUCAAAAAGAUUGUCGAAAAGAUGACUGAAGUUUAUAAAGACUGGCAUGAGAAACUUCCUUUUGCCUUACAUGCAUAUCGAACUUCUGUGCGUACCUCCACCGGGGCAACUCCGUACUCAUUAGUAUACGGUGCAGAAGCAGUUCUACCUGUUGAAGUAGAAAUCCCAUCAUUGAGGGUGUUGUUGGAAACGGAAUUGGAAGAUGCUGAGUGGGUCCGCUCCCGCUACGAACAGUUGAAUCUGAUUGAGGAAAAAAGGCUAACGGCUCUUUGUCAUGGCCAGAUGUACCAACGAAGGAUGAUGCGAGCAUACGAGAAAAAAGUUCAUCCCAGGCAGUUCCGAGAAGGAGAGUUGGUUCUCAAAAGAAUACUCCCUAAUCAAACUGAUUUUCAGGGGAAAUGGAUGCCGAAUUGGGAAGGGCCAUACGUGGUAAAGAAGGCUUUUUCAGGAGGAGCUUUGAUUUUGGCUUACAUGGAUGGGGGAGAUCUGCCUAAUUCGAUAAAUGCGGAUGCGGUGAAAAAGUACUAUGCUUAAAAAAAAAAGGAAGGGGUUCGUGCUGAAAACCCGAAAAGGGCAGCUUGUAUCUAAAAGAGGAGGCUCAUGUUGAAAACCCGAAAAGGGCGGCUUGAGGCCAAAAAGCAGGAAGUUAGAAUGGAAUUUGAGGAUGUCAGCCUAAACGGGACACAAGAUUGAGGUAAAAAUACACCAUGAAUGGAGCUCCGCAAUCUCACAAAAUAGGGGAAGCUAGGGAGUCUGCAACCUACAGAUUUGCUCAAAGCAUCAAUCAAGGACAAUUCUUGAAGUCGAAUAUUAGAUUGUUUUCUCUUAGUGGUCUGAGUGUUCAUUACUUAAAGAUCUAAUGUUUGCCCUGUAAAUUCUUUUUGCCUUGAAUUAUUUGAUUCCUCAUAUAUAUGAAAUUCUUCUUCGCCUCUUUAUUUUAACCCUUUCGUUAUUCACCAUCCCAUGAUUCACAUAGUGAUUGUCAUAGAAAUGAAUGAUGACUAGUAAAAGAAAUAAACUAAUUAAGUAAGAAAUUAUACUCAUUGUUCAGCAAAAGACUUAAUAACGAAGAAAAAGAAUGGCGGAGCCUUAAACUUGGGGCAAAAUCAAAUGUCAAAAGAAAAGGUGCUUAGGGAAAAUCCGGAGUUACUAGAAGAAAGGCACAAGACGAAGGUCAUUAAAAGCUACAGUGAAAAAUCGGAUGAAGCAAGAGAAGGGUCUUGGAACCUUAAUGAAUCGUAAACAUGAAAACAUUUCAUCAUGUCAAUCAUGCAUACAUGCCUAGCCAUGCACUCGACAAGAAUCAAAAUUAAUUCAUGUCCCAAGCUUUGAAGGUCGAAAUUCACUUGACCUAAAAUGUUGAGAUUGUAAAACUUUAAUGGAAGGAUUUAAGUCUUUUCAUUUCAUGUUAAUCCAAUUAAGUUAGCAUUAAAGAAUUAAAUCGAAUCUGUUGUGAGAUAGGUCGAGCCUAGAUUAAGUCUAGGAAUUUCAAUUUUUAAAAUCGAACCUGUUGUGAGAUAGGUCGAGCCUAGAUUAAGUCUAGGAAUUUCAAUUUUUAAAUCGAACCUGUUGUGAGAUAGGUCGAGCCUAGAUUAAGUUUAGGAAUUUCAAUUUUUAAAUCGAACNNNNNNNNNNNNNNNNNNNNNNNNNNNNNNNNNNNNNNNNNNNNNNNNNNNNNNNNNNNNNNNNNNNNNNNNNNNNNNNNNNNNNNNNNNNNNNNNNNNNNNNNNNNNNNNNNNNNNNNNNNNNNNNNNNNNNNNNNNNNNNNNNNNNNNNNNNNNNNNNNNNNNNNNNNNNNNNNNNNNNNNNNNNNNNNNNNNNNNNNNNNNNNNNNNNNNNNNNNNNNNNNNNNNNNNNNNNNNNNNNNNNNNNNNNNNNNNNNNNNNNNNNNNNNNNNNNNNNNNNNNNNNNNNNNNNNNNNNNNNNNNNNNNNNNNNNNNNNNNNNNNNNNNNNNNNNNNNNNNNNNNNNNNNNNNNNNNNNNNNNNNNNNNNNNNNNNNNNNNNNNNNNNNNNNNNNNNNNNNNNNNNNNNNNNNNNNNNNNNNNNNNNNNNNNNNNNNNNNNNNNNNNNNNNNNNNNNNNNNNNNNNNNNNNNNNNNNNNNNNNNNNNNNNNNNNNNNNNNNNNNNNNNNNNNNNNNNNNNNNNNNNNNNNNNNNNNNNNNNNNNNNNNNNNNNNNNNNNNNNNNNNNNNNNNNNNNNNNNNNNNNNNNNNNNNNNNNNNNNNNNNNNNNNNNNNNNNNNNNNNNNNNNNNNNNNNNNNNNNNNNNNNNNNNNNNNNNNNNNNNNNNNNNNNNNNNNNNNNNNNNNNNNNNNNNNNNNNNNNNNNNNNNNNNNNNNNNNNNNNNNNNNNNNNNNNNNNNNNNNNNNNNNNNNNNNNNNNNNNNNNNNNNNNNNNNNNNNNNNNNNNNNNNNNNNNNNNNNNNNNNNNNNNNNNNNNNNNNNNNNNNNNNNNNNNNNNNNNNNNNNNNNNNNNNNNNNNNNNNNNNNNNNNNNNNNNNNNNNNNNNNNNNNNNNNNNNNNNNNNNNNNNNNNNNNNNNNNNNNNNNNNNNNNNNNNNNNNNNNNNNNNNNNNNNNNNNNNNNNNNNNNNNNNNNNNNNNNNNNNNNNNNNNNNNNNNNNNNNNNNNNNNNNNNNNNNNNNNNNNNNNNNNNNNNNNNNNNNNNNNNNNNNNNNNNNNNNNNNNNNNNNNNNNNNNNNNNNNNNNNNNNNNNNNNNNNNNNNNNNNNNNNNNNNNNNNNNNNNNNNNNNNNNNNNNNNNNNNNNNNNNNNNNNNNNNNNNNNNNNNNNNNNNNNNNNNNNNNNNNNNNNNNNNNNNNNNNNNNNNNNNNNNNNNNNNNNNNNNNNNNNNNNNNNNNNNNNNNNNNNNNNNNNNNNNNNNNNNNNNNNNNNNNNNNNNNNNNNNNNNNNNNNNNNNNNNNNNNNNNNNNNNNNNNNNNNNNNNNNNNNNNNNNNNNNNNNNNNNNNNNNNNNNNNNNNNNNNNNNNNNNNNNNNNNNNNNNNNNNNNNNNNNNNNNNNNNNNNNNNNNNNNNNNNNNNNNNNNNNNNNNNNNNNNNNNNNNNNNNNNNNNNNNNNNNNNNNNNNNNNNNNNNNNNNNNNNNNNNNNNNNNNNNNNNNNNNNNNNNNNNNNNNNNNNNNNNNNNNNNNNNNNNNNNNNNNNNNNNNNNNNNNNNNNNNNNNNNNNNNNNNNNNNNNNNNNNNNNNGCUCAAUUAUUUAUGUUAAAGACAUAUUAUUAGGAGCAUAAGGAUAAUAAUUAAGACAAAAAAUAUAUUAUGUAGAGAUUAUGUGAUAUUUCAAAGUAGAAAAAUAACAACAAAAUAUAAAGUGGUAGAUGAAAAUAUGCGUAAAUAUUUGAUAAAAAAUGGAUAUAAACAAAUAUCCGAAAAAAAAAUUAAAAAAAAAUACUAAAAAGAUGAUAAUGGUUGUAAUAGUAAAUAUAUAUAUAUAUAUAAUUGGGAUCAAUAUUCAUAUUUAGAUACUUGUAAACAUAAUAUAUAUAUAUAUAAACAAAAAAUAAAAAUAAAAAAUAAAAACGACAUGAUACAAAUAUAAAAAAUUAUAAGAAAAAUGAGAUGAUUGUUUGAGAAAUUCCAUGUAAGAAAGGCAAAGAGUUGCUUCUUUUAAGUGGAUUUUUUUUUUAGUGCGAAGUUUGAGACGAAUUUUCACCGAACCGUCGGGAUAAAUCCGAACUCUAAACUCCAAUACCCAUUAAGUCAAAUAGCGUUGUUAAAAAAAUAAAUAAAUAAAAUAAAAUAAAUUUACAUGAUGUUGAAUCCAAACUUAAAUUAGUUAAUUAGCUUAAAUAAAUAUUACUAAAUAAAGUUAACUUAAUCGUUUAAAAAAAUUAAUUAAUUGUUUAUUUGAUAAGUUAUAUAAUCAAGUUAAACGUUAAUCAACAAUGUUAAUUAAAAGAUAUGGAUCUAAAUAAAAAAAAUGAAAAAUAAUAAUAAUAAUAAAAUAAAUAAAUAAUUCAUGAAAAAAUGGUAAAAUAAAUAUAUAAAUAAGGUGAUAAAUUAUUAAAUACAUAAUUGGAUGAAUUAUGAACCGCUUAAUUCAAUAAACGCGUGCAUGUAGAUGUCAUCAUUCUAUACUGUCAUUGCAUGCCACAUUUAUUUUGCAAAUGGUGCGGGAAUCCCGAUGAUGGAAUUUUCCCGAAGAGCUUGUAGAGACGAGGUCUUCCGGGGAUAUCUCUAGGUGAGGAGAAUUUUGAGACUUCACCAAAGCGUUGGGAUGGUCUUCGAAUAAUUUUUCGAUAAAAGAUUACCGACUCCAUUAUUUAAAACAAACAAGUCAUGACAUCAUUUUACGCUUGUAUCAUGUGCAUACGUAAAACCAAAUAAAAACUCUCAAUCAGUCAAUUUAAUAAAAAUUUAAUUAAUAAGUAGGGAUUAAAUUAAAAGUAGACUAUAUUAAGAUAACUUAAGAUCAAAUGGUACUGUUCGCGGAACGGGCGCCACGGAGGUGCUAACCCUUCUCCGUGCGUAACCGUACUCCUGAACUCAUCUCUAAAAAUGUAAACCAGUUCUCGUUCUUUCGACGAACCUAAAAUUAAUUUAGGACUUCAUCGAUUAGAAUCAGAUUAAUAGGUGACCAAUCACACCUUAGAAAAAAGAUUGGUGGCGACUCCCACACUAUAUAAUUUUUGCCCGCGUCUGGUGGUUGGGUUUUUGGACCCGCACGUUACGACAAGUACAAGAGAAGAAGAUGUUAUGUGAACAGGUACAUUAGAACAAGGUAAAAGAGGGAAACACUUGUACUUUAGGAAAAGGCUAACUACCUCCAUAUCUGAGCCACUAAGCCAAAAUCUCCAAAAUAUCUCAAAAUGGAAGUAACUAGUAAUUCCUACCACUUAUUUUGGGUUGCUUCCACUGCUAUUCGUAUGUAGUAGUGCUUCACUUGCUCUAGUUGUUUUGCGUAAUGUAGCACUUUAUUGUUUUUUUUUUGGAAAAGUAUGGGAAAGUCUAUCAUUUAAAAGGGGAAAAUGUUGAACAAAAAGGAUGUGGGUAAUGGUUAACCAAAAAAAAAAAAACUUCUUACCCCACGAGAACCAUAAGUUGCUCUAAAUUAGGGGUCAGUAAGCCAAAUAAUCCUGCAUAAAAUAUACAGCCUUUAUUCCACUCAUAAGAAGCAAAAUACUUACACCUAACUCAUAGAUAGCCACAACAAGCAAGAAGCAAGAAAAAUUUUAUCACAAAAGACAAGGGUACAAGAAUCAGAAACAAGAACAAGCUAAAGAUGGCAUUAGGCAUUCUCAUUGAUCUAGAGAAAGUUUUGAAAGCAUGAUGCACCUCUUUUAGCUUGGCAAUCAACUUUGUCAUUAGCCAAUCUAGGAAUGUGCAUGAUAUUCCAACAACUAACUGAGUUGAGAGUCCUAAGGAUUUGGAUGAUUAACGGCCUAAGCUUCCAUGGAACUUCAGAUGGCUUCUUGAUCCAACAAACCACAUUCUUAGAGUUAAUCUCAAUUAUAAAAGAGUGAAAAGAAUUCCACCUUGAAAUCGCAUAAAUCAAAGCUGCCUCUUUGAUCACCAGAAGUUCAGCACGGUUGGCGUACAAGAUCUUAACAAGUUUAGAGAAAAUGAUAAGAUUGACUCUGUUUUCAUUAUGCAAUAUACCGCUAAUUUUGGAAUCACUAGGGUAGCCUUUCGUAGCCCCAUCAAUGUUAAAUUUAAAGACCCCAGUUAGAGGCUUGGACCAAGUUUCCACCUCUACUGCCAUUUCUUUUUGUACUAGGAACAAUACCAGCAUUAAGGAAUCACGCAAGAUCACCUACAGAGGAGUUAGUAUGAGGCUAUUUCAUAUUAAUCCACCCGACAAUUCUAAUUUUAAUGAGCUCAAAGAUUGAGCAGUCAUCCCAUUGUUUGCCCCUAAACACCACUUCAUUCCGAGUUAUCCAAAUAGCCAUAACAAUGGCAUACUAACCCAUUUUCCAAAUUUCACCAUUUUUAAAAGUGUAAGCAAAACCAAGCCAAUUAAGAAAACAAUUGAGUGGGUUAUUAUGUGAAACCUAAUCAACGCUCCACAAAGCACACCAAAGUUGCUAAAUAAGCCAAGAUUUUUCACAAGCAAAGAAUAAUUGAUGUACCGUUUCAAGCUCACUUCUACACAAAAGGCAUGCGGCUGCAUUACUACUAAUAGCACCUCUCUUGGCAAGCAUUUCUCAAACUGCCAAGCAGCUUCUCACAAGCUGCCAGCAAAAACCUCUAUUUUGUAUAGAGCCAAUCCCAAUCAAAUCAUCUUCCAAUGAUUUGGAUGAGGGGUGAUAGUGAAUUAAACAUGCCAACAAAAAGAAUUAAAGGAGUAUUCACCUCGAGAGGUCCAUUUCUAGAUGAGUUUGUCUUAAAAGUCCUUAUUAGUCACCUGGUCAUCCAGCAAAAAGCAAAAGCAGUCCCAUUGUUCACAUUCCAAAUCAAAAACGUCUCUCCAAAGUUCAAUUUUCCAAGACUAGCUAUUCUCAUUCCAUUCCCCGAAUUCAUAAACUUUUCCUUCCUUCUUGUGCACAAGUGCAAAUACUCUAGGAAAAGUCGUUUUCAAGACGAGGCCUUCAAUCCAUUCCUCCCCCCAAAACUUGAUUUUAAUACCGACACCCAAAAAUAAGUGCAUGCCCUCGGAUACAAAACUACUAUGCUCACAAAUACCUUGAAGUGGUUUGACAAUAUUUUUCCACAUGACAGAGGCUUUAUUUCUACCACCAAGACUAGGAAUCAAGCUGUUAUGAUCUAACCCCAAUUUACCAUCGACGACUUGCCUCCAAAAGCUUUCAAGUUUGUUAUCGUAUCUCCAAAAUCAUUUGUUAAGAAGAGCUCUAUUUUUAAGCUUGAGCUCCACCAUCCUAAGGCCACCUAAGUCUUGAUAGUUGCACGCAUUUGCUCAGUUGACAUAACAAAGUAGCCCUUUUCUUGCUCUAGUUGUUCUUCGUGAAAUAGCGCUUCACUUAUUUUAGUUGUUUUGUAUGAAAUAGUGUUUCACUUGUAAUGGUUGUUCUCACUGUUCUUUGUACAAUAUUAUACUGUAAAAUAAUUCUUUAGAGAAUUGUAUUAACCAAAAUCAAGUAUUUACAAUAUUUAUAUGGAACAGCAAACUUUAGAGUUUUGGUUUUUAUUUUUUCUUUGAGCUAUGAUAAAAUGAUUAAAAUGAUGGGCAAAUUGCAUUAAGUUUAAUGCUGACAGUUCAUGAAUAAAGGAGGCAGCUUCAAGUAUGGAAAAAACCAAUCACCUUUAAAUAGCAUUACUAGAAAAUUCAAUCAUAACCUGCCUUUAAAGAAAAGAAACACUCUGCUUUUAUCAUGAACUACUUUAAAAUAACCAAAAAUGAAAAACGCCGAUGCCUCCGACCAUAAUGUCCUAAAGUAACAGGAAAUAAAUUCUAUAUUAGCUCUUAGGUCAUCCUUUGGGUAGCUUCCUUGGCAAGUACCUUCUCUUUGGCUUUGGUUCUCACUAGGGAUUUGGAACCCAUGAUACUGCCACCCCAUUUCUUCCUAUAUUCAUCAUACUUGUCAUUGACUUUAGAAUAUUGAUUGUAUUGGCUUAUUUAUUCUUCCUCUAAUUUUGUGAAUUUGCCUUUUGACUUUUUGGUUUGGGCCGAUCUGGAUUAUCUUCACUAGCCAAGCUGGUUUUCCUGUUAUGAAUACAUUGUAUCCCAUGCUCAAUGCGAACACAGGUCCACAUCCAUAACCCAUCAUUGCACAUUUCCAAGUAAGUGUUCUUCCAUAAUCAUCAUCUUCAUCAAAUAUUGAUGGAGGAAGUUUUGUUCCCUCACUUUCGCCGCAUUCCUUUGACAAUGGAAACACACAUAACCGUAAGUUACCAAUGUAGGAAUCAUUUGUGAAAGUAUCAAAUUGAUUUCCUCUAGGAACCGAUCCCAUGAGAUUGUUUUGAGAAAGAUUUAACAUUGUGACAAAUAUCAGAUUCCUUAAUUACAUAGGGAUGCUUCCUUCAAUCAUAUUUGAUGAGAGAUCUACUGGUUCGAGUGCUAACAAAUUCCCCAAUGAUGAUGGGAUUUGACCUGUUAGGCUGUUAAGAGAGAAGUUGAGGACCAAAAGAUCUUUAAGUUCUCCCACUACUUCAGGAACCUGUCCUUCUAAUUGAUUGCCUGAAAAAUCAAUAGUUGUGAAAAUAUCUAAUAUUUUCUCAAAAUUUAUCUCCAAUCCUUUGAUUCUUAAAAUCAUGGAAUCAUAAUAAUAGAACUCUCCAAUAUAAUUUGGACCAGUUGGCUCUUCAUGGAUAUUUUUCUUAGCCUUCAAAUUUCGAAAGAAUGUGGUUGGCAAGGGGCCAUUGAACUCAUUUUGAGAGAGAUUGGUGAUUCGCAAACUAGUAAAGAAAGAUGUGCCCCCUCAAAUUUGGUAUUGGACCAUGAAAUUUAUUAGAUCGCAGGACAAGGAUUUGCAGACUUGAAAGUACACCUAACAAAUGAGGAAAGGAGUCUUUCAAGUUGCUGUUGCCCAAAUCUAAAACUUCCAAUUCACUGCAAUUCACCAAAGAUUGUGGCAUGGAUCCUUCUAGUUGGUUGUCUUUGAGGUUAAGGCUUCUCGACAAAUUACCUUCAUCAGUACACAUCCUUGGGAUUUUGCCAUCGAAGUUAUUCAUUCAUAAAUUCAAACAGAGACGAAGUCAUAAUUUCCAAGACAUUUUGGAAUGAUUCCACUCAAGUUGUUCUUUGACAAGUUGAGGACUUGAGGGAAAGUUAUAUUGCAAAACCCUGAAGGGAUUUCUACUGUCAAUUCAUUUUCUGAAAUGAAGAGAUGAUGUAUUGUCUGUGGGGGAGUAGGAAGUGGUCCUUGAAGCGAAUUUGAACGAAGGUCAAUUGUCUGAAAAGUCUUCCUAGGAAAUUGCUCUUCAUUUGUCAACAAAUUGUUAAAUGCUGAUGAUGGCAAUAAACCAUGGAAAUUGUUAAAAGAAAAAUCCAACUUAAUUAGUUUCUUGAAAUUCCCAAAAACAUCUGGAAUUUGACCUUCAAAAUUGUUAAAUUUUAAAUGUAAGAAAGUGAUUUUGGUGAGGCUUCCAAGAGAUGAAGGGAUAGACCCUGUGAAAUCACAAAAAGAAAGGUCAAGUUCUUCCAUUUCAAGAUUUCCAAUUGAGUCUGGUAACUCCUCUGAGAAACUUGCUCCUGCAAGGGAGAUAACCAGUGAGAUUAGGAUUACGGGUUAAUAUGAUUUUUUCUAGAUAUGGAAAGCAGAAAAUUUCACUUCGAAAUUCCCCUUGCUGUAAACCUUUGACUUUAAUAUGAUCAAAUGUUUCCACAUUAAGAAAAGUUAUUAAAUCAACAUCUCAAUGGUGACAGAAGCACUAGAACAAGGUGUAAAAUAGUAGUUUGAGAAGAAAGGCAAAUCAGAGAAGGUUUUGGUGCAAGACGGACUAUAUAGAAUACUUGCCGGUUAUGAAUAAGAACAUUGUUCACAAGCUUAUUAGGCUUAGUUUGUAGGUAACAUUUAGUUUCCGGAGUACAUUAUACAAGCGAAAACAAAGAUUUGCACAAUGAACAUUAGUUUGCAGGCUUCAAACUUUUAUUUAGGAACUAAUUAAGUGAGGUGGUCUGGCCGUCUCCAAGGGCUGCAAUGCCACCAUAUUGCCACAAUGUAAGCAAUAAGAUUAGCCUGGAUUGUUAUAGUAACAUAUUUGGAUCCUCUUCAUUACGAACCAGCAAUUAUACAGCAAUUAUAGAAUCAAUGUGGUUUGCAACCCACCUCUUCACAGUCAAGAGUCCAUUCCAGGAGCUGUCGCUUAGAUUAUUUGCGGCAAUGAGUCAUUUGGAAAAUUUCCAUAACAAAACUCAUUGUUCUCAAGAAAAGAUACAUAGAAACCUCUAGGAGAAGGCCUAUAGACAUUUUGAGAUAUUUUGAAUGGCUUUUGAUUAUAAAUGUGCCAUGGACAAAAGAAGUAGGGAGUGAACAGAAAAGAAGCCAUGAUUAAUGGUGGCUAGCUAGCAGCUUUGCUGGUUUAAUCUGUAUUAAAGAAAAAUGUUGGAGUUAAAACUUAAAACCAAUGCUGAAAACUUUGUUAAAAAUUUAGCACAUAGCUAUCUCAGCAUUUCAGUUUUACCUUGAAAACAAAAAAUUAAAUAAUUAAUAAAAACUGGUUAGCAUAUGCAGGCCGAAAAAUUGACUUGUAAGCUAAUAGUAGUGUAAUAAAAGAAUGAUGAAAAUCCAAAACUAUUGUGCAUCUAAUUAAUUUCUUCCCUCAAAUUUUCUUUAAACGAUUUGAAAAAUAAACUUAAAAGGAAAAAUAUAGCUUCCUUAAUCAAUUUAGAUAACCUGAGUAGACAAAACAUGAAUUUCCUUAUUAUCUUUCUUAUAUAUCAGAAGUUUCUGUAGCAGAAACUAAGGUUUACUUUAACGUGUAGUUGUGAAGAUAAACAGAGAUCAAAUUAUUAUGAAUACAUUGUCUUAUUGUGCUCUAUUCCAAUUUCUGUGUAAUUAUUUGAAAUUUUCCAGAACUUUGAGAUAACUUAAAUCAGAAUCAACCAUCACUUGCUUAAUCAAAUCAUCACCUUAAUUUCUCACUAUUUAAACCCCAAUUUCAUGACCCUCCACCUACUUUUAUGUUUUGUAAUGUGUCGUGAGCAGGCCUAAGGCCCAAAGCCAUAUGGAGUCCUAUCAGAAGGUUCUUAUGUGACUUCAAGAAUAGAUAUUCCAUCUGUCCCAAAAAGGAUAGGCUAUAUAUUCCCUAACAAUUGUCAGCUGUCAAGGAAGGAUACCAACCGUACGACUAUCUCUUCUUUCUCCCUCAUAUCCUCUCCCUCUCUAUUCUGUCCUUCUCUUCCUCCUUUGGUGAGUUCUUACUCACUUAUAAAGCAUAAGAAAAGGAAUCACAAGAAAACCUCUGAUGUCCCAUUUUUGUGCAGGCCCAGACGCAUCAUCUCAACCCAGAUCAUCCCAGUCCAUGUCCAACAACAUCAUGCAUUUACAAAGACAAAUCGAAAGUAAUCUAUAAUAUUUAUUUAUUCAUAUUGGUUGUUUUAAGACUAUGCAUCACCAAUAUUACAUGGAUAAUCAUAUUAAAGUAUUAUAAUUGAUUAACAAUGUAACGAGUAGAACCUAAUUGUGUCGUUAGUGUAGAAUUCACUAAAAGCUUGAGCUAUUACAAGUUAACGAAAUACAUAAUUUAAAAAAAAAAAACCUAAUUUUUGGACACCUAUAAAAGUUAAGUUAUAUUUGUAAAGUUAAGUUCAGAAAUAUAAGCAAUAUAAACUAAAUCUUAUAUCUCUAUUAGUUUUUCUUUAGGAGAUUAUAUUUACAAAUAAAAAUUAUAAUUAAAUUAAAUAACUUUUGAUAUAUAUUAUAAUAUAAAAUACACUUUUAAAUAAACCAAAAGUCAUACACCCAUAAAAUAGAUCUAUAUAGUACAAUAAUAAAUUUAUUUGGACUGGAUUAUCAUAGCAUAACAUAAAACUAAAGACAAUUAUGAAAGUUCAAUAAAUUAAAGAUAACAUCUUAAAGCAACCGGCUUGCGAAGAAAAGAAAAUCAAGGCAGGUACUCACCUCCAAAAUAAAGAAAAAGGAAACAACCAAUUAUUGGGUAAAAUAAAAGCAUCUUGACAUUGAUACGUUGAACCUGCACUCAAACUUCAUUUUCUCGAUUUGGGAUUAAAAGGAAUCCAAUGGAAAUGUCAUCAACAUGAUGGUAUUUUCAUCAAGCCCUUUUGUUUGAAUCCUUCAAAAACUUGAUUUUGAUCUUCUUCAGCUUAGCAACAACGAUUUUCAUGUCAAUCCUCUCUUCUGGCAACUCUUCUGAACAUUCUAAAGCCAAUUGUAAAAUAGACAAUGCACAAUCCUUUAUGGCAAAAUGUUCUCGCUCCUUGCUACUGAUUAGCAAAUUGGCAUCUAUAACUUGAGUUAAUGCAAAUGGUAACGACUUAGUCAACCAAUGUUUUAAGCUCAUUUCUCCAACAAACAUUACAUCCGUGGGCUUCUUUCUUGUUAAGGUUUCAAUUAGAAGAAUACCAAAACUGUACACGUCGCUUUUUAUGGAAACAAUUCCUUGUGUUCCGUAUUCUACAUGUAAGUCAAUAAAACCAUCGUCAAAGUAUGCAAUGAUUUUACAUGAAUUAUCGUAAUAGAUAAAGAAAAAGUCUAAAGUUUAAGCAUUACCUGGUGCCAUAUACCCAAUCGUUGCUAGUGUUAGGGUUUGUACCGUUGAAUCCUCUUCACCUAACAGCUUUGCAAUGCCAAAAUCACCUAAAUGUGCAACCAUAUCUUCAUCUAAUAAAACAUUGCUUGGUUUUAAAUCACAAUGGGCCAUAGGGAUGGUCUGACCAUGAUGGAGGUAUUCUAAUGCAGAUGCCACAUCAAUCAUAAUGUUCAACCUAUGCAAGAUAUCAAGAAAAUAGUUAUGAGAAUACAACCACUUCUCGAGGCUUCCACUAGGCAUGAAUUCAAGCACCAAGGCUUUAAAAUCAACAUUGCAGCAACU
rnacentral:lncRNA from 1 species